UCUAAGCUUGCUUAGCUUCUGUGUGGGAUUGAAAUGCUGAUUUCGAAUCACUAACAGUAAAAUUGGAAGCUCAUGAAAAAACAGUUUUAUCUCAAAAUUACAUCUCGAUAUAAAUUCUCUUUUCAUUUCCUUCAACUUUCUAAUUAAGCUUAAAAAAUGUACCUUCAACCACAAAGGGGUUUAAAAUUUAAAAUAUAAAAAAUAAAUUCAGAUAACAAUAAUUAAUUUAAUUAAAAAUAUAAAUAGAGUUACAGAGAAAGAGAAAAUAGAGAAAGACCUAAUGUUGAGUCCUUUGGCGCAUGUCUCUUCAUAGGUCCGAACCAUUUCUUCGGGCGUGGGUUACGGCCGAGAUUGGAUAAUGAUGGAGUAGGAUAAGAUUAGCGAUAACGACGCCGAUGAAAUGGAAGGGUUUACCAGAGGAGUGGAUGCGAAGAGUGCAGGGACCGCCGCAGAGAGAGAGCGGCGGAGAGCGGCGACGGACGGUAGUGACCAGCGGAGGCGGAAGAUGGCGGUAUGGGCCAUUGCUUGCGCGUCGGUGAGUGUCUCGAGUGAGAGAGUGAAGGGUUUUGGGAAAUGAAAAAUGCAAAUGUUUGAUUUUGUUGCUAGAAACUUCUUCUGCCGCUGCCUUUUAUUUUCGCUAUAAUAAUAAUAAUAAUUUGUUAAUCAAAUAUUUUCUUAAAAAAGAUAAAUUUCUACAAGAAAAUUUAUAUUAAAUCAAAUUGUAAAAAUGUCUAUUAGGGUUAAUUUCUCCUUAAUAUUAUUAUUAGUUGAAGUAGAUUUUCGAAUUAGUCUUGAUAUAUUUCAGAGUUGUAUUAUAAAUGUAUAAGUAUCUGGAUUGCAAUUAUAUUUUUAAAAAAUAUAAUUUUUUUAAUUAUUGCACAAUAAAUGUAGAUAGUAUCUAUAAAAUAAUAUUAUUAGGACUAUGAAAAAAAUAUUAUUUUAGAGAAGUUAUUUAUUUAUUAUUGAAUGAAUAAUUUAUUAACUUAUUGGUAAAUGAAUAUUUACUAAUUUAAAGAGAGAUUUUUUUUUUGAUUUUAAGAAGAGUUUUGUUGGUACAUAUUCAUACUUAUAAAGAAACACAAAAAGUAGUUCCUCAAGUCAAUUGUAUUUGCUUUAAUUCGUAAUAAUAUAUCUUAAUCAAGAAACUUGUAAUUAUACUAUAUCUUUCUUUCUUUGUUCAGUUUGGUGGUACAUUGUGAUAAAUCAUUGGAUUAAAAUGCAUUUCUAAAUGAAAACUUGUUAAAACCUAAUUUAUUUGGGAACCAUAUUUUAUUUGUCAGUCGUAUUUCUCAACUUAGCAAGUUAUUUCUAACUUAUCGGUCUCUAUUGGUUUUCUUAAGUGCCUGUUUGAUAUGACUUAUUUAAUGGCAAUAAGUGCUUAUUUAAUCUCAUAAGCUCUUAUCAUAAUUUUUGUUAUUGUUUGGUUGUUUUUCUAAUAAAGUUUUUGAAGCUUAAAUAAGUAAUUUUACCUCUCUUAACAAAAGCUCAAAUUUUGAGUUUUUUGGGAGUAGAGAUUGAAAAACUUUUUCAAAUGUCAAAAUAUCUAUAAUAUCCUCUACUUAUUUAACAAUCUUAUUUAUUAUUUUCAUAAUAUAACUUUAAAAGACUUGUCUAUUAAAGUAAUUUCAUAAAUUUUUAAUAAAAACUCUUAUUGACAACCAAACAACUAAUUUUUUUUAGCAAAACCUCUACUUAAAUAAGUUCUACUUGAAAAACUGUAUCAAACGGAGCUUAAAGUUAAUAGUCUCUUAUCUCCCACAUUUGAUAUCUUAAUGGUAUCAGCGUGUUACCUAAGAUUGGGAUUCAUUAAAAUCCUCAAUGUAAUCGGUGGAAUGAAAUGGAUUUUUAUAACCUCCUUGAAGGUUUUACGAUAAACAUAAAUCUAUUGACAAAGUGGGCAAAAAGAAAAUGCAUAUAAAAAUAUGAGUUAUCAGAUAAGAUUAAAACUCACCCAAUUCAAUCCAUCAGAUUCCGUAAGGAUAUAACUGGAUGUCAUACCGCCACUCCAUAUCCUCGAAAGUCCGUAGUCCUUGUCUCAACUGUGUCUGGGGCCAGUGUAAGUCCAAUUUGCGCAAGCUCUUUAUGCACCACAGCUCUUCUGGAAGCUUUCUCAAGUAAGCACAUGGGUUGACAAUUAAGCUUUCAAGUUUCGGCAUUGCUCCAGCCCCCAUCGUCCACUCAUCUAGCCAAUACAUUGAUUUCAAGUGCAAAACCUUAAGUUCGGAAAAGCUACUCAAGCCAACACAAGCAAGCUUUCUUCCUAAAUACGAGUUCUGCUUCAGUUUCAGCACUCGAAGGCAUGGAAGAUUUUCCAGAAUUGGCAUGGGAUCCUCCAUUAGCUCAGUAUUUGAUAAGCUCAGUUGGAUCAGACUUGGGGGAAAUUGGUAUUCAGACAGGACAAUCCGUGAGGGCUUGCUCUCAUUCACCAGCUUCAAGCAUUCAAGUUUGUGGAGUUCGCAAAGGCUUUUGGAAACCCCAGAUUGAUAGCAACUCAAAUCUCCAGAUAUCCGAAGAGUCUGAACACUAGGUAGUCUGCCCAAUAUAUCAGGAGUACAACUACUAGGGUUUAAAGCUGAUAUGAAAAUGAGAUUUUUCAGAGAGCUAGAAUAAUUUUUUGGAGGUGCGGGCAGAGUGAUAGAACCAAAGUUUAGAUGCAUGAGUUUUUGCAUCAUCCAAAUAUCCUCUGGUGACUGAUCUAUGUAGCUAGAUGGCAUUUCUAGUGUUUCAAGGUUUAAAAGGGUGCAUAGCAGUGAAGGAAGGCAUUUGAGCGAAGGGAUAUUCAAUUUCAAAUACUUCAAAAGGAAUGAAUUUUCUAAUCCGGGUGGAUAUUGGUCCAGGACUGCAGAACCCAUGCUCAAUACCCGAAGGUAUUUGAACCAUUUAAAAAAAUUCUCGCAAUCUUUCGGAUUAAGAUGAUCGCUUUCUGAACUGUGAUUCAGAAAAGAUUGGAGAUAGAUGUAAGAAUAUUCUAAAGAAAAGAAGUCAAUCAGAUUUUCCCAAAUGAUGUACCGUUUAACAUUUGCCCUUGAUUCCUUUUCCAUUCCAGGCAUCCAGAGAAAUCCCGUCUCCUGUGCCAACAAUAACAAUGAAGUAUAUACAAAACUUGGAACAUAACACGCUUUAAUUGUGCCUCCGGCGCUUCUCUUACUCACUUGAAUGAAGCCGCGAUGGAUUAGUUCUUUCAAGUAAUGUUCGGCACUUUCUUCACCGUUGUAUGGUAUGAAACCUUCAGCUACCCACAACUGAUAUAAUUGCCGCGUGGAUAUCUCAAUACUUGGAGGGAAGACACACAAAUAGAUGCAGCAGACUUUCAAGUGAAAAGGCAAGUCCAUCACAGAAAAAAUUUGCCUCCAAAUUGUCGGAAUCGCUUCGCCUUGAACAUAAUUUUCUAAUGGCAUACUUCCAUAGUGUAGGAUGAAAAAUUGCCAGGCUUCAUGCUUUAAUCUGAUCAAUGGUCCUCCAAUGAGCACCGAAUCAAGCCGAAUCUUCUCUCCAUUUUCCAUUUCCAACGACGCAAGGAGGUCUGGAUCAGUGACCAAUAUCAAUACUCUGCUUCCAUUCUGAUUAUUUGGAAGAACUUCUUCAAGAUCAUCCCAUAUCUCAAUGUUAUCGCAGACAUCAUCAAGCACAAUAAAGUACUUCCUGUUUGUUAGGUAAUCUCGAAGAAUAGAUUCCUUGAAUUGAUAAUCUUCACCGAUAAUUACACUAACCCGAGAUGGAGGCAUCACAGACUUGAUUAUGUCAUCCAAUAGCUUGCCCAAAUCGUAGAAUACAGAAACCCUGACCCAAGCAAGACAGUCAAAAUAGAACUUGACAUGAUUAUUGUUGUAAGUAUCUGCAGCAAAAGCAGUCCUAUCGAAGCCACUGCUGUCGAGAAUUGCAACCACUGAAAGCCCAGAUGGUCCCUCAAUCAAUACAUCAAACAACUUCUCUCUGCCCCUUUCAAAUUCACUGAUAUCGAGCCGAGGUUGUCCCUCAUUCAAUAGGUGAAUGAUUUCGUUACUUUUUUCACUGAUAUCAAAACCAUUGUCGCCGGGUGGGAGUUGUUGGAUCCGAUUUCUAAUAUCAAUGAUUUUACUGUGGAGUCCAAAAAGAAGAGCCAUUUUAGUACUGCUUUCACUUUCGUUUUGACUGUUUUGCUGCUGCAUGAUGUUGAUGAAGAAUGUGUCAAUGGCUUCCUCAGAUUCAUGGACAAAGUCAUUGAUGUCCUCCAGAAUUUCCAAAAUACCUCCUCUUUUAACGUCUUCAUCGCUUUCUUGUGCCUGCAACAGUUGCGAAAAAGGCAAAGAUAAUUUGGAUUCAUCGAAUCGUUCUUUAACAAGUUGAAACAAAAGCCGAGCCAUGUCAGAUUCAAAGUUUCCGAGCAGAGUGGUAGCAAUAAUCUCGGACUCCGUUAGAAGGUUUUGAAAAAGGGGAGUUAAAUUUGUUGAAUCAGGCAAAGUCAACGCGCAUUCUUCACCUGCUAACACCCUUUUUAACCUCUCACAAAAUAGUCGGAGGUGGACGUCCAGCAUAUCUCCUUCUGUCUGUAGCGCCCAGAGGUAUUGUUAUUUGCUACAAGAAAUGUUAAAACAUAGAGUAAUGAUACAGCCACAAACUCUUGUACAAACUUAUUUUGUACAAACUAAAAUGGCAUUAAUUCAUUGGUUGAAUGAAAAUAUAAAAUAAUAAAAACAAAUCAUGUGGGCCAAGUGAUAUUUAAUUCAACCAAUCUUAUCAUGCCACGUCAAUUUGUACAAAAUAAGUUUGUACAAGAGUUUGUGGCUAUAUCAUUACUCUAAAACAUAUCUCCUUCUGUCCUAUCUCAAAGUGGUUAGUGGUGUAAAAUUAAACACCAUGGAAGAAUUUGCAAGGAAUAUGCCAAGAAACUGGCCAACCCGCUUAGCUAAAUUCCACAAAUAUGACGUUAUUGCUCAUUUUUCUCUCAAACACAUAAUACACGUUCUUCGAGGCGCGUGCCUUCUGAAAAGGACAGGUAUCCAACCUCAUCUUAAUUUAAAGAAUUUUCCUUUAAAAAAAAUUUAAUAUCAAAAUGCCUUCAAUGUUAUUACUGCCGAAAGCCAAACUUCCUUUGGGUAAUUAAUUUAGAAGUUAAGCAGAGAAUAAAGUCCUAGAUUAAAUGUUUAGGUAGUUUUACAAAAUGAUAACAGCAUGCCAAAACUCGUUGUUGUCAUAUUCGACAUUUCAAAUUGAAAAAUAUGCAAGCAAUCUUCAGUGAACAUUACAUGUUUAUUGAAUAAUUUAAAUGGCCAGUAAAUCAACAGUCCGUGAGUUUUAAAUCUAUUAUGACUUAAUGUAUCUUUCUGUAUUCGUACACAGGUUAUAUUAUCAUAGUUUAAAAUUAUUUUAAAUAUUAAAAAUACUUUAAUGCUAUUAGUCUACUACACAGGUUAUAUUAUUUAUAUUAUAUUUGUAUUAAUUAAAACUUUUAAUGUCAAUUUUCUAAUUAUUAUAUUAAAAAAGUAUUAUGGUUAAGAAAAAGUUUUGGCAUUUCUUCUUGAAAAUUUGAGAGUCUGCAUGAAAAUUUUUCCAAAUUCUAAAGGUAUAGGUUUGAAAAUUUAACGUUCUGUAAAUUAAUGAAACAAAAGGGGGGAAACCAAAAACUAUUCAAUUUUGUAUUUUUUGUUUGUAAUUCAAAAAAUACAUCCACCAAACAAGUUUUACGCAUUAAUGCUGUCAUAAAACGAAAAACAGUUUGCCAAAAAAUGGUACCAAACAUUUCCUUAAUGUCUCACAUGAUUUCUUAGUAAGUCCAUAUUAGAUAUAUUUAUACAUUUUAUGUAUUUUAGUUAUAAAAGAAGUAGGUCCUCCCCCUGUUUAUAAAAAAUAACUUUAUUUCGAGAUUGCCACUAAACUCUUACAUAGAAUUAGUGUAAUGUUAAGAGAGAGUAACACAGUUUUCCAUUACCAUCUUUGAAAAUAGAGAGAUAUGGAUGCAUGCAUUUAAGAGUUAUCAUGAAAAUCAUACAAUUCAAUUUCCUGACAUAUAUAUUUAUGCACGUAUACCAAAAGAAUAAAUAGACAGAAAGUAAAUUUACAGUCCUCACUUCCUCACAAUUGUUAACGUGAAGAUGCAUUACAACUGUGAACUGUCACUACUUUAGCCUUUUUUUUUAAAAAAAAAAAAUUAUAGUGUGAUGGAGACAUCAAGGAUGAGCAUAAAAGUUAAAGAUGACUCAUUUUCUUUUUAAAGUGCUCUGCUGAAAGCCAAACUUCCUUUGGCUAAUUAAUUUAGAAGUAAAGCAGAGAAUAAAGUUCUAGAUGCCUUCUGAAAUUAGAAAUACAUUUUAUAUGCUUUAAUUAUGAUUAUUUGGUAGACUAUUGACCUAAAAGACAUGUUAAAUUAUAAAACAGUGCGAUUAAAAAAAAGAGAGUAUUUGUGACGUAGAAUAACAAUUGGUAAAUAAAUCCUAAAUAUUUGAGUUGUUAAAAGCAAAUAUAACAGAGACGGUAAGAGAGAUGCAGAAACAGAAAACUAUUAGCUUAUCUUGAUUUUCCCACUAUAUUCAUUUUCGAUGCUUUUCAAACGAGAUUCUUUUAAUUCUUCUGGUGUCUGCAGCCCCUGCUCUUCUUAUAGAUCUCCAUCCCACAUCUGCACUACGAACAAGUUGAUUAAAAUUAAAUAAUGUUGGAGACGUGGGGUGAGCCGUCAACUUGGUAAAAAAACUAUGUAUAAUAUUGUUAAUAAUAUAAAAUAUAUAGUAAUAAUUACAAAGAAUCAUAAAUUAGAAAAAUUAAUUAUUUUACAAUCUAUUUCUUAAGUAAGAUAAAUCUCAUAAUAAGUUAAGUUAUAAUGUAAAAAGUAUUUUCAAUUUAUAAUCAUUUAAGAAGUCAUUUAACAAUAAAAUCUUUCUUUUGAUCAAUUGGUCAUGCUACAAAGUAUCAUCUAUAUUUGUGGUGAUAUUAUUAUUACUCCGUAUUCUCAAAAAACAUGAUUUAACAUUUAGAGAAAAUUCAUGCCUUUUAAAAAGAACAUGUAUGCAACAACUACCAAUACUUUAUCUUACCACAACAAAACUAAUGGUGACUAAAUCAAUUUUCUUGAUUAAAGCAAAAUUUCUUAAAAUUGAUUUAAUGCACAAAUAUGAUGACUUUUUGCAAAAAUUAGUUUCGGAAAAUAUAGUGAGAGAAAAUAGUGACGAUUAUUGUUUAGAUGUGUAAAUAGCCUAAACAUGAUCGCUAAUACCAAUAUCCACGUGCAUCUUAACACCUUUCGUGAUAUUCUUUCAUUCAUGGUCACUGGUUCAAGAUUUGAAUUUAAUCAGUAAAUCAUGUUCAAUAAUAUUAGAGAUCCCAACAAUUGAGUACCAAUUUAAAUCCUAAUGCUAUAUGUCAUUGACCAAUAUUGUGUCAUUUUUUGUUAACUGGGUGAUGAAUUUCUAGUUGAUAAAAUUACUUAAAAAUAUCUUAAAAAUCAGACAAUAGUUUGCUUAAUUUUUUGAAGCUAACUGCUCAAGAUGCUCUAUUAGAAAUGAUAACCUAAUUAUAUACAUAAAAAAUGAUGUAUUUUUUGCGGUGUUGAUAGUGAGAUUAUCAUUCAACAUGUUAAAAUAUGAAAACAUAUGGAAGAUGGUUGUAAAUUGGUUGAAUGAGAAUAUUUCAGUGAAGUCUCAAAAAUUUGGUACUUGUUAUCUUAUCGAAAGUUUUCUAAAUUAUAUUCGUGGCACUGCCACUGCUUCUAUGUGAAGGUCAUUAAAAUUUGUGUUAGCUACCUAUAGGUUGAAUAACAAUUUUAUUCAUCAAUUGUUGCUCAAUAUAGCAAUUUGAUUGAAAGUGCCGCUGCACUAAUUUUCUAGAUGAACUUUCCUACAUGUUUGUCCUCAUAUGACCUAGAAUGCUGCGAUAUCAAUUGUAUUGGAAAUUAUUCAGGUGGGUUAGUGCUCUACAUCCCCACCAAAAUAUAAGCAAUGAACAAAACAUUCCUUGUGGAAAUAAACUUAAUUAUUUCGCUACUAGACUUCUAAUGAGGCCCAUUUUCCAGAAUCUGGAUACAAGUUAGAUGUCUCCCAAAAUAUUGGUGGGAGUAGACUAUAGUAGCACUCGACAACAUACUAACGACGCUAUGGUCCACCAGAAAGACCGGUCUCCGGUCAGCCGAAAAAUCUCACGUUCAGUCUCUUCUCAAUCUCCCUUCUCCCAGCCAAGUCGAUCCCGUAACAUGAUACUAAUCCACAGUUGAAUACAUGAUACUAUUAGAUCUUAUUUGAGAAUAUAAAGGGAUCUUUCUAAUUUGAGAACAUAAAUUGCCCAAUAAAGUUGAACUACGUUACCCCGCUCCAUGCACAUACAUUAAAUGUUAACAGCAUGCCAAAACUUGAUGUUGUCAUAUUCGACAUUUCAAAUUAAUAUGCAAGCAAUCUUCGGUGAACAUUACGUUUUUAUUGAAUAAUUUAAAUGGCUAGUAAAUCUAGAGUUCUUGAGCUUUAAUCUAAAUCAAAUCUAUUAUGACUCAAUGUAUUUUUUUGUAUUCGUACCAGUAAUGCAGGGGAUUAUUUACGGAACUCUUAUUAUUGACUGAUAUGUUCACCUUCAUCCAAUUAGAGAAAGAGUGACUGUAGAGGUGGCAAAAAUACCCGUCCGGUUCGGACCCGGACCGUACCCAUUACCCAGCCCGGGUAUGAAGCCGGGUCGGUCUUGGGUAUUACUUGAUAAACCCGGAACUCGGAUUUUAUUAAAAAAAUUAUAAAAUAUAUAUUAUUUUAAAUAUUUUAUAUUUAUUUGACUCAUUUAUUAUACAUAUAUAAAGUUUUAAACACUUAAAGUAUAUAUUUUCUUGUCAAAUUUUAUUGAAAUAAAUUUAAAACUUAUAAAAUUACUAAAAAAUAAAAAAUAUAUACACAUAAAAUAUUAAAAAAUAUAAAAUUCGGGUACUCGAAUUAAAACCCAGCCCGAACCCGGACCCAGACCGGUUGCAUCCGGUAGGGUCCGGUCAUGGCAAUACCCUGACCCCGCCCGGGGUUUUGCCAUCUCUAAGUGACUGGGUUCCUAUAAAGGGACUCUUAACCGUUACGAGAGUAUUCAGACUAAAAAUCUUUAUAAUUAAAUUCAAAGGUGAAGAUCUAUGCUUAUUAUCUAUUUAACAACUAAUAUAUAGUUAUCUAUUCAUUUAAAUAUCAAGGGCUAUGCUAAUAAUUAAGUUGAAAUGUUGAUGAAAGUAGCCCUACAUCUGUAUAUUACUCAUCUACUCUAAUCUUUUUUUUUUUUUAACUUAAUGUACUUUUUCUAAUGUUGUUUACUCUUCCCCCCCCCCCCCUCCUCUGACAAAAUAAUAAGAGUUUAGACUUGAAAAUAUCUUAAAGAUCAAACAGUAAUUUACCUAAUUUUUUGAAGCUAACUGCCAAAGAUAUUCUAUUAGACAUUGAUAACGUAGUUAUAUACAUUUAAAAUGAUUUUUUUUUUUUGUGGAAAGGGAUUAUCAUUCAACAUUUUAAAAUAUGAAAACAUAUGGAAGAUGAUUGUAAAUUGAUUGAAUGAAAAUAUUUCAAUGAAGAUGGUUGUAAAUUGUUAUCUUAUUGAAAGUUUUCUAAAUUUACUACUAUUUGAACUUAGCCCUCCUGGUACCGCCACCAUUUCUGCUUGAAAGUCAUUUAAGUUUGUGUUAGCUGCCUAAAGCUUUUUUUUUUUCUUUUUCUUUUUGAAAAGAGCUGCCUAUAGCUUGAAUAACUAUUUUGCUCACGAAUUGUUGUCCAUUAUAGCAAUUUAUUUAAUUGAAAGUGCGGCUGCAAUAAUUUUCUUGAUGAACUAUUCCACAUGUUUGUUCUCAUGUGAGGCAGUUUUUCUAGAAGAUUGAUAUUUCUUUAAGUCUUUAACUAGCAAAGCAUACCAGUCCAAAGCUAGCCAAACCAUACCUGCUGGUCCAGGGCUUAAAUGGAGUACUUCUAAGCAUAAAACAGUAACAAAAACACAAUAUAUGCAUACAUACAUACCAGCAAAUUCAAAAUAGAAAAAAGAGUGCAACUAUUCAAGAAAUUGGUUAUUGUAGACAAACACACAUACAAACACAUACCAGAAAAUUCAAAAAAUAGAGAAAGGAGGCCAACUAUUCAAGUUUGUAGACAAUAUUGCAAUCAUGGCAUUACUUAUAGCAAGUCCUUGAAAUCUACUAAACAAAACAAUGCUCUGUCUCAUGAAUCAAUGUUGAAUUACAGACGAAAUUGAAAGUCUAGCAGGUGUUGUUUCCCUCUUCGAUUUUGCCUACACAAGUAAAGGGAAAUAAGAAUCAUAAAUGAAAAUCAGCUUUUACAGUUGUAAUUAUUAGAUAGAUCUAGAACGAUCUUUCUUUGUUUCUCUGCUGCAAUGUGCUAUCCCACUCUGUUUUGCUACUAAAAUUGAGUCUAUGUUGAGACAUAAUUUCGACACUAGGAGCAACCGCAAUUAGUUUGGCAUUGCAUUACCCCUUGAAGGUUUUACAAUAGUUGUAAACUUACCGAGAAAGUAGAAAAAAAAGGGCAUAUGGAAUUAGGCAAGUAACUAAAGUAUGAGUCAUCAGAUAUGAUUAAAACUCACCCAAUUCAAUCCAUCAGAUUCCGUAAGGAUAUAACUGGAUGUCAAAACGCCACUCCAUAUCCUCGAACGUCCGUACCCUUUGCCGCAACUCUGUCUGGGGCCAGUGUAAGUCCAAUUUGCGCAAGCUCUUUAUGCACCAUAGCUCUUCUGGAAGCUUCCUCAAGUAAGCACAUGGGUUGACAAUUAAGCUUUCAAGUUUUGGCAUUGCUCCUGCCCCCAUCGUCCACUCAUCUAGCCAAUACAUUGACUUUAGGUGCAAAAUCUUAAGUUCCGGAAAGCCACCAGAGUCAACACAGGCCAACUUUCUUCCUAAAUACGAGUUCUUCUUCAGUUUCAGCACUUGAAGGCGUGGAAGCUUUUCCAGCUUUGGCAUGGGAUCCUCCAUUAGCUCAGUAUUUGAUAAGCUCAGAUGGCUCAGACUUAAAGGAAAUUCGUAUUCAGACAGGACAAUCCGUGAGAGCUUGCUCUCAUUCACUAGUUCCAAGCAUUCAAUUUUGUGGAGUUCGCAUACGCUUUUGGAAACCCCAGAGUGAUGGCAACUCAAAUCUCCAGAUAUCUGAAGCGUUUGAACAUUAGGUAGUCUGCCUAAUAUAUCUGGCGUGCAACUACUAGGGUGUAAGGAUGAUAUGAAAAAAAGAUUUUUCAGAGAGCUGGAAUAAUUUUUUGGAGGUGCAGGCAGAGUGAUGGAACCAAAGUUCAGAUGCAUGAGUUUUUGCAUCUUCCAAAUAUCCUCUGGUGUUUGAUCUACGUAGCUAGAUGGCAUGUCUAGUGUUUGAAGGUUUGAAAGGGUGCAUAGCGGUGAAGGAAGACAUUUGAGCGAAGGGAUAUUCAAUUUCAAAUACUUCAAAUGGAAUAAAUUUUCUAAUCCGGGUGGAUAUUGGUCCAGGACUGCAGAACCCCUGUUCAAUACCCGAAGGUGUUUGAACAUUUUACAAAAAUUCUCGCAAUCUAUCGGAUUAAGAUGAUCGCUUUCUGAACUGUAAUUCAGAAAAGAUUGAUUAGUUCUUUCAAGUAAUGUUCGGCCGUCCCCUCACUGUUGUAUGGUAUGAAACCUUCAGCUACCCACAACUAAUAUAAUUGUGUGGUAGAUAUCUGAAUGCCUGGAGGGAAGACAAACAAAUAGAUGCAGCAGACUUUCAAGUGAAAAGGUAACUCCAUCACAGAAUAAAUUUGUCUCCAAGCUGUCGGAAUCGCUUCGCCUUGAAAAUAAUUUUCUAAUGGCAUACUUCCGUAGUGUAGGACGAAAAAUUGCAAGCCUUCAAACUUUAUUCUAAUCAGUGGUCCUCCAACGAGCACUGAAUCAAGCCGAAUCUCCUCUGCGUUUUCCAUUUCCAACGACGUAAGGAGUCUUGGAUCAGCGACCAAUAUCAAUACUCUGCUUCCAUUCUGAUUAUCAGGAAGAACUUCUUCAAGAUCAUCCCAUAUCUCACUGUCAUCGAAGACAUCAUCAAGCACAAUAAAGUACUUACUGUUUGUUAGGUAAUCUCGAAGAAUAGAUUUCUUCAAUUGAUAAUCUUCACCGAUAAUUACCCUAACCCGAGCUGGAGGCAUCACAGACUUGAUUAUGUCAUCCAAUAUCUUGCCAAAAUCGUAGGCAAUAGAAACCCUGACCCAAGCAAGAGUCAAAAUAGAACUUGACAUGAUUAUUGUUAAAAGUAUCAGCAGCAGAAGCAGUCUUAUCGAAGCCACUGCUGUCGAAAAUUGCAACCACUGAUAUCGAUAGAUCAAACAACUUCUCUCUGCCCUUUUCAAAUUCACUGAUAUCGAGCCGAGGUUGUCCCUCAUUCAAUAGGCGAAUGAUUUUGUUACUUUGUUCACUGAUAUCAAAACCAUUGUCGCCGGGUGGAAGUUGUUGCAUCUGAUUUCUAAUAUCAAAGUGAAAAAUUGCUGCUUUCACUUUCGUUUUCACUGUUUUGCUGCUGCAUGAUGUUGAUAUUGACAUAAUUUUAUUUUAGUUUUUGGGGAAAAAAAUAUUUGUUGACAAGCAAGAAAAUAUUUUUAUAUUUUAAAUUUAUUAUACAUAUUUUAUCAUUUUAAAGUAAUUUUAAUAAUAAAUAGAAACAUAAUAUUACGAUAAAUAAAUUAAAGUUUAAAUUAUUUUAAAUAUUAUAAAAAAUAAUUCUAAUAUUAUUAAUAGGAAGACAUUUUGUUAAUUUUAAAAUUUUUUAACCCAAAGGUUUAUUUAAAAUUUUUAUUAUAAAUAAAAAUAUAAAAUUAAAUAUCAUAAUUUAAAUUUUUUAAUAUUAUUUAAGUAUUAAAAAUAUUUUAAUGUUAUUAGUCUACUACAUAGAUCAUAUUACUUAUAUUAUAUUUGUAAUGAUUAAAAAUUUUUAAAAUCAAUUUUCUAGUUACUAUAUUCACGAGAUAUUAUGGUUAAAGAAAAGACCUUGGUGUUACUUUUUACAAAUUUGAGUGCCUACAUGAUAAUUUUUUCAAAAUUUAAGAAUGUAUGUAUCCUUUUCUCCAAUAAUUUAUUUCACUUUUGAGGGGAAUCCAAUGAGAGAUAUGAUAAGAGAACGUCAAUUAGUUGUCAUUUUCUACUUUUUCUGUAAGCUAUUUAUUUUGAGCAUUAGUGAUCUUGUCUGGACUACUCCAAUUAUUGAUGUAACUCCAGUGACUGCAUCCACAAUUGAAUAUAUGAUAGUGUUAGCUCUUAUUUGAGAAUUUAUAUAGUCUUGCUGUUAAAGAACUCACUGAGGCAUUAUUGAUUCAAUUUCAGUGGAGCAAUCGCGGGUGAAGGAUAAAUAAAGGAUCAGAACAGAGCUGAAGUGCUAAAUUGGCUAUUGAAGAAGGAUGUCACAUGAUCACAAUCACAUUGAUGCACAACUCUCUGGAGGCAAAUUUUGUCUUUAUGUACUCUAAAUUCAGCCAAACCAUACAUGCAUGAACAAAAAUUAAACCGUCGUUCUAAUCACAACAGUAAUUGAAGCUCCAAAAGCAAGAAAAUCUGAACAAAGACUUAAAAGAAAGAUCUUAUUCAAGUUUGUCCCCAAAAGACAGCUGAAAUGAAAAAUAUUGACUAUUGAAUGGAUCAAUGCUGAAUUACAUUUGAAAUGGAAAGCUUGGCUGCAUCUAUGAUGUUUCCCCCUCUGAUUUUCCCCCAAAACAAAUUUAGUUGUAAACAAUAACGGAAGCAGCAAUAAUUUAUUCACCAAAGAAAAUGCCCAAGAUUUCAACUAACAGAUCCUCUUAUCUAAACUAAAAGAACUCAUAUCUCUAAAAUCUACCCGCAAAAUGUUGGAAAUGAGGGAUGAUCUGUCAACUCGAUAAAUAAACUCAUGCAUAAUAUUAACAAUAAUGGUAAAUUACAUAAUAAUUAUUAUAAAGAAUCAUAAACUGGAAACACUAAUCAUUCUACAAUCUAUUAUAUAAGUAAGAUAAAUCUCAUGAUAAGUUAAGUUAUAACGUGAUAAAUAUUUUCAAUAUAUAAUUAUUUAAGAAGUCAUUUAAUAAUAUAUAUUUUUUAUUUUGUUGAUCAUGUCAUAUAGCGUUAUCUAAACUCCUGACAAAAUUAUUAUUACUCACUUUUCUCAAAAAAACAUGAUUAACGUUUAGAGAAAAGUCAUGCCUUUUAGAAAGAAUAUGUAUACAAGCUAUCCAUACUUUAUCUUACCGUGACAAAAUUGAUGGUGAUUAAAUCUAUUUUUAAAAUAGAUUUAAUGCACAAAUAUGAUGACUUUUGGCAAAAAUUAGUUUCGGAAGAUAUAGUGGUAGAAAAUAGUGAUGAUUAUUGUUUAAAUGUGUAAAUAGCCUAAGCAUAGCCCGUAAUACCAAUAUCCAUUUGCACCUUCAUUUGGAUUAUCACAUUUCAUGAUAUUUUUUCAUUCAUGUCCAUUGAUCAAGAUUUGAAUUUGAAUAUAAAUUAAGCUGCAAGGGAGCUUACUUCGGUUUCUAAGCUUUCCAAUUGUGAUUCCUGCAUGCCUUGCUCUGAUACUAUUUUGUUACAUACCAAUGUAACCAACCUUGUAAUUGGUCUGUAUAAGAAAUCAAGCCCUUUUAGAAUCGUUUUCUUUUGUUUCCCCAUUGUAGUAGUCAACUAAAUAAAGAAUGAACAACUGAACUUGAUCUAUUUUGAUGAAGACCAAGGCCUUCAAUACUAGAUGAACUUUGAAGAAGAUUAAUCUACUGCUUUUAUUCAUCUUUGGACUAUGAAUUUAUACAAAGACUUUAACAGAAAAUAACAAAGACACAACUAAAUGAUAGCAACAAGUGUUGACUUACUGGACCACUUCUACAAGUAAAAAAAAACUAAAUAUUUAUUUUGACUAUAACAACAACUACCCUGAUGAACAACACUCCACAGCAGCCACGUGACAACUAAUUUCUCCUUAAUAUUAUUAUUAGUAGAAGUAGAUUUUCAAACUAGUCUUGAUAUAUUUCAAAGUUGUAUUAACAAUUUAUAUGUAUCUAGAUUGUAACUAUAUUUUUUAAAAAUAAAAUAUUUUAAUUAUUGCACAUUAAAUGUAGAAGAAUAUCUGUAAAAUAAUAUUAUUAGGACUAAAAAAUAUUAUUUUAGAUAAGUUAUUUAUUUAUUAUUGAAUUAAUAAUUUAUUAAUUAUUAGCAGAAGUAUAUUUUCGAACUAGUCUUGAUAUAUUUCAAAGUUGUAUUAACAAUGUAUAGGUAUCUAGAUUGUAACUAUAUUUUUAAAAAAUAAAAUAUUUUAAUUAUUGCACAGUAAAUGUAGAAGAAUAUCUGUAAAAUAAUAUUAUGAGGACUAAAAAAAUAUUAUUUUAGAGAAGUAUUUUUUUAUUAUAGAAUUAAUAAUUUAUUAAUUAAUUUAUAAAUGAAUAUUUAUUAAUUUAAAGAGAGACUUUUUUGGUUUUAUGAAGAGUAUGUUUGGUACAUGUUCACACUUAUAAAGAAACACAAAAAAUGCUUCCUCAAGUCAACGGUAUUUGCUUUAAUCGCUACUGUUCAUAAUAAUAUAGCUUAGUUAGGAAAUUUGUAAUUAUAAUAUGACUCUUUUAGUACAACUUUUCAAGUAGAGUUUAUUUAGGUAGAGAUUUUGUUAGGAGAGGUAUUAUAAAUAGAGAUUUCACUAAAAAAAUUUAAUUAUUUGAUUAUAAUAUCCAAAUUGAAGAACUUUUGUUCUUUUGUUAACAUCUGUUUGUUUUACUUAAUAAUAAAAGUUUAGUUUACAAUUACACCGGUGUCAAAUCAGCAGAGCAUCGGCAAGAGUUUUCGAUUGUUGCAAUUUGCAAUGCAUGCGGUACAUGCACGCACUAAUAAAGAAACACAAAAAGUGCAUUCUCAAGCCAAUAGUAUUUGUUUUUAAUCGCUACUUUGCAUAAUAAUGUAGCUUAGUUAGGAAAUUUGUAAUUAUAUUAUGCCUCCAUUUGGUAUAAUUUUUUAAUUAGAACUUAUUUAAGGAGAACUAUUGUUUGUAGAGUUUUUAUAAAUAGAAAUUUUAAUUAAAAAAAAUUAUAAUUAUUUAGUUGUCAAUGUCCAAAUUGAUGAACUAUUGUUCUUUUUGUUAACAUGUGUUUGUUUUACUUAAUAAUAAAACUUUAGUUUACAAUUACACCGGUGUCAAAUCAGCAGAGCAUUUUUGCAGCCCGUCACAUUAUACAUUAUACUAAUAGCAUCGGCAAGAUUUUUCGAUUGUUGCAACUUGCAACGCACGCGAUGCGAGAAAAUGAGAAUCUUGUUUAAUUGUGAAUAAUGACAAACCUAAUCCUUUCAUUAGGAGCAAUUUAAUAAUCGUUUGUUAUAAUUGAAUAGGUAUAAAGAAAGGACAACUCUAUUCAUAGAUUCGGCUUAUUUUUUGUUUAAAGUAAUUAAUCCUCUAAAACUGAAUUUUAUUUUAUCUGGUGCAUGUUAAAUGAUGUGAGGCCUAAUUUAGGUUUUUGGUUAGCGAAUCAAUUUCAAAGUGUGCUUAAACGGUAUAGGACUUUAUUUCCUGGUCCAUACAUUACUCUGUUAGCUAUAAACCUAUGUGUGCUUGAUCCCGACAAUAAUGAUUUGCAUCCUGCUUGCAAAAAGGAAUUUUUGGAUAUGUCUGUGUUUGAAAGAACAGGUGUGGUCGAAUUCAAGAAGGGGAGAUUUUAGUUUACUGAACCAGGACCCACUCAACUUCCGAAGAAGCUUUAUGCUAGGAGUGGUGCUACCUCUGAUGACGAGUUUGACGACGACACUGCUGCCCCGCCAACUAUUCCUUCUACAUCCGCACCACCUUUGAGCAUUCAGUUAGAGAAAAUGGAGCACAAGCUGAACAAGAUGGAGCAGAAUUUGGCCGCAUACUUCGAGAGUGUGGGAUUUACCCCACCAUUUUCGCCAAGCCCAUAGACGUUAUGUGGAUCAAAGCUCACAAUUCAGGGAAGUUUCUUUUUGCCCUUAAUCUUUUAUCCUUACGCUUUAAUUUUUAUGUGAGCUUUGAUUAUCUUACAUUGGGGACAAUGUAAGUUCUUGGUGUGGGGGAGGGAUUUUGAUGUCUGGAAUUAUUAUUUUCACUCUACUCAUAUAUUUUCACUCUACUCAUCCUUAAAUGAUUUUGGAGUUAGUAUGCUUCAUACAUUAUUAAUUUUCUUUUCCUCUCUCUCUCACUACUCUUUUCCCAUCUAUCUCAAAUUAUUUACAUCUAUUUUUAUUCUAUCAUACUCUUUCAUCACUCACAUUUUAUCUUUCACUUUUCAUAUUACUACAUACAUCUUUCUCACUUCUUAUCAUUUUUACAUUUUCUUUUAUAUAUCACUCAUACCUUCUUCUCAUUCUACACCACUAUUGAUGGUUGAUUCAUUUGAAGAGUGUACAUGAUUUGAUGGCAAAUUUACCAACUUUGUGAGGAUUUGAGCCUAUGAGCAACCACUUUGCUCUAAUAUUUUUGUUGUGUGAAUAUCAAUCUUAGUUUGUUUAUUGUAGAACUUGCUUUGUUAUGCAUGUUGAAGCCGCAUUACGGGAUUUUAUGCAUUAAAAUGAUAAGGGCAAACCCUUUUCCAUUUUUCUAUUCUCGCAUUUUUUUUUCUCUACCCGAAGACCUUUAUUUGCUAUCUUUGUUUGAGCCUUAACCAUUACCCACCUAAUUUUCUCCGUCUACUUAACCAUUUUUCUUCUUUUUGAGCCUCAAUUUACGGAGAUUUUUGGACUCAUUGUGUGGAUGUAUUUUGUUGCUUUUUCUACCUUGUAAUAAAGUUUCUCAAUUAGAUCAACAAGCAUUAUGCUUGAAUUAAAUUGUGCAAGGUUCGUUUCUUUUGUUUGAUUCAAAAAUAAAAAAAAACAACAAAAAAAAAGAAAAAGAAAAAUCCAAAAAAAAGAAAAAAAAAUGUUUACAUUCUUGGUGACUUGAGUAGAAAUAAGUAUUUUGAUAUCAUAAGUUCAUUCAAUGAGUUCAUUCUUCUCAUUUUGAUCUCUUUUUCUUUCGUAAACCUUUCUUUUUCAUUCAACCUAUUUAACCCCAUUACAACCCUUUUAAGACCCUUAGAUUUUUGCAUUUUAUUCAUGUUUUGUGGAUUGAGAUGUGAUAUAUGAGCAAGCUUAUGGUAAUAGCAUUCUUUGAUUUGAUUUGAGUGAAUAAAUGACACCCUAAACACUUUGAGUGCAUGGAGUGAAGUUAUUGAGAGGGCUAUUAAAUCUUGUUGCACUUGAAUUUUGAAUGGAUCUUCUUGGUGGUUGAAUGUUCUUAUUCUAUCUUAUGAAAUUCUAUGCUUUAAAAUCCUUGUCUCUUGAAUGUUGAUCGACUUAAUUUCUUGAGGUAUGCUUGCUUAAAAUUGUUUUUGGAUGAGUUGAGAUGAGAAUUGAGUGGAGAUUUGAGAUUAAUCUUGAGUUAUAUGCUUGAGGACAAGCAUCAUCUUGGUGUGGGGGAAUUUGUUAGAGUGCAAUUUAUGCACUAGUUUUGCAUUGUUUACUUCCCUUAAUAUCGAUGUUUUACACUUAAUAAUAGUGAUUUACUUGUGUUUUACUUUUGUAGGUGCAAUUCUAUUGAUUGGUGAUAAAAUUGAGCUAUAAGAUGAUGUUUAAGGAUGAUUGUUCUCUUGGAGAAAUUAUGAGCGGCAGAAGAACUUUGUUGAUAAGGCGUGGGCGCGUGCUGUCAACUGCGGACCUGCAGUUUUUAGUUUAACAUGUUUUGUAUUUUUGUAAUUACGAAUUUAAUAUUUCAGAUAUUAGUAUUUUAUUUUAAAUAGAAUUCUAAAAGAGAGGAGAGAGAGAGAGUAUUUAAGGGAGGAAUCUAUUGUGAAAAAGGGGGAUUUAGAUUGGAGAAAAGAAAAUAAACCCUAAAUCUAAUUUUUCUCUUCUCUCUAUGAAGAACUAAACUUAUUUUUUCUGGUUGAAGGUUAAUGAAGCUUUGAUUCAUCACUACUGUGAGAUCUUUUUUAUGCUUUAAUUGUUUUAUUACUUUUUGGGUAAUUGUUUAUUCUCUGAAUUAGUUUCAUGAUUAUGUUUGUUAAUUAGGUAAUUGGCCACUAUUUAAUUAUCAACUUAAUCUAUUGUCAAUUAAAGGAUUCAUCGUAUGAAGAUUUUAAUGUUUGUGACAAAUAACAUAGCAGUGAGUUGUGUUAUGAGAAUAAACAAUCUAAUUUAAAUGAAUCAUCAUAUGUGUUGAUUAGGAUUUGGAUCUCUCUGGUUUUUCAGGCUGUCAAUUGAUUAAAUCCUAUGAUCGUAUCUAGGGUUGUCUAUUGAUUAGGGAAAUAUCCAACGGUCGUACCUUGGUUAUCGACUAGUUAAGGAGAGAUUGGCUAUUAGAGGGUCUCAAUAGCUAUAACCGGUCUAUUCAUAAGUAAUAAUAAUCUAUAUUUGAAUCAAUGAUCAGUAGUCGAAUCAAGCUGAGUUAAUUCCUUCAACCAGAGCUUUCUCUAAUUUGAAUUACAACUUUAAUUUGCAUUCUUGUUAUUUUAAUUUGAUUUUUAUUAUUGUCAACAAUUCCCCCAUUUUACUUUUUACGUUUCAAAAGGAUUUAAAUAAUUACCGAUCUCUGUGGACACGACCCUGCUCAAUCACUAUACACAAUUUAUUUAGAGUAUGAAUUUAUUUUUGUUGGCUUCGACAACCAUCGGUAGUAAAAGAAUUUUACUCCAAUUUGGUAAGCCCUGGUCAGCACAACAUUUGGGUAAGAAACUCACUUGUUCCAUUAGACUCUCGAGUUAUAAAUGUUUUUUAUAAUUUACCUGCUGAAAUUAAUUGUGAGUAUGCCAAGUUGCUUGACAAAUUGACCCCGCAACAAUGGAACACGAUUUUCACGACACUUACAGUAGAGGGUGCAUCGUGGGCUAAUGAGGACGGGCGUGUAAUUAACAGGAUAGAUUUAAAACUCAUUGCUAAGGUGUGGGUGAAAUUUCUGAAAUCUAGGCUUAUGCCAACCACCCACACCACUACUGUUUCACAGGAAAGGUUGGUGUUGUUAGAUGCUAUUGUUAGAGGGCUUCCCAUAGAUGUGGGAAGUAUUAUCGAAAAAGAAAUUCGAGUUUGUACCAUGAAAAACCACAAGGCUGCUGCCUUGUUAUUUCCUUCACUCAUAACCAGCAUAUGUAUAGUAUCAGGUGUUCAUCUUGAUGCAAAGGAUGAAAUUUGUAAUUAUAUUAUGGCUCCAUUUGGUAUGACUUUUUAAUUCGAACUUAUUUAAGGAGAAUUUUUAUUAGUAGAGUUUUUUAUAAAUAGAGAUUUUACUAAAAAAAUAAUUAUAAUUAUUUAGUUGUCAAUGUCGAAAUUGAUGAACUAUUGUUCUUUUUGUUAACAUGUGUUUGUUUUACUUAAUAAUAAAAGUUAAGUUCACAAUUACACCGGUGUCAAAUCAGCAGAGCAUUUUUGCAGCCAGUCACAUUAUACAUUUUUGCAACUUGCAAUGCAAGCGACGAGAGAAAAUGAGAAUCUUGUUUAAUUGUCAAUAAUGACAAACCUAAUCGUUUCAUUAGGUGUAAUUUCAUAAUCGUUUGUUAUAAUUGAAUCUGUAUAAAGAAAGGAAAAUUAUAUUCGUAGAUUCGACUUAUUUUUUGUUUAAGGUAAUUAAUCAUUCAACCAUCUUCAUUUGCCCCUGGCCACUGCCCUUGUAGAUUAGUUGAAGCGUUAAUUACUUAAUUUAGAUAAUUACAACGUCCUUUUCGCUAAUUAAUUAUGAUUAUAUACGUUUUCAUAUAGCAAGUGGCAUUGUAGAUCUAAAUUAUGUUGCUAUUUCAAUACGUUAAUUAAGUGAUUCUCCUCAUUGUCAUCAAGUGGAAAAUAGCUCAAUUGUUUCCCUGCAUCGAUUUUCAUUGGUAAGUGAUUUCUUAUGAUAUUCGUUUGAGCUUUCCUUAUUAAAAAAGCUUGAGCCUUGAUCACCUAAUACUGAUAUCAAUUUACUUGUGAACGAUUUUGUAAUGAAAUUAGGAGUUAAAUAUAUAAGAUUUUUACCUGAUGAAUUUUGAUUUUUUUUUUAAUUUUUUGAUGUAGUCAAUUUGCGAAUUUUAUAUGUUUCAUAUUCAACGGAAUUUGGGCACGGAAAGUUUGGAUUCUAAUAUUUAUAUAUUUAGCUUUAAUCAGUUUGACUUUAGCAAUCUUUUUCCCUCAUCAUUAAGGGAUUCAGAAUUAGAGAAACGCUAGGAAGAGGAAGAAAAUAACUUUGGAAAUAAGUAAGGGGGAAAAAUUAUGAAAUUUUGAAUUAUUUUUUGUAAAAUAUGUUGCGUUUACUAAACUUGAAUUAGAAUGAGCUGAAAUUAGAAUGAUUAGGAAUGCAAAUGUGCUGAAAUCGGAAUAGGUAAUGAGAAUAAGAAUAAGUUGUUUACUUGAACUGUAAAAAUCAAAAUCGAAAUGAGCUGAAUUGCAAUUACUUUAUCUUGGAAGCGGAAUUGGAAUCGGAAUGAGUUAGAUUGUAACAAAUUACUAAAAAGUACUUAAUGAAUUAUUGUCAUAAUUAUUAUUUUAUAUUUUAAUUAUAGUGAUUAUUUAUUCAAAAAUUAUUAUUAUUAAUUAUUUUCAAUAAUAUAUUAAUAUGUUAAUUAAUUUUAAAAAUUAUUAAUUAAUUUAUUAUAAUAAUAUACUAAUUAAUUAUAAUAAUUAUAAAAAUAUAUUAAUAAUAAAAUUACUAAUUUAAUUAUAAUAAUAUAUGAAUUAAUUAUAAUAAUUACUAAAUUAAUUAUAAUAAUUAUAUUAGUAAUUAUUAUAAUAGUAUAUUAAUUAAUUAUAAUAAUAAAAAUAUAUUAAUUAUGUGAUUAUUUAUUCAAAAAUUAUAAUUAUUAAUAAUUAUUGUUAAUAAUGUAUCAAUAUACUAAUUACAUAUAAUAAUUAUUAUAAAAAUAUAUUAAUUAUUAAUAAUAAAAUUACUAAUUUAAUAAUAAUAAUAAUAAUAUAUUAAUUAUGUGAUUAUUUAUUCAAAAAUUAUAAUUAUUAAUAAUUAUUGUUAAUAAUGUAUCAAUAUAUUACUUAAUUAUAAUAAUAUAUUAAUUAAGUAUAAAUGAGGACAAAGGGGGUAUUUUUAAUUUCACGUAGGGGCAAAAUGGUCAAUUCUAGUAAUGGGAGACUCACUCCCACCCUCUCCCUUGGGAAUGAGUCUCCCAUUCCUCAUUCCCAAAUUGUGGUGGGCCCCAUGAUUUUGACUCUGAUUUUUGACUCAAUUUUGCGAAGUAAACGCUACUAAUGAUUCUGAUUUUGGAUUCUGAUUCACUUAUCCGAGAAGUAAAAGCAACAUAAAUGUGUAUGAAUAAUUGAUACCUAUGAAUAGUUUUGGGAGUUUUAGUUAGGAGUCAUUUAUUGAAGAUGUUUAGCAAUUAAAGAUCUCUGACUCAGUAGUUUUCCCAAUCAAAAUCAAGAAGCAAAACAACUUGCCAUUUUUCUACUUGAUAAUUAAUUGAAAUUUAAGAAAAUACAAUGGCAUUUCAAUUAGAAAUGGUAAUUGUUUAUCUUUUUUCAUUGAUCAAAUUCUAAUCGUGAUCCAAUAGUUAUGGAUGAAGGAAAUAUUAUGAGAGGCGAUAGGCCAAGUGAAGACGUACCAGCAAAUUCAAAAUAGUCGGGAGGUGGACGUCCAGCAUAUCUCCUUCUCUCUGUAGCACCCAGAUGUAUUGUUAUUUGCUCCAAGAAAUGUUAAAAGGAUUGGCCCUAUCUCAAUGUGGUUAGUGGUGAAAAAUUAAACACCAUGGAAGGAUUUGCAAGGAAUAUGCCAAGAAACUGGCUAAGUUCCACAAAUAUGGCAUUAUUGCUCUUUUUUUUUAAAGAAAAAUUAUACACGUUAAUUUAGCAAAAAGUCUAAGACACAUGCCUUUUGAAAAGAAUAGCUAUUACCAUGACACAAUCGAUGCGGCUGAAACCAAAAUUUUCUUUUCUUAAUGUAAAGAUUUUUUUUAAAUAGAUUUUAAUAUUAAAAUGCCCUUCGAUGUUAUUACUGUCACAAGCCCUGUAACAGGAGUAAUAAAAAUUUUUAGAAUUUGUUGGGCAUGAAAAAAGUAGUAUUAAACAUCAGCAAGCAAAGGUUGUUCUGUUAAAGAAUUGAUAUUGACGUGAUUUUAUUUUGGUUAUCGAGAAAAAAAAAUAUAUUUGUUGAUAAGUAAGAAAAUAUUAUUAUAUUUUACAAUCUAUUAUACAUAUUUUAUUAUAUUAAAUAACACUAAAUAGAAACAUAAAAUUAGAAUAAAAUAAAUUAAAAUUAAAAUUAUUUUGAAUAUUAUGUAAAAAAUAAUGUUAAUAUCAUUGUUACUUGUAAAAUAUAUUUAGCCCAAAGAUUUAUUUAAAAUUUUAUAAUAAAUAAAAAUAUAAAAAUAAAUUAAAUAUCAUAGUUUAAAAUCUUAAUAUUAUUUUAAAUAUUAAAAAUACUUUAAUGUUAUUAAUCUACUACACAUGUUAUAUUAUUUAUAUUAUAGUUGUAUUAAUUAAAAAUUUUAAAGUCAACUUUCUAGUAACUAUAUUCAAAGGUAUUAUGGUUAAAUAAAGGUCUUAGUGUUUCUUUUCAAAAUUUGAGGGUCUACAUGAUAAUUUUUCCAAAUCCUAAGGUAUAGGUGUCCUUUUUAUCAAUAAUUUAUUUCACUUUUGAGAGAAUAUGAUGAGAAAUAAGAUCAGAGAAAUGUCAAUUUAAUGUUAUCUAGCUUAAUGAUAAAAAAAUGGAAACCAAGAACUAUUCAAUUUUGUAUUUUUUGUUUGUAAUUCAAAAAAUCCAUCCACCAAACAAGUUUCACGCAUUUAUGUUAUCAUAAAACAAAAAAAAAAACAGUUUGUGAAAAAAUGGCACCAAACAUACACUUAAUGUCCCACAUGAUUUCUUAUGAAGCCCAUAUUAGAUAUAUUUAUACAUUUUACUGCAUUUAGGACAUGUUUGAUAGCCUGCAUUAUAUAGGAUAAAAACACAAUUUUGUAUUAAAUUAAUGCACACUCACGUUUGGCGCUAAAAGUAACUCCAGCCACAUUGCAUUAAUGGACUGCUAAUGCGGCAAUUGCCGCACUAGCUUGCCUCUUUUUCUUUUUAAUUUUAUUUAUAAUAAUAAUAAUUACAUAAUAUAACUUUUUAUUUUAAUAUAAUAUUAUAUAAUAUUAAGUAUAAUUUUUUUUACAUUAUAAUUAUUGAUAUAAAUUAAUAAAUUAAUUAUUUAUUAUUCAAUAAUAUUAUAUUAUAUAUUUUUUUUAUUUUUACAUUAUAAUUUAUUAGUAAAUUUAUAAUUUAAUAUAAUUAAUAAUAAUAGAAAAUAUCAUUACAUGUACUACAAAACUCUUACUUGGAUUAUUUAACACAAUUUAUUUUAUUCGUGAAUAUGUUAUAACAAUUGUAUCACUUUAUUAUUUUGUUAUUAUUUUGUGGUAUGUAUAAAUUUUUGUUCUAUUAUCCUAAGAUGACUUUUGAACUAAUCUUAUAAGUUUUAACUAUUUAUUUAUGUUGUUAUAUUAUUAGAGAUUAUUUGCUUCGAUCUUUAUUUUACAGGUCAUAUAUUUAGAAAUUACUGAAAAAUAAAUGUUAUACUUCCCAAAAUUUAAGGCUAGAAGCUCGAUCUUUAUGAAGAAUUUUGAUAUUUUUUAACAUUUACACUAAAAAAAAUUGUUAAAUUUCUAAAAUUUAAGACUUCUAUAUUUAAUAUUUUUCUAAUUACUAAUAAGUAUUAUUUUCUAAAUAUAUAAUUUAAAUUAAUCACAAAAAAUUAAUAUAGUACAGUGCAAUAUCAAAUAUAGUAUAAUUAAAAAUUAUACAGUGCAAUAUAGCACCAAAUAUUGUACACUAUUAUUAUAAUAUAGUACUAAUGCAAUACAAUAUAAUACAAUAUAGUGUGCCAAACGCACCCUCAGAAUGUGUUUGGAACAUGGGAUUAUAGGGUAUUAAAACACUGUUCACAUUAGCUUAAUACCAAUCUCAUGUUUGGAAAGAAAUUUUAAGGGAUUAAAGGGGGGUGAGCUAAUGUCAUAACUGCGUCAUUAGUGUCUUGGUUUUUUUUAAAUAAUAAAAAAAAUAUAAAUUCCUAAUUUUAUGUAAAAUUAUAUAAUAUUAAUUUUUAUUUUCUUUGAUCUUUACAUCAUAAUUAUUAAUAUAAGUUAAUAAAUUUAUAAUUUAUUAUUCAUAUUUUAAUUUUUAUUAUAUUAAAAAUAUAACUAAAUAAUUUAAUUUUAAUUCUAUAAUAAUUAAUGUAUAAAAUUGAUUAAUAUUUAAUAAGUCAAUACAACUAGUAAUAAGUGCUUAAAUAAUAUAUAAAAAUAAAAAUAUAACAUAAUAUUACAUUAUUUAAUUAUAUUACAAUAACUAAUAUAUAAAAAUUGAUUAUUAUUUAACAAUUUAAUAUAGCUAAUAAUAGAUACUUAAAUAAUAAUUUAAUAUAACUAAUAAUGAAUAUUUAUAUAUGAAUAUAUUUAAAUAAUAUUAAUUUAAAAUUAAUACCAAUAUAUAUAAUAAUAUAAAAUAUUAUUACAUGUACUGUAGUAUUCUUACUUGGAUUAUUUAGCGCAAUUUAUUUUAUUAGUGAAUAUGUUACAAUUAUUGUAUCACUUUAUUAUUUAAAUUAAUCAAAAAAAUUAAUACAGUACAAGAUAGCACUAAACAUUAUAUAACAUUAUUAAAAUACAGUGUUAAUGCAAUAUAAUGUAAUACAAUACAUCUAUAUUAAAAUAAUAUAAUAUAAUAUAAUUUAAUAUAAUACAAUAUGUCAAAUGCACCCCGUGUAUUUUAAUUUCAAAAGAAGUUGGUCCUUCCUUUAUUUAUAAAAGAUAACUUUAUUUUCAGAUUACCACUAAUUACGAUUAUUUGGUAGACUAUAGACCUAAAAGACAUGUUAGAUUAUAAAACAGUGCGAUUAAAAAAAAAAGAGUAUUUGUGACGUCAAAUAACAAUUGGUAACUAAAAUCCAAAAUAUUUCAGUUGUUAAAAGCAAAUAAAAAAAAGAAGGUAACAGUGAUGCAGAAACACAAUAUUAGCUUAUCUUGAUUUUCCCACUUUAUUCAUUCUCAAUGCUUUUCAAAAGAAAUUCUUCUAAUCCUUCUGGUGUCUGCAGCCCCUUAUCACGGGACGAGAGGUUUUGAGCCCGCGUGGCACUCUCGCAUCCCAUACUACGAGAGUAAACCUAGUGGAAGUGGCACAAUAUCGACUGGUUUCACCCUGCCUUGGGCUCAUCAGGAGAACGGCUCCAGUUCCCAACCAGUGUGUGUAGGGCUUCGCUUAGACUCCUCUUCAACGUUAAAUCCUCGACUAGCAACAAGCUCCCCAAAGUCAACUGGGUUGGCCUGCCUGAACUCCAAGAAAUCUAGGAUCAUUGUAUUCCCCACACGCACGCCCCUGAAGCACGUCUCCUGCAAUCAGCACAACUAUUAUCGAUACUAGUGUACAAGCGCAUAUCUUCGGCAUCACAAUUGCAGUCCGUGACACCCUGCUCUUCUUAUAAAACUCCACCCCAAAUCUAUACUACAAACAAGUGGAUUGAAAUUAAAAAAUUGCUUUUUGAAGUGGACCCAUUGAGUCGUGGUCAUUACUCGUCAUUGUCUAUUUUUUCUAUGAGCCAUUUAUUUUGAGCAAUAGUGAGCUUCUCUGAACUACUCCAAUUAUUGAUGUAACUCCAGUGGCUGCAUCCAUAGUUGAAUAUAUGAUAGUAUUAGCUCUUAUUUGAGAAUAUAGGGGGAUCUUUCUUUGUUUCUUUGUUGCAAUGUUCUAGUAUAUAGUCUUGCUGUUAAUGAAUUCACUGAGGCAUUAUUAAUUCAAUUUCAGUGAAGUAAUUAUGGAUGAAAAAUAAAUAAAGGAUAACAGAAUAGAGCUGAAGUGCUGAAUCGGCUAUUAAAGAAAGUGUCACGCGAUCACAAUCACACUGAUGCACAACUCUCUCGAGGCAAAUUUUGUCUAUAUGUACUCCAAAUUCAGCCAAACCAUACAUGCCUCAACAAAAUUAAACCGUAGUUCUCAUCACUACAGUAAUUGAAGCCCACAAAGACAGCUGAAAUGGAAACUUAAAACGAAGAUCUUAUUCGAGUUUGUCCCCAAAAGACAGCUGAAAUGGAAAAUAUUGACUAUUGAAUGGAUCAAUGCUGAAUUACAUUUGAAAUGGGAAGCUUGGCUGCGGUUACGAUGUUUCCCCCUCUGAUUUUUCUCCAAAACAAAUUCCGUUGUAAAUAAUAUUCAAUGUAGCAACAAUUUAUUCAGCAAAGAAAAUACCUAAUUUUUCAACUAACAAAUUCUCUUGUCUAAACUAAAAAAACUCACAUCUCUCCAAUCUAUCUACAAAUUUGGAGAUGAGAGGUGAUUUGUCAACUCGGUAAAUAAAUUCAUGCAUAAUGUUACCAAUAAUUAUAAAUUACAUAAUAAUUCUUAUAAGAAUCAUAAUAAAGGAACCUUAACCAUUUUACAAUCUAUUACAUAAGUAAGAUUAAUCUUAUAAUAAGUUAACUUAUAACUUAAUAAAUAUUUUCAAUUCAUAAUUAUUUAAGAAGUCACUUAACAAUAAAAUAUUUUUUUAUUUAAUUGAUCAUGUCAUAUAACGUUAUCUAAACUCCCGACGAUAUUAUUAUUACUCACUUUUCUCAAAAAAACAUGACUAACGUUUAGAGAAAAGUCAUGUCUUUUAGAUUGAUAGAAUACGAUUACAAACUAUCCAUACUUUAUCGUAGGCUAUAGAAACCCUUACCCAAGCAUGACAGUCAAAAUAGAACUUGACACGGUUAUUAUUGUAAGUAUCUGCAGCAAAAGCAGUCUUAUCGAAGCCACUGCUGUCGAGAAUUGCAACCACUGAAAGCCCAGAUGGUCCCUCAAUCAAUAGAUCAAAAAACUUCUCUCUGCCCCUUUCAAAUUCACUGAUAUCGAGCCGAGGUUGUCCCUCACUCAAUAGGCGUAUGAUUUCGUUCCUUUUUUCACUGAUAUCAAAACCAUUGUCGCCGGGUGGAAGUUGUUGCAUCCGAUUUCUAAUAUCAAUGAUUUUAGUGUGGAGUCCAACAAGAAGAGCCAUAUCAGUACUGCUUUCACUUUCGUUUUCACUGUUUUGCUGCUGCAUGAUUUUGAUGAAGAAUGUGUCAAUGGCUUCCUCAGAUUCAUGGACAAAGUCAUUGAUGUCCUCCAGAAUUUCAAAAAUAUCUGCUGUUUCAACGUCUUCUUCAUCGCUUUCUUCUAAGUCCAACAGUUGCAAAAAAGGCAAUGAUAUUUUGGAGUCAUCUAAUUCUUCUCUAAGGAGUUGAAACAAAUGCCGAGCCAUGUCAGCUUCAUAGUUUCCCAGCAGAGUAGUAGCAAUAAUUUCGGACUCCGUAAGAAGGUUUUGAAAACGUGGAGUUAAAUUUGUUGAAUCUGGCAAAGUUAACGUGCCUUCUUCACCUGCUAACACCCUUUUCAACCUCUCACAAAACAGUCGGAGGUGGAAUUCCAGCAUAUCUCCUUCUCUCCGUAGCACUCAGAGGUAUAGCUGAAAGAUUAAACACCAUGGAAGAAUUUGAAAGGAAAAUGCCAAGAAAUUGUGUAAGUGGCUAAAUUCCACAAAUAUGACAUUAUUGCUCAUUUUUUAACUCAAAAAAAGGGUACGCGUUCAUUUAGAGAAAAGUCCAAGACGCGUGCUUUUUGAAAAGAACAGGUAUCCCAAUCGGUAUCCAACCUUUAUCUUAUUUAAUUACUACCAUGACAUAAUUGAUGGUGCUUAAAUCAAUUGUUUCUUUUUUAAUUUAAAGAAUUUUUCAUUAAAAAAAUAUUUUAAUAUCAAAUUGCCUUCAGUGGCGUAACAACUGCCUGAAGCCCAGUAACAGGACUAAUUAAAAAUUUUACAAUUUUUGGGCAUGGAAAUAGUAGUAUUAAACAUUAGAAAGGUGAGGUUGUUCUGUUAAAGAAUUGAUAUUGACAUAAUUUUAUUUUGGUUUUCGUGGAAAACAAAAAUAUUUGUUGACAAGCAAGAAAAUAUUUUUAUUUUUUAAAAUUUAUUAUGCAUAUUUUAUCAUAUUGAAGUAAUUUUAAUAAUAAAUAGAAACAUAAUAUUACAAUAAAUAAAUUAAAAUUUAACUUAUUUUGAAUAUUAUAAAAAAUAAUUUUAAUAUUAUUAAUAGGAAGACAUUGUAUUAAUUUUAAAAUUUUUUAACCCAAAGGUUUAUUUAAAAUCUUUAUUAUAAAUACAAAUAUAAAAUUAAAUAUCAUAAUUUAAAAUUUUUAAUAUUAUUUUAAGUAUUAAAAAUAUUUUAAUGUUAUUAGUCUACUACAUAGAUCAUAUUACUUAUAUAAUAUUUGUAUUAUUAAAAAUUUUUAAAAUCAAAUUUUUAGUUAGUAUAUUCAUGAGGUAUUAUGGUUACAAAAAAAAGACCUUAUUAUUACUUUUUAAAAAAUUGAGGGUCUGCGAUGAUAAUUUUUUCAAAAAGAAAAUACAUGGUAUGUAGGAGGGGUAGAGAAACAGGACUUCCAAAAUCUCUCACCCUUCUUUAAUUAAAAAAAAAAUUAAAAUAUUAAUAAAAAAUAAUAAAGAAAAUAGAAUUUUAUCUGCUCCUUACUCCAUUUUUGCAACUCUCUCAACAUCUCUGUCGAGCAGCCUUCUCUCUCAUUGUCUCUCACUAUUUCACGAUCUCUCUCUCACUCACACAGGCAAUGACCAUCUCAUCAUCGGCGGUCGUGUCGUCAGUGUCACUGGUCUUGCUCGACCGAGACAGUGAGAGAGAGGUUUGUUAGAUGGAGUGAUGAUAAAGGAUUCUAUUUUUUUUAUUAAUAUUUUAAUUUUUAAAAUUAAAAUGUGCUGCCGUUUCUCUUGUCUUUUUAGCUGUUUAGCAGCACUCUUUUCAAAAUUUAAGAAUGUAGGUGUCCUAUAAGAGAUCGAUAAAAGAACGUCAAUUAAAUUUAUAAAAAUAUGAUAAAAGAACGUCAAUUACUUGUCUUUUAGGGAAUCCAAUGAGAAAUAUGAUAAAAGAACGUCAAUUACUUGUCAUUUUCAAUUUUUUUCUGUAAGCUAUUUAUUUUGAGCAUUAGUGCUCUUGUCUGGACUACUCCAAUUAUUGACGUAACUCCAGUGGCUGCAAUUAAUGAUAUAAAGCUGAGACUUUUGACCAAGUUAUCUAGUUGGGAAAGCAAAUUUUUUUCCAGUGGGGGCAAAGAAGUGUUGAUUAAAACUGUUGCUCAGGCUGUGCCAGUCUAUGCAAUGAGUGUUUUUAAGAUCCCUCAUAGCUUUUGUGAUGACAUUGAGAAGGCUAUUGCUCGUUUCUGGUGGGGUUCCUCUGAAACAAAAAGAAGCAUUCACUGGACAAGGUGGGAACGGUUGUGCCACGCCAAGAUAAGGGGGGGAUUGGGUUUUAGAGAUUUCUCUAGUUUUAACCAAGCCUUAAUUGCUAAGCAGGGGUGGAGAAUUCUGCAGCACCCUGACUCUUUAAUGGCAAAGAUUCUGAAAGCAAAAUAUUUUAAGCAUACUGGUUUUAUGGAUGCGAAAUUGGGUUCACACCCCUCUUUUGUUUGGAGAAGUAUAUUAUGGGGUAGGCAAGUGCUCCAUAACGGCCUAAGAUGGAGAAUCGGCUGUGGGAGUCAGGUUUUAAUUUCCAGUAGCAAUUGGAUAAAAAACCAUAAGCUUCACAGUUUGGUUCCAUAUUCAAAUCUACCUCCUGAAACUGUAGUUGUUGACCUUAUUGAUGAAAGUCACCAAUGGAAAGAAGAUAUGGUUUUCCAACAUUUUCCAAUGGAUGUUGCAAAGAGGAUCACAAGAACCCCUCUCCCAAAAACUCCCCAGCAGGAUCUUCUCAUUUGGAAAUAUGAUAAGCACAGAAUUUACUCGGUGAAGAGUGGGUAUCAAUUGGCUGUUAAGCAAAAAUUCCAAAAUUAUCCAAGUUGUUCAGAUGUUACCAAGUCAAGGUGGGAGGUGAUAUGGGCUACGGAUCUUCUAGGAAAAGUCAAGAUUUUUAUUUGGAGGGCUGCUCAAAAUCUUCUCCCUACAGUUGGAAAUCUAUGGAGGAGGAGGGUGGUGAAGGAUUAUUUUUGCCAAAGAUGUAAUUGCAGAGGAGAGGAUGUCUUCCAUGCUUUAAUAGAGUGCAGGGCAGCUAAAAGGGUUUGGAAGUUGACUGAAUUUUAUGAGGAUGUAAAGCAAUUAGCUCGGCAAGACAUGUUGAGUGUGCUGCAGGAUUUAGCUGUGAAGAGAAAAAAGAAUGAGCUGGAGCUUGUUGUUGCGGUGUGCUGGGCCAUCUGGUACUCUAGGAAUCGUUUGGUGUUUGAAGGAAAGGAAGAAGAUCCAAAAACUUCAGUGGCCAGAGCAAUUGCUAUGGUGGAAUCAUACAGGCGAAUAAAAGUUCCAAAUGAACAAAAUUCUCCAGGCCAUAGCAGAAUCAGUCAACUAGAAUGGGCAAAUCCUCCAAAGGGGUGUUAUAAAGUCAACGUUGAUGCUGCAAUUAAUGUUUCAAACCAAAAGGCAGGGUUGGGUGUAGUGUUUAAGAGUGACUAACUAUCCCAAUCAACUCAAAACACUUCCCAAGAUCACACCCAAACAAACAAGAUGUACCAAGAAUCAAUCCAGUAGAAUACACACAGAUUAUUAGAACUGAAAGAAUUAAAGAAAAGGACAAGAAUUAACGUGGUUCAGCUAGCUUCAGUCUAGCUUACAUCCACGGGAGAAACAGAACCCAAUUGUAUUGAUUGUUUAAAGGAGUUACAGAGAGUUCAUCAAGCUUGUUACAGAGUCUCUCAAGAAGCCUUUUGUUAUUAAUCUUCUCAACUCACAAUAGCUCUCUCUUCUUUUUUCUCAGUUGCCAGAAUCAGCUGUAUAUAACAGCUUGUUAACGAAUCAGCAACCAACCCAGAAACCCACGUGACAGUCAUGUGAGUUAACUGAUUCUAACGAACCAAGAACGCAACUUAUCCAUGCACGUGAAACUCUCGUGCAUCACUUAACCAAAACGACCUUCAUACAUGUCGUUCCAGGAGAUACGAGUUUGACUUUCCAAAACGCAGCAUCAGCUGACGUUUUCACAAACAGAUUUGCUUCACAUCACAACAAUUCUCCACCUUGAACAAAUCACUCUCUGAUCCUGAUUUCUCCAACCUGAGUAUUUAGAAUUCACUCAGCCCAGCUUUGUCCAAGCCGCUCUUGAACUUAGCUGUAGUUACAACCUUAGUAAGCAUGUCAGCAGGAUUAUCAUCUGUAUGCACUUUCACCAUGCUAAUCACACCUUUAGAGAUCACAUUUCUGAUAAAAUGUAACUUGAUAUCUAUGUGUUUAGUUUUUUCAUGGUGAGCUGGGUUCUUACUCAAGUAAAUUGCACUUGAGCUGUCACAAUGAACUUCCACAGUCUCCUGCUUCAUCCCCAGUUCUGUUAUCAACCCUCUCAGCCACAGAGCUUCCUUGACAGCUUCUGUUGCAGCAGUAUAUUCAGCCUCUGUUGUUGACAAAGCUACAACAUGCUGCAAUCUUGCCUUCCAGUUAACAAGGCAACCAUCCAAGAAAAACAUAUAGCCAGUUAAAGAUCUCCUUCUGUCUAAGUCCCCAGCAUAGUCUGAGUCAACAUAACCACAGAGACCUGCAAUCUUUCCAGCUGAUUUUCCAUAUACCAACCCAUACUGUUGUGUACCUUUCAGAUACCUCAGCACCCAUUUAACAGCCUUCCAGUGCUCCUUUCCAGGUGUAGCCAUAAACCUACUUACAACACUUAAAGCAUGAGCUAAGUCUGGUCUUGUAAGUACCAUUGCAUACAUCAUGCAACCAACAGCAUUUGCAUAAGGAACCUUUGUCAUUUCAUUCCUCUCUUCAUCUGUACUGGGGCAUUGUGAACAUGACAGCUUGAAGUGAGAUGCAAGAGGGGUUACUACUGACUUGCUGUUUGACAUCCCAAAAGUUCCCAGUACCUUCUCUAGAUACUUCCCUUGAGACAGAAUCAUAGUACCCUUCUUCCUGUUCCUUAUUAUUUCCAUACCCAAAAUCUUCCUAGCUGGACCCAAGUCUUUCAUAUCAAAUUCUGAAUUGAGCAGUUGCUUCAAAGCCUCAAUCUCUUCCCUUUCAUUACAAGCAAUCAACAUAUCAUCUACAUAUAACAGCAGAUAUAUGUAGUUGCCUGAUUGUAUGAUCUUGUAGUAAACACAUACAUCAUAGCUGCACCUUAGAUACCCAUGAGUGACCAUAAACUCAUCAAAUCUAAGGUACCACUGUCUGGGUGAUUGUUUCAGCCCAUACAGUGACCUCUUCAGCAGACACACACAGUCAGCAGAUUCAGGACUUGUGUACCCUUCAGGCUGUGUCAUCAAGAUGUCCUCAUUUAAUCUUCCAUGUAGAAAGGCUGUCUUGACAUUGAGUUGAUCAAGCUCCAUGUCUUUUACAGCUGUUAAAGCCAGUAGCACUCUGAUUGAUGUGUGUCUGACUACUGGUGAGAACACCUCUUUGAAAUCCACUCCAGCCCUCUGUGUGUAACCCUUGGCCACUAACCUAGCUUUGAAUCUUCUAGGUUCAGUAGCUGUUAGUCCAUCUUUGACUUUGUAGAUCCAUUUACAUCCUACUGUUCUGCUGUUGGCAGGUCUUUUAAUCAGCUCCCAUGUAUUGUUCUUCUUCAGUGAAUAGAUUUCCUCAUCCAUGGCCUUUUUCCACUCAUCUUUGUAUGGUCCCUGGAUAGCCUCUUUGUAGUUCUUGGGUUUAUCAUCAUCAAUUUGAUGAGAUGCUGUUAAUGCAUAGGCUAUCAGAUCUGCAUAUCCAUAUCUGACAGGUGCUUUUGCUUUCCUUCUUUCUCUGUCUCUUGUCAGCUGGUACUCCUGAUGCUGAGCUUCAGUCUGCUUUACAUGAUCAGUUUCUAGAUCAGUAGCUCCUUGAUAAGAGUCAUCUUCAUCUUCUGAAGCUUCUCUAGUGUAGGGCUCCACCUCAAACUGAAUCUUGGUUCUCUCCUUCUCCUUUGGUGUAUCUGUGUCAGUAGGUUUCUUCAUUUCCAGUGCAGCUUUCUCAUUGAAUAUUACAUCUCUACUGAUUAUGCACUUGGGGGGAUUAAGGUCUGUACACCACAGUUUGAAGCCUUUAACACCUUCAGGAUACCCAAUGAACUUUCCUUUAAGGGUUCUUGGAGCUAACUUCCCUUGGCUCACAUGUGCAUAAGCUGGACAUCCAAAUACUUUGAGGCUGCCAUAGUCUGCUGGUUUUCCAUGCCAUUUCUCAAAUGGGGUUUUGAAGUCAAGUGCUGCAGAGGGACUUAGAUUUACCAGAUAGCUUGCUGUUAACAGAGUCUCAGCCCACAAUCCUUUUGGAAGUUGUGACUGGAUCAUCAUGCUUCUUACUCUGUCCAUCAGGGUUCUGUUCAUUCUUUCGGCUAACCCAUUUUGUUGAGGAGUCAGCCUUACAGUUCUAUGCCUUGCAAUGCCAUGAUCUGCACAGUAGCUAUCAAACUCCUGAUUGCAAAACUCAAGACCAUUGUCUGUUCUGAGUUUCUUUACCUUCAAUCCAGUUUGAUUUUCAACCAGGGAUUUCCACUCUCUGAAUUUUCCAAAUACCUGAUCCUUGUGCUUUAAGACAUAAACCCAUACUCUCCUUGAAUAAUCAUCUAUUAAAGACAAGAAAUAGGUGUUGCCACCUAGUGACAUUGUCUGUGCUGGUCCCCAUAAAUCUGAGUGUAUGUAUUCAAGGAUGCCUUUUGUUGAAUGAACUGAUUUUCCAAAGCUACUUCUUGUAGCUUUGCCUAGUACACAGUCUUCACAAAAAUUCAGUUCUGAGAUUUGACUGCUGCCUAGAACCCCUUGCUUCUGUAAUUCUUUCAGACCUCUCAAGCUCAUAUGUCCUAAUCUAAGGUGCCACAGCAGAGUGUUAUCACAGCUUGAACUGAUUAACACUCCUGACACACCAGUUAUAGCUUCCCCAUUCAAAACAUAAACCCCAUUUCUCUUGUAACCUUUCAUAACUAUCCCAUCUUCAUUUGAAAUUCUCAGCUCACCAGAUUCAAGCUUAAUGCUAAGCCCCAUUUGGUCAAGCAUACCUAGAGAUAUUAAGUUCCUUUUAAGUUCAGGAACAUACCUAACUUCCCUUAAUUCUCUUAUUGUUCCAUCAUGCAAUUUUAGGUUUAUAUUUCCUAUCCCCGCAAUUUUACAAACAGCAUUGUUACCCAUCAUAACUUUUCCUCCAUCAGUUUCAUGAUAGUUUAAUAGGUAAUCUUUAAAGGGGCACAUAUGAAAUGUACAACCUGAGUCUAGAAUCCAGGUACCUUUUUGCACAUGCUCUGUAGCCACACAUACUCCUGCUGACUCAUACCCCUCUUCCUCAGCAGUAGCAGCAGCUCCAUUUUGUUCCCUUUUCUUGUUCUUGAGUUCUGGGCAAUCUCUCUUGAAAUGCCCUUCUUUCUGGCACUGAAAACAUUUCUUGCCUUUAGUCUUUUGUUUGUUGUUCCCUUGCUUCUUUUUCUUUCCAUCAUACUUAUCAGUUCUUGCUUUUACUGCCAAUACUUCUCCAGAGUUCAUAUUCCCUGACUUUUCUUGCAGCCCUCUAGUAUUCAGGGCAGCCUUAACUUCAUCCAAUGAUAAAGUCUGUCUCCCAUACAUGAGUGCAUCCACAAAGUUUGAAUAUGAGGAUGGAAGUGAACUAACCAGAAGCAAUGCUUUACCUUCAUCAUCUAAACCUUCAUCAAUUAUUUCCAAUGUAUCACAGACCUGAUUGAAUUCAUCAAUGUGGUCUUCGAGAGAUGACCCUUCAGCCAUCUUUAGUGUGAACAUUCUUUUCUUGAUGUAAAGUCUGUUGGCUAAUGAUUUAGUCAUAUACACCCUUUCAAGCUUUGCCCACAGAUCAGCCACUGUUCUUUCUCUUGCAACUUCCCUGAUCACCGAGUCUCCAAGACUCAAGAUUAUGGUACUCCUUGCCUUUUUGUCAAUCUCAGCAGCUUGUUGUGGUGUUAGUGAUGAUGAAGAUGUGGAGGCUUCUAAUCCUUCUUUCUUGAUGAUAGGUUCUAAGGCAUCACCUAGCCCUUGAGUGAUCAGUAAUGCCUCCAUUUUAACCUUCCACAUGUUGAAGUCAUUCUUCCCUGUAAACUUCUCUAGAUCGAUCUUUGAACCAACCAUACUUGUGUCUGAUUUGUAAUCCAAGCUCUGAUACCAAUUGUAGUGUUUAAGAGUGACUAACUAUCCCAAUCAACUCAAAACACUUCCCAAGAUCACACCCAAACAAACAAGAUGUACCAAGAAUCAAUCCAGUAGAAUACACACAGAUUAUUAGAACUGAAAGAAUUAAAGAAAAGGACAAGAAUUAACGUGGUUCAGCUAGCUUCAGUCUAGCUUACAUCCACGGGAGAAACAGAACCCAAUUGUAUUGAUUGUUUAAAGGAGUUACAGAGAGUUCAUCAAGCUUGUUACAGAGUCUCUCAAGAAGCCUUUUGUUAUUAAUCUUCUCAACUCACAAUAGCUCUCUCUUCUUUUUUCUCAGUUGCCAGAAUCAGCUGUAUAUAACAGCUUGUUAACGAAUCAGCAACCAACCCAGAAACCCACGUGACAGUCAUGUGAGUUAACUGAUUCUAACGAACCAAGAACGCAACUUAUCCAUGCACGUGAAACUCUCGUGCAUCACUUAACCAAAACGACCUUCAUACAUGUCGUUCCAGGAGAUACGAGUUUGACUUUCCAAAACGCAGCAUCAGCUGACGUUUUCACAAACAGAUUUGCUUCACAUCACAACAUUGGGGGUAGUCAUUAGAAACUCUGUGGGUAAGGUUGUUGCUGCAGCAGUCCAAAGAGCUCCAUAUAGGGGAGAUGUGGCGUGUAUGGAGGUUGAAGCUGUUCUGUUUGGUAUUCAGAGUGCCCAACAAGCAGCUGUUUUCCCAAUAAUUAUUGAGUCGGAUUCAAAGGAAGUGGUGGAUCUAUCCUUAAAGAAAAAGAUCAGCAAGACUGAAAUUGAGUGGAAAAUUGCAGAAAUCCAAGCAAAUCUGGAAAAUCAGAAUGUGUCCUCGCUGUCAUAUGUCCCUAGAAGCUGUAACUCUAUUGCUCAUUCUAUUGCAAAGAUAGCUCUAGGUUUUGAAAGUCAAGUCUUUUGGCUGGAAAACUUUCCAGAACAUAUCAGGUGUACUCUUGCUAAGUUCAUCAAUUGAAAAGCUUUACUUUGCUCAUCAAAAAAAAAAAAAAAAAAAAACUCCAGUGGCUGCAUCCACUGGAAAAAGUGGAUGAGAACCAUUUUUUUUUCAUAAAGGUAACUACUCACAUAAUUGAUGGUGCUUAAAUCAAUUUUUUUUUUAAUUUAAAGAAUUUUGCUUUAAAAAAUAAUUAAUAUCAAAAUGCCUUCAAUGUUGUUACCCUCACAAGCCCAGUUAGAGGACUCAUUAAAAAUUUUAGAAUUUUCAGGCCUGGAAAGCGUAGUAUUAAACAUCAGAAAGCAAAGGUUUUUAUGUCGAAGAAUUGAUGUCGACAAAAUUUUAUUUUAGUUUUUGGGAAAAAAAAUAUUUUGUUGACAAGCAAGAAAAUAUUUUUUAUACUUUACAAUCUGCCUUCUCUCUCAUUGUCUCUCACUAUUUCACGAUCUCUCUCUCACUCACACAGGCAAUGACCAUCUCAUCAUCGGCGUUCGUGUCGUCAGUGUCACUGGUCUUGCUCGACCGAGACAGUGAGAGAGAGGUUUGUUAGAUGGAGUGAUGAUAAAGGAUUCUAUUUUUUUUAUUAAUAUUUUAAUUUUUAAAAUUAAAAUGUGCUGCCGUUUCUCUUGUCUUUUUAGCUGUUUAGCAGCACUCUUUUCAAAAUUUAAGAAUGUAGGUGUCCUAUAAGAGAUCGAUAAAAGAACGUCAAUUAAAUUUAUAAAAAUAUGAUAAAAGAACGUCAAUUACUUGUCUUUUAGGGAAUCCAAUGAGAAAUAUGAUAAAAGAACGUCAAUUACUUGUCAUUUUCAAUUUUUUUCUGUAAGCUAUUUAUUUUGAGCAUUAGUGCUCUUGUCUGGACUACUCCAAUUAUUGACGUAACUCCAGUGGCUGCAAUUAAUGAUAUAAAGCUGAGACUUUUGACCAAGUUAUCUAGUUGGGAAAGCAAAUUUUUUUCCAGUGGGGGCAAAGAAGUGUUGAUUAAAACUGUUGCUCAGGCUGUGCCAGUCUAUGCAAUGAGUGUUUUUAAGAUCCCUCAUAGCUUUUGUGAUGACAUUGAGAAGGCUAUUGCUCGUUUCUGGUGGGGUUCCUCUGAAACAAAAAGAAGCAUUCACUGGACAAGGUGGGAACGGUUGUGCCACGCCAAGAUAAGGGGGGGAUUGGGUUUUAGAGAUUUCUCUAGUUUUAACCAAGCCUUAAUUGCUAAGCAGGGGUGGAGAAUUCUGCAGCACCCUGACUCUUUAAUGGCAAAGAUUCUGAAAGCAAAAUAUUUUAAGCAUACUGGUUUUAUGGAUGCGAAAUUGGGUUCACACCCCUCUUUUGUUUGGAGAAGUAUAUUAUGGGGUAGGCAAGUGCUCCAUAACGGCCUAAGAUGGAGAAUCGGCUGUGGGAGUCAGGUUUUAAUUUCCAGUAGCAAUUGGAUAAAAAACCAUAAGCUUCACAGUUUGGUUCCAUAUUCAAAUCUACCUCCUGAAACUGUAGUUGUUGACCUUAUUGAUGAAAGUCACCAAUGGAAAGAAGAUAUGGUUUUCCAACAUUUUCCAAUGGAUGUUGCAAAGAGGAUCACAAGAACCCCUCUCCCAAAAACUCCCCAGCAGGAUCUUCUCAUUUGGAAAUAUGAUAAGCACAGAAUUUACUCGGUGAAGAGUGGGUAUCAAUUGGCUGUUAAGCAAAAAUUCCAAAAUUAUCCAAGUUGUUCAGAUGUUACCAAGUCAAGGUGGGAGGUGAUAUGGGCUACGGAUCUUCUAGGAAAAGUCAAGAUUUUUAUUUGGAGGGCUGCUCAAAAUCUUCUCCCUACAGUUGGAAAUCUAUGGAGGAGGAGGGUGGUGAAGGAUUAUUUUUGCCAAAGAUGUAAUUGCAGAGGAGAGGAUGUCUUCCAUGCUUUAAUAGAGUGCAGGGCAGCUAAAAGGGUUUGGAAGUUGACUGAAUUUUAUGAGGAUGUAAAGCAAUUAGCUCGGCAAGACAUGUUGAGUGUGCUGCAGGAUUUAGCUGUGAAGAGAAAAAAGAAUGAGCUGGAGCUUGUUGUUGCGGUGUGCUGGGCCAUUUGGUACUCUAGGAAUCGUUUGGUGUUUGAAGGAAAGGAAGAAGAUCCAAAAACUUCAGUGGCCAGAGCAAUUGCUAUGGUGGAAUCAUACAGGCGAAUAAAAGUUCCAAAUGAACAAAAUUCUCCAGGCCAUAGCAGAAUCAGUCAACUAGAAUGGGCAAAUCCUCCAAAGGGGUGUUAUAAAGUCAACGUUGAUGCUGCAAUUAAUGUUUCAAACCAAAAGGCAGGGUUGGGUGUAGUGUUUAAGAGUGACUAACUAUCCCAAUCAACUCAAAACACUUCCCAAGAUCACACCCAAACAAACAAGAUGUACCAAGAAUCAAUCCAGUAGAAUACACACAGAUUAUUAGAACUGAAAGAAUUAAAGAAAAGGACAAGAAUUAACGUGGUUCAGCUAGCUUCAGUCUAGCUUACAUCCACGGGAGAAACAGAACCCAAUUGUAUUGAUUGUUUAAAGGAGUUACAGAGAGUUCAUCAAGCUUGUUACAGAGUCUCUCAAGAAGCCUUUUGUUAUUAAUCUUCUCAACUCACAAUAGCUCUCUCUUCUUUUUUCUCAGUUGCCAGAAUCAGCUGUAUAUAACAGCUUGUUAACGAAUCAGCAACCAACCCAGAAACCCACGUGACAGUCAUGUGAGUUAACUGAUUCUAACGAACCAAGAACGCAACUUAUCCAUGCACGUGAAACUCUCGUGCAUCACUUAACCAAAACGACCUUCAUACAUGUCGUUCCAGGAGAUACGAGUUUGACUUUCCAAAACGCAGCAUCAGCUGACGUUUUCACAAACAGAUUUCGUUCACAUCACAACAUUGGGGGUAGUCAUUAGAAACUCUGUGGGUAAGGUUGUUGCUGCAGCAGUCCAAGGAGCUCCAUAUAGGGGAGAUGUGGCGUGUAUGGAGGUUGAAGCUGUUCUGUUUGGUAUUCAGAGUGCCCAACAAGCAGCUGUUUUCCCAAUAAUUAUUGAGUCGGAUUCAAAGGAAGUGGUGGAUCUAUCCUUAAAGAAAAAGAUCAGCAAGACUGAAAUUGAGUGGAAAAUUGCAGAAAUCCAAGCAAAUCUGGAAAAUCAGAAUGUGUCCUCGCUGUCAUAUGUCCCUAGAAGCUGUAACUCUAUUGCUCAUUCUAUUGCAAAGAUAGCUCUAGGUUUUGAAAGUCAAGUCUUUUGGCUGGAAAACUUUCCAGAACAUAUCAGGUGUACUCUUGCUAAGUUCAUCAAUUGAAAAGCUUUACUUUGCUCAUCAAAAAAAAAAAAAAAAAAAAAACUCCAGUGGCUGCAUCCACUGGAAAAAGUGGAUGAGAACCAUUUUUUUUUCAUAAAGGUAACUACUCACAUAAUUGAUGGUGCUUAAAUCAAUUUUUUUUUUAAUUUAAAGAAUUUUGCUUUAAAAAAUAAUUAAUAUCAAAAUGCCUUCAAUGUUGUUACCCUCACAAGCCCAGUUAGAGGACUCAUUAAAAAUUUUAGAAUUUUCAGGCCUGGAAAGCGUAGUAUUAAACAUCAGAAAGCAAAGGUUUUUAUGUCGAAGAAUUGAUGUCGACAAAAUUUUAUUUUAGUUUUUGGGAAAAAAAAUAUUUUGUUGACAAGCAAGAAAAUAUUUUUUAUACUUUACAAUCUGCUAUACAUAUUUUAUCAUAUUAAAGUAAUUUUAAUAAUAUAUGGAAACAUAAUAUUUUAAUAAAUAAAUUAAAAUUACUUUGAAUUAUUGAAUAUUACAAAAAGAUAAUUUUAAUAUUAUUAAUAGGAAAACAUUUUUUAAUUGUAAAAUCUUUUUAAUACAAAAAUUCAUUUAAAAUCUUUAUAAUAAAUACAAAUAUAAAAUUAAAAAAUAUUAUAAUUUAAAAUUUUUAAUAGUAUUUAAAUAUUAAAAAUACUUUAAUAUUAUUAAUCUACUACAUCAAAUAUAUUAUUUAUAUUAUAUUCGUAUUGAUUAAAACGUUUUAAAGUCAAAUUUUUAAUUAGUGUAUUCAAAGGUACAAAAGAUUUUAGUAUUAUUUUUUAAAAAUUUCAGGAUAUGAAUGUUAAUUUUUUUCAAAUUUUAAAGAUGUAAAAAUCUUUUUUUCUGAUAAUUUAUUUCACUUUUGAGAGAAUCCGAAAACGUUAAUUUAACAUUCUUUACCUUUGUGAAAAAAGUGAAAAUCAAGAACUAUUCAAUUUUGUUUUUAUUUGUAAUUCAAAAACUUUAUUCAUUUUGGAUGCUUUUCAAAAGAGAUUCCUUUAAAUCCUUUUGGUGUCUGCAGCUCCUGCUAUUCUCAUAAGUCUCCAUCCCACAUCUACACUAUCAAACAAGUUGAUGGAAAUUCUUAUAAAAAAAAAAAAAAAGUCGAUGGAAAUUGAUCAAUUGCUUUUUGAAAUGGACCCAUUGAGUCAUGUUCAUUUCUGGUCAUUGUCUACUCUUUCUAUCAGCCAUUAAUUUUGACCAUUUGCGAUCUUAUCUGGACCAACUCCAAUUAUUUAUGUAACGAACUCCAAAGGUUGCAUCUACAGUUGAAUGUAAGAUAGCGAAGGCUCUUCUUUGAGAAAAUAGAGGAACCUUUCUCUGUUUCUCCGUUGCAACGUGCUCAUAUAAAUUUCUUUACCUUACAGUUUAUACGGUCUUGCUGUUAAUGAAUUCGCUGAGGCAUUAUUGAUCCAAUCUGAGUGAAGUAAUUGUGGCUGAAAAAUAAAUAAAGGAUAUGAGAACGUAGCUGAAGUGCUGAAGGGGCUAUUAAAGAAGAGUGUCACUUGAUCACAAUCACAUUGAUGCACAACUCACUCGUGGCAAAUUUCGACUAUACGUACUGCAAAUUCAGCCAAACCAUACAUGCAUGAACAAAACAUCUUCUCUAAACUAAAAAGCCCACAUCUCUAAAAUCAAUCUACAUAAUGUUGGAGAUGAGGGGUGAAUUGUUAACUCAGUAAAAAAAAAAAACUCAUGCAUAAGAUUACUAAUAAUAUAAAUUAUAUAUUAAUCAUUAUAAAGAAUCAUAAAUUAGAAAAAUUAAUCAUUUUAUAAUUUAUUACACAAGUAUGAUAAAUCUUAUAAUAAGUUAUAACAUAAAAAAACGUUAUCAAUAAAUAAUCAUUUAAGAAGUCAUUUAACAAUAAAAUCGUUCUUUGAUCAGUUGGUCAUGUCACAUAGUAUCAUCUAUAUUUAUGGUGAUAAUAUUAUUACUUAGUAUUAUCAAAAAACAUGAUUUAACAUUUAGAGGAAAUUCUUGCCUUUUAAAAAAAACAUGUAUGCAACAGCUACCCAUGCUUUAUCUUACCAUGACAAAUAUUUUCUCAAUGAAAGAAUUUUUUUUUAAAAUUGAUUUAAUGCACAAAUAUGAUGAUUUUUGCCAAAAAUUAAUUUUGGAAAACAUAGUGAGAGAAAAUAGUGACGAUUAUUGUUUAGAUGUAUAAAUAGCCUAAACAUAAUCCUUAAUACCAGUAUCCAUGUGCAUCUUAGCAUCUUUUAUGAUAUUCUUUCAUUUAUGUCCAUUGGUUCAAGAUUUGAAUUUGAUCAUUAAAUCAUAUUCAAUAAUAUUAGAGAUUCCAAAAAUUGAGUACCAACUUAAAUCCCAAUGUUAUGUUUCAUUGACCAAUGUCGUGUCAUUUUCUUAUUAACUAGGUGAUGAAUUUCUAGUUGAUAAAAUCACUUAAAAAUAUCUUAAAAAUCAGACAAUAGUUUGCUUAAUUUUUCCAAGUUAACUGCUCAAGAUGCUCUAUUAUAAAUGAUAACCUAAUUAUAUUCAUAAAAAAUGAUAUAUUUUUUGUGGUGUUGAUAAUGAGAUUAUCAUUCAACAUUUUAAAAUGUGAAAACAUAUGGAAGAUGGUUGUAAAUUGAUUGAAUGAAAAUAUUUCAGUGAAGUCUCAAAAAUUUGGUACUUGUUGUCUUAUCGAAAGUUUUCUAAAUUAUAUUCGUGGCACAGCCACUAUCCAAACCAUACAAGUCCAAAGCUAUCCAAACCAUACCUGCAAGUCCGGGGCUUAAAUGGAGUACUUCUAAGCAAAAAAACAUUGACUAAAAUAGAAUAUAUACAUACAGACACACAUACAUACCAGCAUAUUCAAAAUAGCAAAAGGAGUGCAAAGUUCAAGUUUGUAGACAACAUUGCAACCAUAGCAUGUUUAUAGCAAAUCCUCAAAAUCUGCUAAAUAAAACAAUGCCCUGUCUCAUGAAUCAAUGCUGAAUUAAAAUUGAAACUGAAAGUCUGGAUGGUGUUGUUUGUUGAGAAUGUCAAAUAAAACGGCAUUGAAGGAAGUUUUCAAAGGCAGAAUCCGCACUUGUCAAAGGGAUGAUCUGCACUUGUCAAAGACACGAUCCGCGCUGAACGGAUCGACACAUUUCCUUCCGUAUUCACAUAUGUAAUCUUUGAAAAAAUAUAGCUUCUGCAUCUAUAAAUAACGCUCAAUGUAUAAUGUUUUAUUCAAGAAAUAAAAACAAGUUUCUACAUGGUAUCAGAGCCAUGAAUGCGCUCAAGUUUCUUCAAGUUUCGUUGCUCUGUUUGUCACAAAAACAGAGGAAACCAAAUUCGUCCCACAACCAUUUUUUCCACCAUUUUCUUCCUUAAAAUCAUUCCUAACAUUACAGAAAUCCAUGCCGAUCAAAAAACAUGAAAGACAAAUUACACAUGUGCAGUAACCAAUGAUCAUAUUUCGUUACUGUCAAACACAAUGCAUCUGAGCAAAACAUUGGAAGCCAACACCAGAAUACAUAUGAAUAAACAAUUAAAGAUAGAGAAAAAAGGCUUAAACCUUGGGGGAAAAAAGUGAAAAAACAUGAAAGACAAAUUACACAUGUGCAGUAACCAUCGAACUUAUCAGUGACAGCUGCAUCUAUUACAUUGCUCCAACAACACAAUGGCAAACCACCAGUUUCAAAUUGAGGAUAGCUAUCGAGAAUGAGAAAGUGUCCAAAACGUCAUAAAUAGACAUGUUCCUAUUGUGCAUAAUUUACAUUAUAGGCAAAUAUUCUUAUACCAUCAAUGGCAAAACAUGACACUAACAAUUGAUCCCCCCAACACCCCCCCCCCCCACCAACCAAAAAAAAAAAGGAAAUAACAAUACAGAAAAGAUUGAAACAGAUAAGGCUACACUGAGCACAGGAUGCCAUGAAACAUAAUCCAGGAACCAAAUUAAUAAAAAAGGAAGCCAAACCAUUAUUUAACAAUCUGUUUUGUAUUUGGGAAAGUCUGAUAAAAUCUACUUAGGGAUAAUUAGAGAACUUCAACUAUUAAUCACACCUCAUAAAUGAACUAACAUUAACCAUCUACCAUCCCCACGUCACACAAACAUUCUCUAUACUUCUGAACCUAAUACUUCCAUCUUCAAUUGGGGGGUUUUUUUCUUUUUUCUUUUUUUUGGGGGGGGGGGGGGGGGGGGGGGGAAGCUAUCAAUUUUCUAAGCUUGCUUAGCUUCUGUGUGGGAUUGAAAUGCUGAUUUCGAAUCACUAACAGUAAAAUUGGAAGCUCAUGAGAAAAUAGAGAAAGACCUAAUGUUGAGUCCUUUGGCGCAUGUCUCUUCAUAGGUCCGAACCAUUUCUUCGGGCGUGGGUUACGGCCGAGAUUGGAUAAUGAUGGAGGAGGAGAAAAUAGAUAAUGAUUGCACUAAUUUUCUAGAUGAAUUUUUUCCUACAUGCUUGUUCCCGAAUGACCCAAAAUCCUGCUACAUCAGUUGUAUUAGAAAUUAAUCAACUGGGUUACAAUUAUGCAUCCCCACCAAUAUUUAAGCAAUUUACAGAAACAUUUCUUGAGGAAAAAAACUCAUAUCGCCACUAGGCUUUUAAUGAGGCUCAUUUUUAUGAAUUUGGAUGGCAUUAGAUAUCUCUCCAAAUAUUGGUGGGAGUAGAUCGCAGAUCUCUGGGCUAUACUACAAAGUGUAUGUACGUUGACUCUCAAUAAAUACAAACGAUUCUCUGAUAUGAUUCAAAACAUCAGUACAUGCAUCAUUUUAAUGAGAAAGAAUAUUCUAAGAACGAAAUUGAAGGUGCAAUCAGCAGCUAAAAUGAAGCCAGAAAUGUACACGCAUGAGGAACUUUUCCUAGAAGAUUGAUAUUUCUUUGACUAGCAAACCACACACGUCAAAGCUAGCCAAACCAUACCUGCAUGUCGGGGGUUUAAAUGGAGUACUUCUAAGCAUAAAACAUUGAUUAAAACAGAAUACACACAUACAUACCAGCAAAUUCAAAAUAGCAAAAGGAGUGCAAAAGUUCAAGUUUGUAGACAACAUUGCAACCAUGGCAUGUUUAUAGCAAAUCCUCGAAAUCUGCUAAAUAAAACAAUGCCAUGUCUCAUGAAUCAAUGCUGAAUUAAAAUUGAAACUGAAAGUCUGGCUAGCGAUGUUUCCCUCUCCAAUUUUGCCUACAUAAGUGAAAAUAAGAAUAAUAAAUGAAAAUCUGCUUUGACAGUUCUUAUUAGAUAGAUAUAAAAAGAUCUUUCUUUGUUUCUCUGCAGCAAUCUGUGGCUAUCCCACUCUGUUUUGCCAGUCAAGCUGCGGCCUCAAUUAGUUUGGCACUUUUAUGACCUCCUUGAAGGUUUUACGAUAAACAUAAAUCUACUGACAAAGUGGGCAAAAAGAAAAUGUAUAUAAAAGUAUGAGUUAUCAGAUAAGAUUAAAACUCACCCAAUUCAAUCCAUCAGAUUCCGUAAGGAUAUAACUGGAUGUCAUACCGCCACUCUAUAUUCUUGAAAGUCCGUAGUGUUUGUCUCAACUGUGUCUGGGGCCAGUGUAAGUCCAAUUUGCGCAAGCUCUCUAUGCACCACAGCUCUUCUGGAAGCUUUCUCAAGUAAGCACAUGGGUUGACAAUUAAGCUUUCAAGUUUCGGCAUUGCUCCAGCCCCCAUCGUCCACUCAUCUAGCCAAUACAUUGAUUUCAGGUGCAAAACCUUAAGUUCGGGAAAGCUACUCAAGCCAACACAAGCAAGCUUUCUUCCUAAAUACGAGUUCUGCUUCAGUUUCAGCACUCGAAGGAGUGGAAGAUUUUCCAGAAUUGGCAUGGGAUCCUCCAUUAGCUCAGUAUUUGAUAAGCUCAGUUGGAUCAGACUUGGGGGAAAUUGGUAUUCAGACAGGACCAUCCGUGAGGGCUUGCUCUCAUUCACCAGCUUCAAGCAUUCAAGUUUGUGGAGUUCGCAAAGGCUUUUGGAAACCCCAGAUUGAUAGUAACUCAAAUCUCCAGAUAUCCGAAGAGUCUGAACACUAGGUAGUCUGCCCAAUAUAUCAGGAGUACAACUACUAGGGUUUAAAGCUGAUAUGAAAAUGAGAUUUUUCAGAGAGCUAGAAUAAUUUUUUGGAGGUGCGGGCAGAGUGAUAGAACCAAAGUUUAGAUGCAUGAGUUUUUGCAUCAUCCAAAUAUCCUCUGGUGACUGAUCUAUGUAGCUAGAUGGCAUUUCUAGUGUUUCAAGGUUUAAAAGGGUGCAUAGCAGUGAAGGAAGGCAUUUGGGCGAAGGGAUAUUCAAUUUCAAAUACUUCAAAAGGAAUGAAUUUUCUAAUCCGGGUGGAUAUUGGUCCAGGACUGCAGAACCCAUGUUCAAUACCCGAAGGUAUUUGAACCUUUUAAAAAAAUUCUCGCAAUCUUUCGAAUUAAGAUGAUUGCUUUUUGAACUGUGAUUCAGAAAAGAAGUUUCUGCAGAACCCAUGUUAGAAUGUUUCAAAGAAAAGAAGUCAAUCUGAUUACCCAAAAUGAUGUACCGUUUAACAUUUUCCGGUGGUUCAUCUUCCAUGUCAAGCAUCCAGACAAAUCCCGUCUUCUCUGCCACCAAUAACAAUGAAUAAUAUACAAUACUUGGAACAUAACACGCUUUAAUCGUGCCUCCGGCGCUUCUCUUACUCACUUGAAUGAAGCCGCGAUGGAUUAGUUCUUUCAAGUAAUGUUCGGCCGUCUCCUCACUGUUGUAUGGUAUGAAACCUUCAGCUACCCAUAACUGAUAUAAUUGCCUCGUGGAUAUCUCAAUACUUGGAGGGAAGACACACAAAUAGAUGCAGCAGACUUUCAAGUGAAAAGGUAACUCCAUCACAGAGAAAGUUUGUCUCCAUACUGUCGGAAUCGCUUCGCCUUGAAGAUAAUUUCCUAAUGGCAUACUUCCAUAGUGUAGGACGAAAAAUUGCCAGGCUUCAAGCUUUAAUCUGAUCAAUGGUCCUCCAAUGAGCACCGAAUCAAGCCGAAUCUUCUCUCCGUUUUCCAUUUUCAGCGACGUAAGGAGUUCUGGUUCAGUGACCAAUAUCAAUACUCUGCUUCCAUUCUCAUUAUCAGGGAGAACUUCUUCGAGAUCACUCCAUAUCUCACUGUAAUCGAAGACGUCAUCAAGCACAAUAAAGUACUUCUUGUUGGUUAGGUAAUCUCGAAGAACAGAUUUCUUCAAUUGAUAAUGUUCACCGAUAAUUACACUAACCCGAGAUGGAGGCAUCACAGACUUGAUUAUGUCAUCCAAUAUCCAUACUUUAUCGUAGGCUAUAGAAACCCUUACCCAAGCAUGACAGUCAAAAUAGAACUUGACACGGUUAUUAUUGUAAGUAUCUGCAGCAAAAGCAGUCUUAUCGAAGCCACUGCUGUCGAGAAUUGCAACCACUGAAAGCCCAGAUGGUCCCUCAAUCAAUAGAUCAAAAAACUUCUCUCUGCCCCUUUCAAAUUCACUGAUAUCGAGCCGAGGUUGUCCCUCACUCAAUAGGCGUAUGAUUUCGUUCCUUUUUUCACUGAUAUCAAAACCAUUGUCGCCGGGUGGAAGUUGUUGCAUCCGAUUUCUAAUAUCAAUGAUUUUAGUGUGGAGUCCAACAAGAAGAGCCAUAUCAGUACUGCUUUCACUUUCGUUUUCACUGUUUUGCUGCUGCAUGAUUUUGAUGAAGAAUGUGUCAAUGGCUUCCUCAGAUUCAUGGACAAAGUCAUUGAUGUCCUCCAGAAUUUCAAAAAUAUCUGCUGUUUCAACGUCUUCUUCAUCGCUUUCUUCUAAGUCCAACAGUUGCAAAAAAGGCAAUGAUAUUUUGGAGUCAUCUAAUUCUUCUCUAAGGAGUUGAAACAAAUGCCGAGCCAUGUCAGCUUCAUAGUUUCCCAGCAGAGUAGUAGCAAUAAUUUCGGACUCCGUAAGAAGGUUUUGAAAACGUGGAGUUAAAUUUGUUGAAUCUGGCAAAGUUAACGUGCCUUCUUCACCUGCUAACACCCUUUUCAACCUCUCACAAAACAGUCGGAGGUGGAAUUCCAGCAUAUCUCCUUCUCUCCGUAGCACUCAGAGGUAUAGCUGAAAGAUUAAACACCAUGGAAGAAUUUGAAAGGAAAAUGCCAAGAAAUUGUGUAAGUGGCUAAAUUCCACAAAUAUGACAUUAUUGCUCAUUUUUUAACUCAAAAAAAGGGUACGCGUUCAUUUAGAGAAAAGUCCAAGACGCGUGCUUUUUGAAAAGAACAGGUAUCCCAAUCGGUAUCCAACCUUUAUCUUAUUUAAUUACUACCAUGACAUAAUUGAUGGUGCUUAAAUCAAUUGUUUCUUUUUUAAUUUAAAGAAUUUUUCAUUAAAAAAAUAUUUUAAUAUCAAAUUGCCUUCAGUGGCGUAACAACUGCCUGAAGCCCAGUAACAGGACUAAUUAAAAAUUUUACAAUUUUUGGGCAUGGAAAUAGUAGUAUUAAACAUUAGAAAGGUGAGGUUGUUCUGUUAAAGAAUUGAUAUUGACAUAAUUUUAUUUUGGUUUUCGUGGAAAACAAAAAUAUUUGUUGACAAGCAAGAAAAUAUUUUUAUUUUUUAAAAUUUAUUAUGCAUAUUUUAUCAUAUUGAAGUAAUUUUAAUAAUAAAUAGAAACAUAAUAUUACAAUAAAUAAAUUAAAAUUUAACUUAUUUUGAAUAUUAUAAAAAAUAAUUUUAAUAUUAUUAAUAGGAAGACAUUGUAUUAAUUUUAAAAUUUUUUAACCCAAAGGUUUAUUUAAAAUCUUUAUUAUAAAUACAAAUAUAAAAUUAAAUAUCAUAAUUUAAAAUUUUUAAUAUUAUUUUAAGUAUUAAAAAUAUUUUAAUGUUAUUAGUCUACUACAUAGAUCAUAUUACUUAUAUAAUAUUUGUAUUAUUAAAAAUUUUUAAAAUCAAAUUUUUAGUUAGUAUAUUCAUGAGGUAUUAUGGUUACAAAAAAAAGACCUUAUUAUUACUUUUUAAAAAAUUGAGGGUCUGCGAUGAUAAUUUUUUCAAAAAGAAAAUACAUGGUAUGUAGGAGGGGUAGAGAAACAGGACUUCCAAAAUCUCUCACCCUUCUUUAAUUAAAAAAAAAAUUAAAAUAUUAAUAAAAAAUAAUAAAGAAAAUAGAAUUUUAUCUGCUCCUUACUCCAUUUUUGCAACUCUCUCAACAUCUCUGUCGAGCAGCCUUCUCUCUCAUUGUCUCUCACUAUUUCACGAUCUCUCUCUCACUCACACAGGCAAUGACCAUCUCAUCAUCGGCGGUCGUGUCGUCAGUGUCACUGGUCUUGCUCGACCGAGACAGUGAGAGAGAGGUUUCUUAGAUGGAGUGAUGAUAAAGGAUUCUAUUUUUUUUAUUAAUAUUUUAAUUUUUAAAAUUAAAAUGUGCUGCCGUUUCUCUUGUCUUUUUAGCUGUUUAGCAGCACUCUUUUCAAAAUUUAAGAAUGUAGGUGUCCUAUAAGAGAUCGAUAAAAGAACGUCAAUUAAAUUUAUAAAAAUAUGAUAAAAGAACGUCAAUUACUUGUCUUUUAGGGAAUCCAAUGAGAAAUAUGAUAAAAGAACGUCAAUUACUUGUCAUUUUCAAUUUUUUUCUGUAAGCUAUUUAUUUUGAGCAUUAGUGAUCUUGUCUGGACUACUCCAAUUAUUGACGUAACUCCAGUGGCUGCAAUUAAUGAUAUAAAGCUGAGACUUUUGACCAAGUUAUCUAGUUGGGAAAGCAAAUUUUUUUCCAGUGGGGGUAAAGAAGUGUUGAUUAAAGCUGUUGCUCAGGCUGUGCCAGCCUAUGCAAUGAGUGUUUUUAAGAUCCCUCAUAGCUUUUGUGAUGACAUUGAGAAGGCUAUUACUCGUUUCUGGUGGGGUUCCUCUGAAACAAAAAGAAGCAUUCACUGGACAAGGUGGGAACAGUUGUGCCACGCCAAGAUAAGGGGGGGAUUGGGUUUUAGAGAUUUCUCUAGUUUUAACCAAGCCUUAAUUGCUAAGCAGGGGUGGAGAAUUCUGCAGCACCCUGACUCUUUAAUGGCAAAGAUUCUGAAAGCAAAAUAUUUUAAGCAUACUGGUUUUAUGGAUGCGAAAUUGGGUUCACACCCCUCUUUUGUUUGGAGAAGUAUAUUAUGGGGUAGGCAAGUGCUCCAUAACGGCCUAAGAUGGAGAAUCGGCAGUGGGAGUCAAGUUUUAAUUUCCAGUAGCAAUUGGAUAAAAAACCAUAAGCUUCCCAGUUUGGUUCCAUAUUCAGAUCUACCUCCUGAAACUGUAGUUGCUGACCUUAUUGAUGAAAGUCACCAAUGGAAAGAAGAUAUGGUUUUCCAAUAUUUUCCAAUGGAUGUUGCAAAGAGGAUCACCAGAACCCCUCUCCCAAAAACUCCCCAGCAGGAUCUUCUCAUUUGGAAAUAUGAUAAGCACGGAAUUUACUCGGUGAAGAGUGGGUAUCAAUUGGCUGUUAAGCAAAAAUUCCAAAAUUAUCCAAGUUGUUCAGAUGUUACCAAGUCAAGGUGGGAGGUGAUAUGGGCUACGGAUCUUCUAGGAAAAGUCAAGAUUUUUAUUUGGAGGGCUGCUCAAAAUCUUCUCCCUGACUUUUCUUGCAGCCCUCUAGUAUUCAGGGCAGCCUUAACUUCAUCCAAUGAUAAAGUCUGUCUCCCAUACAUGAGUGCAUCCACAAAGUUUGAAUAUGAGGAUGGAAGUGAACUAACCAGAAGCAAUGCUUUACCUUCAUCAUCUAAACCUUCAUCAAUUAUUUCCAAUGUAUCACAGACCUGAUUGAAUUCAUCAAUGUGGUCUUCGAGAGAUGACCCUUCAGCCAUCUUUAGUGUGAACAUUCUUUUCUUGAUGUAAAGUCUGUUGGCUAAUGAUUUAGUCAUAUACACCCUUUCAAGCUUUGCCCACAGAUCAGCCACUGUUCUUUCUCUUGCAACUUCCCUGAUCACCGAGUCUCCAAGACUCAAGAUUAUGGUACUCCUUGCCUUUUUGUCAAUCUCAGCAGCUUGUUGUGGUGUUAGUGAUGAUGAAGAUGUGGAGGCUUCUAAUCCUUCUUUCUUGAUGAUAGGUUCUAAGGCAUCACCUAGCCCUUGAGUGAUCAGUAAUGCCUCCAUUUUAACCUUCCACAUGUUGAAGUCAUUCUUCCCUGUAAACUUCUCUAGAUCGAUCUUUGAACCAACCAUACUUGUGUCUGAUUUGUAAUCCAAGCUCUGAUACCAAUUGUAGUGUUUAAGAGUGACUAACUAUCCCAAUCAACUCAAAACACUUCCCAAGAUCACACCCAAACAAACAAGAUGUACCAAGAAUCAAUCCAGUAGAAUACACACAGAUUAUUAGAACUGAAAGAAUUAAAGAAAAGGACAAGAAUUAACGUGGUUCAGCUAGCUUCAGUCUAGCUUACAUCCACGGGAGAAACAGAACCCAAUUGUAUUGAUUGUUUAAAGGAGUUACAGAGAGUUCAUCAAGCUUGUUACAGAGUCUCUCAAGAAGCCUUUUGUUAUUAAUCUUCUCAACUCACAAUAGCUCUCUCUUCUUUUUUCUCUGUUGCCAGAAUCAGCUGUAUAUAACAGCUUGUUAACGAAUCAGCAACCAACCCAGGAACCCACGUGACAGUCAUGUGAGUUAACUGAUUCUAACGAACCAAGAACGCAACUUAUCCAUGCACGUGAAACUCUCGUGCAUCACUUAACCAAAACGACCUUCAUACAUGUCGUUCCAGGAGAUACGAGUUUGACUUUCCAAAACGCAGCAUCAGCUGACGUUUUCACAAACAGAUUUGCUUCACAUCACAACAUUGGGGGUAGUCAUUAGAAACUCUGUGGGUAAGGUUGUUGCUGCAGCAGUCCAAGGAGCUCCAUAUAGGGGAGAUGUGGCGUGUAUGGAGGUUGAAGCUGUUCUGUUUGGUAUUCAGAGUGCCCAACAAGCAGCUGUUUUCCCAAUAAUUAUUGAGUCGGAUUCAAAGGAAGUGGUGGAUCUAUCCUUAAAGAAAAAGAUCAGCAAGACUGAAAUUGAGUGGAAAAUUGCAGAAAUCCAAGCAAAUCUGGAAAAUCAGAAUGUGUCCUCGCUGUCAUAUGUCCCUAGAAGCUGUAACUCUAUUGCUCAUUCUAUUGCAAAGAUAGCUCUAGGUUUUGAAAGUCAAGUCUUUUGGCUGGAAAACUUUCCAGAACAUAUCAGGUGUACUCUUGCUAAGUUCAUCAAUUGAAAAGCUUUACUUUGCUCAUCAAAAAAAAAAAAAAAAAAAAAACUCCAGUGGCUGCAUCCACUGGAAAAAGUGGAUGAGAACCAUUUUUUUUUCAUAAAGGUAACUACUCACAUAAUUGAUGGUGCUUAAAUCAAUUUUUUCUUUCUUUUUUUUUUAAUUUAAAGAAUUUUGCUUUAAAAAAUAAUUAAUAUCAAAAUGCCUUCAAUGUUGUUACCCUCACAAGCCCAGUUAGAGGACUCAUUAAAAAUUUUAGAAUUUUUAGGCCUGGAAAGCGUAGUAUUAAACAUCAGAAAGCAAAGGUUUUUAUGUCGAAGAAUUGAUGUCGACAAAAUUUUAUUUUAGUUUUCGGGAAAAAAAAUAAUUUGUUGACAAGCAAGAAAAUAUUUUUUAUACUUUACAAUCUGCUAUACAUAUUUUAUCAUAUUAAAGUAAUUUUAAUAAUAUAUGGAAACAUAAUAUUAUAAUAAAUAAAUUAAAAUUACUUUGAAUUAUUAAAUAUUACAAAAAGAUAAUUUUAAUAUUAUUAAUAGGAAAACAUUUUUUAAUUGUAAAAUCUUUUUAAUACAAAAAAUCAUUUAAAAUCUUUAUAAUAAAUACAAAUAUAAAAUUAAAAAAUAUCAUAAUUAAAAUUUUUAAUAAUAUUUAAAUAUUAAAAAUACUUUAAUAUUAUUAAUCUACUACAUAAAAUAUAUUAUUUGUAUUAUACUCGUAUUGAUUAAAACGUUUUAAAGUCAAAUUUUUAAUUAGUGUAUUCAAAGGUAUAAAAGAUUUUAGUAUUAUUUUUUAAAAAUUUCAGGAUAUGAAUGAUAAUUUUUUCAAAUUUUAAAGAUGUAAGAAUCUUUUUUUCUGAUAAUUUAUUUCACUUUUAAGAGAAUCCGAAAACGUUAAUUUAACAUUCUUUACCUUUGUAUAAAAAGUGAAAAUCAAGAACUAUUCAAUUUUGUUUUUAUUUGUAAUUCAAAAACGUUAUUCAUUUUCGAUGCUUUUCAAAAGAGAUUCCUUUAAAUCCUUUUGGUGGCUGCAGCUCCUGCAAUUUUCAUAAAUCUCCAUCCCACAUCAACACUAUCAAACAAGUUGAUGGAAAUUCUUAUCAAAAUUCCACAAAUAUGACGUUAUUGCUCAUUUUUCUCUCAAGACGCGUGCCUCCUGAAAAGAGAUACAUUGAAUAAGUCAAUUGAUUACAUUGUGGGUAAUUAAUUUAGAAGUGAAGCAGAGAAUAAAGUCCUAGAUGCCUUUAGAAAUUAGAAAUACAUUUUAUAUGCUUUAAUUAAUGAAUUCACUGAGGCAUUAUUGAUCCAAUCCCAGUGAAGUAAUUGUGGGUGAAAAAAAAAAAUAAAGUGCUGAAUUGGCUAUUAAAAAAGAGUGUCACUUGAUCACAAUCACAUUGAUCCACAACUCACUCGAGGCAAAUUUCAUCUAUGUGUACUGCAAAUUUAGCCAAACCAUGCAUGCAUGAACAAAAUUAGGCCGUAGUCCUCAUCACAACAUUAAUUGAAGCCACAAAAGCCAGCAAAUCCAAACGAAAACUUAAAAGGAAGUCUUUUAACUAUUGGAAACAUUAAUCAUUUUACAAUCUAUUACAUAAUAAAGAUAAAUUUUAUAAUAAGUUAAGUUAGAACUAGGGAAGGCAAAUUUUCCCGAUGGGAUGGGAUCCUGCGGGAUCCCAUCCCAUUUGGGACGGGAUUGAGACAUAUUUUUGUCCCAUAAAAAAAUUUAGGACGGAAUUGGGAUUUUUUUUAUCCCAAUUACAUAUGCGGGACAUGAGUGGGAUUGACAAAUUCCGUCCCAUCCCAUCUCAUUACCGAUUAAUAAUGGAAAUUUUUCCAAUUGGGAUGGGAUCCCGCGGGAUCCCAUCUCUUUUAGGACGGGAUUGGGACAUAUUUUUGUCCCAAAAAAAUAUAAGGACGGGAUUAUGACAUUUUUUCAUCCCAUUUGCAUAUACGGGAUGGGACUGGGAUUGGUAAAUCCCAUCCCAUCCCAUCCCAUUGCCAACCCUAGUUAAAACAUAUCAAAUAUUUUCAACAUAUAUAAUUAUUUAAGAAGUCUUUUAACAAUAUUUUUUUUUCUUUUUCAGUUAAUCAUGUCAUAUACCGUUAUCUAAAACGCUGGCGAUAUUAUUAUUCCUCACUUUUCUCAAAAAAAAAAAAGAAAAAAAAAAGAAACAUGAUUAACGUUUAGAGAAAAGUCAUGCCUUUUAAAAAGAAUAUGUAUACAAUAGCAAUCCAUACUUUAUAAAAUUGAUGGCGAUUACAAAGAAAAAUUGUUUAAAAUAGAUUUGAUGCACAAAUAUGAUGACUUUUGGCAAAAAUUAGUUUCGGAAAUGUUGAGAUGAAAACCAUAUUAAUUGAGAAUUAAAAUUAUUUAACUACCAUCUAAUAGAUGAAAACCAUAUCAAUUGGGACUUAAAUUAAAAUUUAAAUAUUGAAAUAUCUAGCAUUACUCACAAUAACCAAUUCAAAUUAUGACUAUCAUGUAGAAGCAAAUGUUUAUGCGUGGGUUUUUUACUUCUUGAAUUUGAUUGGAAAAAUUUCUAAGAUAGAGAAGUGUUUUGGAUAAGCUUUUCGGGAUUGAAACCACAAAUUGGUAGAGGAAAUUAAUUUUGGACAAAUUUUUCUUAUAUUGUAGGACCUUCUAGUUGGAGUAGUGAUGGCUUUGUCUUCAUUUUUGGUUCCUUUUGUGUCGGCAGCCCCUUACUAUUCUCUUGACCCUGAGUUUGAGAUAGAAAUUUAUCAACCUCCAACCCCACAUCCACAAACAAGUUGAUUGAAACAAUUGCUCUUUUAAUUAAGAGGACCCAAAUGAUUUAGGUUUCAGUUCUUAUCAUUUGUCUAUUAUUUCUUUGAAACAUUUAUUUUGAGCGUUACUGAUCUUAAUUAUCUGUAUUUCUCCAAUUAUUGAAGAAUUUCAAGUGGCCACUUUUUCUCCUUUUUAUAUAUGUUUAUUUUUUGGAGUGAUCAAACGGGUGCAAAAUCAAGUAUUCGCUGGUCCGUAGUUUAGCCAACUAUGGCUGAUCCACACAGUUGAUUAUAUGAUACUAUUAGCUCUCAAAAUCUUUCUUAUUUGAGAACAUAAAUUGCCCAUUAAAGUUAAACUAUGUUACCCAGCUCCAUGCACAUACAUUAAAUGUUUAGGUAGUUUUACAAAAUGAUAACAGCAUGCCAAAACUUGAUGUUGUCAUAUUCGACAUUUCAAAUUGAAAAAUACGCAAGCAAUCUUCAGUGAACAUUACGUGUUUAUUGAAUAAUUUAAAUGGCCAGUAAAUCAACAGUCCGUGAGUUUUAAAUCUAUUAUGACUUAAUGUAUCUUUCUGUAUUUGUACACAUAUUAUAUUAUCAUAGUUUAAAAUUUUAAUAUUAUUUUAAAUGUUAAAAAUACUUUAAUGCUAUUAGUCUACUACACAGGUUAUAUUAUUUAUAUUAUAUUUGUAUUAAUUAAAACUUUUAAUGUCAAUUUUCUAAUUACUAUAUUAAUAAAGUAUUAUGGUUAAGAAAAAGUUUUGGCAUUUCUUCUUGAAAAUUUGAGGGUCUGCAUGACAAUUUUUCCAUAUUCUAAGGGUAUAAGUUUGAAAAUUUAACAUUCUCUAAAUUGAUGAAACAAAAAGGGGAAACCAAGAACUAUUCAAUUUUGUAUUUUUUGUUUGUAAUUCAAAAAAUGCAUCCACCAAACAAGUUUUACGCAUUAAUGCUGUCAUAAAACGAAAAACAAUUUGCCAAAAAAGGGUACCAAACAUAUCCUUAAUGUCUCACAUGAUUUCUUAGUAAGCCCGUAUUAGAUAUAUUUAUACAUUUUAGGUAUUUUAGUUAUAAAAGAAGUUGGCCCUCCCUUGUUUAUAAAAAAUAACUUUAUUCAUGCACAUAUGCCAAAAGAAUAAAUAGACAGAAAGUAAAUUUACAGUCCUCACUUCCUCACAAUUGUUAACGUGAAGAUGCAUUACAACUGUGAACUGUCACUACUUUAGCCUUUUUUUUUAAAAAAAAAAAUUAUAGUGUGAUGGAGACAUUAAGGAUGAGCAUAACAGUUAAAGAUGACUCAUUUUCUUUUUAAAGUGCUCUGCUGAAAGCCGAACUUCCUUUGGCUAAUUAAUUUAGAAGUAAAGCAGAGAAUAAAGUCCUAGACGCCUUCUGAAAUAAGAAAUACAUUUUAUAUGCUUUAAUUAUGAUUAUUUGGUAGACUAAAGACCUAAAAGAUAUGUCAAAAGUAUAAAACAGAGCGAUUAAAGAAAAAAGAAAAAAAACAGAGUAUUUGUGACGUAGAAUAACAAUUGGUAAAUAAAUCCUAAAUAUUUGAGUUGUUAAAAGCAAAUAUAACAGAGACGGUAAGAGAGAUGCAGAAACAGAAAACUAUUAGCUUAUCUUGAUUUUUCCACUAUAUUCAUUUUCAAUGCUUUUCAAACGAGAUUCUUUUAAUUCUUCUGGUGUCUGCAGCCCCGGCUAUUCUUAUAAAUCUCCAUCCCACAUCUGCACUACGAACAAGUUGACUGAAAUUAAAUAAUGUUGGAGAUGAAGGGUGAGCCGUCAACUUGUUAAAAAAAAACUCAUGUAUAAUAUUAUCAAUAAUAUAAAAUAUAUAAUAAUUAUUACAAAGAAUCAUAAAUUAGAAAAAUUAAUUAUUUUACAAUCUAUUUCUUAAGUAAGGUGGCGUUUGUUUUUUCAUCUGAAAUCUGAAUAGACCUGAAUUAAUCUGAAUUCUGAAUAGAUCUGAAUGUCUGAAUCUGAAUAAUAUGUUUGUUUUUUUGUUUGAAUCUUGGAAAAUAAGUAUUAAGUUGUUUGUUUUUUUCAACUUAAAAAGCUGAAAAUAUGUACUUUUACAUUUAUAUCCUUAUUAAAUUUGAAUGUCAAAUAAAUAAUAAAUUAAAUACCACAAUAUUUUAACAUUUAUAAGUAAAACUAUAUUCAAGUGAAUACAUAAUUAUUUUGGAAUUUUAAUAGAUAAAAUACUAAAAAUUUUAAAUUUUAUCGUAUAUAAUAUAAGAAAGAAAAAAUAGGAAAAUUUUCAUGUGGGGUAAAUGUUUAUGGGUGAGUUUUGGGAUAGACAUGAAAAAUAAAUUAUAAAGCAGGGAUAUUUUUGAUAUUAGCAAGUAAUUGACUUAAUUCAGAUUUCUCCAUUAAGUAAAAAGCCAAAAGAAUUGGCUUAUUUUAUUAAGUCAAAAUUAUCUAAAAAGUCUCAUUAAGUUAUAAAAACAAACACCUCUAAUUAACUUAAUUAAUUAAGUUAAGUCACUUUAAGUCAUUAAGUUAAAAAACAAACGCCACCUAAGAUAAAUCUUGUAAUAAGUUAAGUUAUAACGUAAAAAAUAUUUUCAAUUUAUAAUCAUUUAAGAAGUCAUUUAAUAAUAAAAUCUUUUUUUUUUAUCAGUAGGCCAUGCUACAGAGUAUCAUCUAUAUUCGUGGUGAUAUUAUUAUUACUCAGUAUCCUCAAAAAACACGAUUUAACAUUUAGAGAAAAUUCCUGCCUUUUAAAAAGAACAUGUAUGCAAUAGCUAGCCAUACUUUAUUUUACCACGACAAAAUUGAUGGUGAUUAAAUCAAUUUUCUCAAUUAAAGCAAAAUUUUUUAAAAUUGAUUUAAUGCACAAAUAUGAUGAUUUUUUGUAAAAAUUAGUUUUGGAAAAUAUAGUGAGAGAAAAUGGUGACGAUUAUUUUUCAAAUGUGCAAAUAGCCUAAACAUAAUCUCUAAUACCAAUAUCCAUGUGCAUCUUAACACCUUUCAUGAUAUUCUUUCAUUCAUGGCCAUUUGUUCAAGAUUUGAAUUUGAUUAUUAAAUUAUGUUCAAUAAUGUUAGAGAUCCCAACAAUUGAGUACCAACUUAAAUCCCAAUGCUAUGUGUCAUUAACAAAUGUUGUGUCAUUUAUAAUUAUUGAAUGAAUAAUUCGUUAAUUUAUUGAUAAAUGAAAAUUUAUUAAUUUAAAGAGAGAUAUUUUUUUUUGGUUUUAAGAAGAGUUUUGUUGGUACAUGUACAUACUUAUAAAGAAAUAAACUUGUAAUUAUACUAUAUCUUUCUUUCUUUGUUCAGUUUGGUGGGAUAUUGUGAUAAAUCAUUGGAUUAAAAUGCAUUUCUAAAUUGAAACUUGUUAAAAUCUAAUUUAUUUGGGAAACACAUGUUAUUUGUCAGUCGUACUUCUCAACUUAGCAAGUUAUUUCUAACUUGUCAGUCUCUAUUGGUUCUCUUAAAGUUAAUAGUCUCGAAUCUCCCGCAUUUGAUAUCUUGCCAUUACUCUUGGCAUUAACAUGUUACCUGAGAUUGGGAUUCAUUAAAAUCCUCAAUGUAAUCGGUGGAACGAAUGGAUUUCUUCUGUUCACCAAUCCACCAAAAUUUCUGUAAUUAAAUUCAAAAGUCAAGAUCUAUGCUUAUAAUCUAUUCAACAGUUAAUAUUCUAUUUUAUAUUUACUUAAAUAUGAAGAGCUAUGCUUGUCAUUAACUUCAAAUGUGAUCGAAGCAGCCUUACAUCUGUAUAUUACUUAUUCCCAACCUUUUUUUUGACUUCAUAUACUUUCUUUUCAUGUUAUUUACUCUUUUUUCCCCCCUCUCUAAUGGGGUCAAACUUGAAAGUAUCUUAAAAUCAGACAAUAAUUUUUUUUUUAUGAUAGAUGCUAAUAUGCUCUAUUAGGCAAUGAUAAGUAAUAACCUAGUUGUUUGCAUUAGAAAUGAUAUUUUUUGUGGUGCUGAUAAAGUGGUUGAGUAUGAUUCAACAAUUUAAAAUAUGAAAACAUGUGGAAGACGGCUGCAAAUAAAUUGAUUGUAUGAAAAUAUUUCAAUGAAAUUUUAAAAAUUUAAUACUUGUUAUCUUAUCGAGAGUUCCCAAAUAAUUGGGCUAGUUUAAUUACCGGCCUAAUUAUUGUAGCCACUAUUGUAUGUUCCCAAAUGAUCCCCGGGUUAGCUCAUUUAAUUGACUGCACCACUACUGGACUAAUAAGUAAGAUAACUAGCUAUUUGGGUCAAAAGCCUAAAUAUAUCAUUUAGUGGGAGGCUCCAUUUAAUUAGCUUUUGUAUAAGGGGCCUUAUGUUAUUUUACAAGGUGGGUCCCCUAUUGAAAAAGAAAAUAACGUGAGUUUUAUUUAGGGCAUUAUUUGGAGCCUAGGGUUUUCACUAAAGGGAGAUAUAUAAGGCUUAUUUUCUCUAAAGAAAAAAGAAAAGCCACUUUAUACAGAUCAGAGAAUAAGAUUUUUCUCUCCAUUGUUGAGAGAAAAAUUUUCUCGUGCUAGUUGCUUUGGUAGUGAUAAAGGCGCCCACACGUCAAGUGCAGAUCGAACCUGAGUCAUAACCUGGAAGAUCAUUGGUGACAGUUCAUGAUCUAACAAGCGUGGUGGUGACGGUUCGUGAUCUAACAAGCGUGGUGGUGACGGAUCGUGAUAUAACAAGAGUGGUGGUGGCGGAUCGUGAUCUAGGAGCCUAAAUCACUUCAGCGGAAAAAGCCAACUCGGAUUUUCAAGGUACGAUUUCUAGAAUACGAAUUCUUAUAUAUUAUAUGAGAGCGAUCUUCAAAAGGUUUUAUAAAAAUUUAAAAGCAGCAUGUGCUGCUGGCAGCUCGCUGCUGCGUAUGUAGCAACUGCAGCGCGCGAGCAGCAGCUGCAGUGCCCAAGCAGCAGCGUGAACGUGGGCUGGAGGCGCAGAGCGUUCUGGUUGGCGUCUUUCCGGCGUCGAUGACGGCUGUCCGGUGUGGAAACAGUAAACAACGGCUGGGUUUUUGUGCUGGUGGCGGCUGGGGAAGAAGAGGAAAAGAAAAAUGUGAUUUUAGGGUUCCAUGGUUUUUAUCGUGGAGGUCCCUAUAGCUUCAUAUUUUUCAGUUGGGCAGAAACGUUUUUUAAUUUUUUGCAUUUAAGUCCAAAAACCGUUUUGGGCUUAAAGAAUCCUAGUUUUAGGCCCAAUUUCAAUUGGGCUUAAUGGAUUAAAAAAAUGCAUAGACAAAAUUAAAUACAUUAAAUUUAUUUUUGGUCCAAAAGUUUUAUUUUAAUAAAAAAAAUUAAUUAUUUAUUUAUUUCCUUUCAAAAUUAAAAUUGGACCAAUUAUAAAUUUAAAAGCCCAAUUUCCCCUAGUCCAUUAACAAAAACAAGCUUAUGGAAGAUGGACAUUGACAAGAAGCCCAAUGAAGAUUAGGCAUAGGGUUAAUGUAUUUUUCAUUAUUAGGAAAGGCAUGAAUUAAGAUUAUUUAAUUGUUUUUCUAUAUGUUAUGUUUUGGAUGAUAACAUGCCAUGAUAACAUGUAAUAUAGAAUAGGUAGUGCCACUCUAUGCAUAAUGAUACAUGUCAUUCAUUAAUUAUGAAUUUCAUUAUAUUGUUUGAAAUUUGCGCAUGCUUAAUAAUAUUUGAUAUCAUCUAGAUAAUAUUAUAGGAAGCAUGCAAUUAACAAUAUGUAUGUUUUAAAAAGGAAAAACCAAUUUUAAAAUAUUGAGUGGGAGAGGGAAAAUUCAAGAUAAUUUUCCCACGGGCUCCAUUGUUAGUUCAAUAAUAAAAUUAUAUAUAUACCUCGACUUCAUGAUACAGUGAUGCUCAUUACGGAGGGUAUAUAUAUUAGAUAGUUUAUUUGAUGAACUUCUUCAAAGAUAAAAUUGAAAUAUUUUUCAAUCGAUUGUUCACCCCAACGGUGACUAUUGAUAUGAAAAAUACGUAGAUUGAAACAAUGGUUAUACACUCAACUAAAGUUUGUUAUUAAUCUUCCCAACGAAGCUCUGUUAACAAAUUUAGGCCCAAAAAGAUAACGAUAAUUAUUUAUCAUGUCUCUACAUGAAAGUAAAUAAUCCAAUGGGUAAUUGGGUCUAGUAAGUAUAGACAUGACUUCCCCACCGGAUAGCUUGUCAAAGCAGUACUAGAUUAUCGUUACAAUAAAUUAAAAUGCAUUUAUGGUUUUUUGCAUUUUUUUCAUUUAUUGUGAAUAUUGAUUCAAAUUAUUUAUGCAUGGAUGUUUUUAUUUUUCAGAAAAUGUCUUCCCUGAGCCCACUUACUAUUAUUCUGAGUCAAAACAAACUCACUGGAGAGAACUAUAUAGAUUGGAAAAGAAAUCUAUUCAUUGUCCUGACUGCUGAAAAUUAUAAAUAUGUCUUAACCCAGCCAUGCCCCCCAGUUCCAGCGGAUGAUGCUCAUAGAAAUCAGAGGAGGCUUUAUGAGAAAUGGCAAAAGGCCAAUGAAAUGGCAAAGUGCUACAUUUUAGCCUCGAUUUCUAAUAUUCUGCAGACCAAACAUCAGAACUUGGAGACUGCCACUGAAAUAAUGAAUAGUCUCCAACAGAUGUUCGGGCAGAGUACUCGCUCUGCGAGACAAGCAGCGCUGAAAGGAAUUAUGAACAGUAAAAUGGGGAAGGGCACAAGAGUUCGUGAUCAUGUCCUCAAAAUGAUGGACUAUUUGAAUGAGGCUGAGAUUCAGGGAGCACAAAUCGAUGAUAACUCAAAGAUUGACAUGGUGCUAGAAUCUCUGCCAGAAACAUUCAAGGAGUUUAAGGUCAAUUAUAACAUGAACAAAAGAAAUAUGACCUUAACUGAAUUGAUGAAUGAACUCCAUUCUGCUGAAGAGAUCUAUCGUGCUGAGAAAUCUCUGGGAAGCAUAAAUUUUACUGAAAAAAGUUCAUCUUCUGGGCCUAAACCGAAAGGCAAAGGUAAGAAGAAAGCUGGGAAAAAAAGACCGUCUACCAAGCAAGAUGGCAAGCCGAAAGGCAAAUGCUUCAAGUGUGGACAGAAAGGUCACUGGAAAAAGGAUUGCCCUAAGAUUGUGAAAUCAGGUAUGGGAAAUCUUUUUUGUAAUUGAGGCCUGUUUAGUUCAGAAUCCUAUUGACACUUGGGUGUUGGAUUCAGGAGCAACUAAUCAUAUUUGUAAUUCACUUUAUUGGUUUCAGGAAACCAGGAAAAUAAGUGAAAGAAGCGUCAAGCUGCAGUUAGGGACAGGACAGUUCGUGUCAGCAGUAAAGACUGGAUCUGUUUUAUUAUCUUUUAAUAAUGAGACUUUAGUUUUGAAUAAUUGUCUUUAUGUUCUAGACAUUAAGAGGAAUUUAAUUUCAGUAGCUUGUUUGUCAAAGCAAGGGUACACUGUAAAUUUUGGAUCCUCUGUUUCUAUUUUUCAUAAUAAGAGACUUAUUUGUUCUGGUACAUUGGAAGAUAAUUUAUAUCAUUUAAGUCCAAUGAUCCAUUCUAUGCAUGACACAGUGAUAAAUAAUAAUGAGCAUACACAUUUAUCUAAGAAAAGAAAUAUUUCUUCCAACCAAUGUUACCUCUGGCAUUUAUGCUUGGGUCAUAUAAACCAAAAUAGGAUACAAAGAAUGAUCAAAGAUGGGCUCUUGGGUCCAUUAGAAAAUGAAUCAUUGCCACUCUGUGAAUCCUGUUUAGAAGGGAAAAUGACCAAAAGGCCAUUCUCGGCCAAAGGAGUACGUGCAACAGUACCACUUGAAUUGGUACAUACAGAUGUAUGUGGACCAAUCAAUGUACAAGCUCGAGGAGGUUAUGAGUAUUUCAUCACUUUUACUAAUGAUUACUCAAGAUACGGUUAUGUUUAUCUGAUGCGUCAUAAGUCUGAAGCUCUUGAGAAAUUCAAAGAGUAUAGGGCUGAGACAGAAAAGCAAUUAGAUAAGAACAUAAAGAAACUUCGAUCUGAUCGAGGUGGUGAAUUUCUCUCAGGAGAUUUCAAAGAGUAUCUGGUUGAAAAUGGGAUUAUAUCUCAAUUGACUGCCUCGGGAACACCACAACAAAAUGGGGUAGCUGAAAGAAGAAAUAGAACUCUUUUGGAUAUGGUGAGAUCUAUGCUUAGUUAUUCUUCAUUACCAAUCUCUUUUUGGGGACUAGCACUGGAAACUGCAGUUUACCUUUUGAACUUAGUUCCAUCUAAGUCAGUGCCUAAAACCCCAAUAGAAUUAUGGUCAGGUCGCAAACCAAGUUUACGACAUGUCCGUAUUUGGGGAUCACCAGCACAUGUGCUGAAACCAAAGGCAGACAAAAUGGAUUCACGUUCUGAGGUUUGUAUGUUUGUGGGGUAUCCCAAAGGAACAAGGGGAGGUUUAUUUUAUAGUCCUCAAGAUAGGAAAGUGAUCGUGAGCACACAUUUCACUUCCCUUGAGGAAGACUAUAUGAAUAACUUCAAACCUAAGAGUAAGGUAAUACUUGAAGAGCUGUCAGGUGAUCAGGUUGAUGCUCAGCUUUCAACGCCUGUUACAGAACAGGAAGAACAGCAACAACCAGAUGAUCAACACAGGAUUAACCCUGAACAACCAUCACUUUUAUAACCUCGUCGUAGUGGGAGGGUAACUAGGUUACCUGCGAGAUACAUGUUUUUGGGAGAAAUCUAUACGGCUAUCUCAGAUGAACAUGUACAAGAUCCCACUAGUUACAACGAAGCUCUAAUAGAUAGAGAUGUUGAAUUUUGGAAAAAGGCCAUGAAUCAAGAAAUGGAUUCUAUGUAUUCCAAUAAAGUCUGGGAACUUGUAGAGGCACCAAAUGGGAUAAAACCUAUAGGGUGCAAGUGGAUCUACAAGAGAAAAAGAGGAGUAGACGGAAGGGUGGAAACAUUUAAAGCAAGAUUAGUAGCCAAAGGGUUUACUCAGAAAGAGGGAAUUGAUUAUGAGGAAACUUUUUCUCCGGUUGCUAUGCUUAAAUCCAUCAGGAUUCUGCUCUCCAUUGCUGUAAUGCUAGAUUAUGAAAUUUGGCAAAUGGAUGUCAAGACUGCCUUUCUUAACGGGCAUCUUGAAGAAAACAUCUACAUGCAGCAACCAGAUGGAUUUAUACAAAAAGGCCAAGAACACAUGGUAUGUAAGUUGCAGAAAUCCAUUUAUGGAUUGAAACAAGCAUCCCGGUCAUGGAACAUCAGAUUUGAUCAAGCGAUUAAAUCGUUUGGAUUCAUUCAGAACAUUGAUGAACCAUGUGUGUACAAGAAAAUUCAAGAAAAAUCUGUAGCCUUCCUAAUUUUUUAUGUAGACGAUAUUCUCCUAAUUGGAAACGAUAUAGGAGUAUUGACUACAAUAAAGAGUUGGUUAGCAAAACAAUUUGAUAUGAAAGACCUGGGAGAGGCAAGUUAUAUUCUUGGUAUCAAAUUACUACGAGACCAGAAGAAUAAAACUUUAGCCUUGUCUCAAGCGGUCUAUAUCGAUAAGAUAUUGGCUAGAUUUAGCAUGGAAAAUUCCAAGACUGGUUUAUUACCAUUCAGACAUGGAAUUACAUUCUCUAAGGAUCAAUCACCUAAAACAUCUGAAGAGAUAGAGAGAAUGAGACGAGUUCCCUAUGCAGAAGCUGUGGGAAGUCUUAUGUAUGCCAUGCUUUGCACUAGGCCAGACAUCUGUUUUGCGGUAGGGAUGGUUAGUAGAUAUCAAUCUAAUCCUGGACCUGAACACUGGACUGCGGUCAAGCAUAUAAUGAAGUAUCUGAAAAGAACUAAAAAUUAUAUGCUUGUGUAUUCUGGUGAUGAACUCAUUCCAGUGGGUUAUACUGAUUCUGACUUUAUGUCAGAUAAGGAUUCCAGAAAAUCAACUUCCGGCUAUGUGUUUACAUUGGGAAGUGGAACUAUUAGUUGGAGGAGUGUGAAACAAUCUUGUAUCGCAGACUCCACAACUGAAGCUGAAUAUGUGGCUGCAUCCGAAACUGCAAAAGAAGCUGUAUGGCUCCGCAAGUUCCUACAAGAUCUUGAGGUGGUACCUGCUGUAACUGCACCCCUUAAACUAUUUUGCGAUAAUAGUGGUGCGGUAGCUAAAUCUAAGGAACCACAAGAAACAAAAACAUAUUGAGAGGAAGUAUCAUCUUAUAAGGGAUAUAGUGCAGAGAGGUGAUGUGGAGGUUACUCAGAUUGCGUCACAGCAAAACUUGGCAGAUCCUUUUACUAAGGCCAUACCUGGGAAACCUUUUAACUUGCACUUGGAAUCCAUGGGCAUGCGUGAGAUGCCAAAUAUGCUUUGAGAGCUAGUGGGAGAUUGUUGGGAAAAUAUGCCCUUUAAAAGCAUAUGUGUUUAUUUAAUUGUAAUAAACAAUUUUUCUGAUUAAUAAAAUAAAUGAGGUAUUUUAUUCAAAUAUCUUAAUUGCAUUAAUAUUUGUAUUAAAGUCCAUUUAAUCAUAUUAUAUGUAUUUAUGUGAUCACCAUGUGGAUUCACAGAAGACAUAAAUACAAGUUAUCUUAUGAUUAAAUAAAUUUAGUUCGCAGUUGAUAAAUAAAGUUGGGCACUUUAUUUAGGUAUAGACUGUAAUAAAUUCAUUGAAUGAUUUGUCUUAAUCAUGUAUGAAUUUAUUGAUGUAGUACGACUACAUUAAACAGGAUCACAUGUGAGAUUUAAUUAACUUUGUAAUAACUGUCAGACUUAUUAAAUCUUAUAGGCAUUGAUUUUACUGUAAUCUUAAUCUUGAGUUAAUUAUGAUUUCAUGAUUGUAAUUGUUAUUCCAUUUGAGUUACCAAUGGGCACGACACAUCCUUGUGGUCAAGAUUACCCGGUAUCUUGGUGGGAGCAAUUAUGAGUAUUGGAGUUAUGGAUUAACAAUAUAGAAUUUGUACAACACAUCUCUCGAUAGGUUUUCGGCACUUGAUCAUAGAAUUCUUUGGCCAGAGUGUGUCAACAUAUUUAGUAUGUUGAAAAUGAUCAUUAGAGAAAACCAGUAAGGAUCAAGGAAUAAGAUGUUAUUAAAUUGAUUGGACAGUUGAGAUAUCAAUUUAAUUAACGAUGUGGUACAAAGGAUUGUGCAGUAAAGAAAUCAAUGUGGCUUGGGACGAAUUAUUAUUCGAGCAUACAAUUAUGGAAGUCAGUUCCAAUCUUUUAGUGGAGUAGAUUUGGAAUUAAAUAAUUGGGCUAGUUUAAUUACAGGCCUAAUUAUUGUAGCCACUAUUGUAUGUUCCCAAAUGAUCCCCGGGUUAGCUCAUUUAAUUGACUGCACCACUACUGGACUAAUAAGUAAGAUAACUAGCUAUUUGGGUCAAAAGCCUAAAUAUAUCAUUUAGUGGGAGGCUCCAUUUAAUUAGCUUUUGUAUAAGGGGCCUUAUGUUAUUUUACAAGGUGGGUCCCCUAUUGAAAAAGAAAAUAAUGUGAGUUUUAUUUAGGGCAUUAUUUGGAGCCUAGGGUUUUCACUAAAGAGAGAUAUAUAAGGCUUAUUUUCUCUAAAGAAAAAAGAAAAGCCACUUUAUACAGAUCAGAGAAUAAGAUUUUUCUCUCCAUUGUUGAGAGAAAAAUUUUCUCGUGCUAGUUGCUUUGGUAGUGAUAAAGGCACCCACACGUCAAGUGCAGAUCAAACCUGAGUCAUAACCUGGAAGAUCAUUGGUGACAGUUCAUGAUCUAACAAGCGUGGUGGUGACGGUUCGUGAUCUAACAAGCGUGGUGGUGACGGAUCGUGAUCUAACAAGAGUGGUGGUGGCGGAUCGUGAUCUAGGAGCCUAAAUCACUUCAGCGAAAAAAGCCAACUCGGAUUUUCAAGGUACGAUUUCUAGAAUACGAAUUCUUAUAUAUUAUAUGAGAGCGAUCUUCAAAACGUUUUAUAAAAAUUUAAAAACCGAAUUUUUUCACCAACACUAUGUAGCUAGAUGGCAUUUCUAGUGUUUCAAGGUUUAAAAGGGUGCAUAGCAGUGAAGGAAGGCAUUUGACCGAAGGGAUAUUCAAUUUCAAAUACUUCAAAAGAUAUAAAUUUUCUAAUCCGGGCGGAUAUUGGUCCAGGACUGCAAAACCCAAAUUCAAUACCUGAAGGUGUUUGAACUUUUUACAAAAAUUCUCGCAAUCUAUCAGAGCGAGACGAUCGCUUUCUGAACUGUGAUUCAGAAAAGAUUGGAGACGCAUGUCAGAAUAUUCUAAAGGAAAGAAGUCAAUCAGGCGUUCCACAAUGAAGCACCGUUUAACAUUUGCCACUGAUUCUUCUUCCAUUUCAGGCGUCAAGACAAAUCCCGUCUUCUUUGCCACAAAAUACAAUGAAGUAAAUUCAAGACUUGGAACAUAACACGCUUUAAUUGUGCCGCCGGCGCUUCUCUUACUCACUUGAAUGAAGCCGCGAUGGAUUAGUUCUUUCAAGUAAUGUUCGGCAGUUUCUUCAUCGUUGUAUGGUAUGAAACCUUCAGCUACCCACAACUGAUAUAAUUGCCUCGUGGACAUCUCAAUACUUGGAGGGAAGACACACAAAUAGAUGCAGCAGACUUUCAAGUGAAAAGGUAACUCCAUCACAGAAAAAAUUUAUCUCCAAACUGUCGGAAUCGCUUCGCCUUGAACAUAAUUUUCUAAUGGCAUACUUCCAUAGUGUAGGAUGAAAAAUUGCCAGGCUUCAUGCUUUAAUCUGAUCAAUGGUCCUCCAAAGAGCACUGAAUCACGCCGAAUCUUCUCUCCAUUUUCCAUUUCCAACGACGCAAGGAGGUGUGGAUCACUGACCAACAUCAAUACUCUGCUUCCAUUCUGAUUAUCAGGAAGAACUUUUUCAAGAUCACUCCAUAUCUUACUGUCAUCGAAGACAUCAUCAAGCACAAUAAAGUACUUCUUGUUUGUUAGGUAAUCUCGAAGAAUAGAUUUCUUCAAUUGAUAAUCUUCCCCGAUAAUUACACUAACCCGAGCUGGAGGCAUCACAGACUUGAUUAUGCCAUCCAAUAUCUUGCCAAAAUCGUAGGUUAUCGAAACCCUGACCCAAGCAAGACAGUCAAAAUAGAACUUGACGUGAUCAUUAUUGUAAGUAUCUGCAGCAAAAGCAGUCUUAUCGAAGCCACUGCUGUCGAGAAUUGCAACCACUGCAAGCCCAGAUGGUCCCUCAAUCAAUAGAUCAAACAACUCCUCCCUGCCCCUUUGAAAUUCAUUGAUAUCGAGCCGAGGUUGUCCCUCAUUCAAUAGGCGAAUGAUUUCGUUACUUUUCUCACUGAUAUCAAAACCAUUGUCGCCGGGUGGAAGUUGUUGCAUCCGAUUUCUAAUAUCAAUGAUUUUAGUGUGGAGUCCAACAAGAAGAGCCAUAUCAGUACUGCUUUCACUUUCGUUUUCACUGUUUUGCUGCUGCAUGAUGUUGAUGAAGAAUCUGUCAAUGGCUUCCUCAGAUUCAUGGACAAAGUCAUUGAUGUCCUCCAGAAUUUCCAAAAUAUCUGCUCUUUCAACAUCUUCUUCAUCGCUUUCUUCUAAGUCCAACAGUUCAUCGAAAUCUUCUCUAAGGAGUUGAAACAAAUGCCGAGCCAUGUCAACUUCAUAUUUUCCCAGCAGAGUAGUAGCAAUAAUUUCGGACUCCGUAAGAAGGUUUUGAAAAAGUGGAGUUAAAUUUGUUGAAUCUGGCAGCGGCAACGUGCCUUCUUCACCUGCUAACACCCUUUUCAACCUCUCACGAAAUAGUCGGAGGUGGACGUCCAGCAUAUCUCCUUCUCUCUGUAUCACCCAGAGGUAUAGUUGAAAGAUUAAACACCAUGGAAGAAUUUGAAAGGAAAAUGCCAAGAAACUGUGUAAGUGGCUAAACCAUGAAAAAUUGAUCAUUUUUUUGCAUUGUAAGUUGCGCGUUCAUUUAGAGAAAAGUCCAAGACGCGUGCCUUUUGCAAAGAACAGGUAUCCCAAUCGGUAUCCAACCUUUAUCUUAUUUAAUUACUACCAUGACAUAAUUGAUGGUGCUUAAAUCAAUUGUUUCUUUUUUAAUUUAAAGAAUUUUUCAUUAAAAAAAUAUUUUAAUAUCAAAUUGCCUUCAGUGGCGUAACAACUGCCUCAAGCCCAGUAACAGGACUAAUUAAAAAUUUUACAAUUUUGGGGCAUGGAAAUAGUAGUAUUAAACAUUAGAAAGGUAAGGUUGUUCUGUUAAAGAAUUGAUAUUGACAUAAUUUUAUUUUGGUUUUCGUGGAAAAAAAAAAUUUGUUGACAAGCAAGAAAAUAUUUUAUCAUAUAAAAGUAAUUUUAAAAAUAAAUAGAAACAUAAUAUUACAAUAAAUAAAUUAAAGUUUAAAUUAUUUGGAAUAUUAUAAAAAAUAAUGUUAAUAUUAUUAAUAGGAAGACAUUUUGUUAAUUUUAAAAUCUUUUUAAUCCAAAGGUUUAUUUAAAAUCUCUAUAAUAAAUACAAAUAUAAGAUUAAAAUAAAAAUCAUAAUUUGAAAUUUUUAAUAUUAUUUUAAAUGUUAAAUAUACUUUAAUGUUAUUAGCCUACUACGUAGAUUUUAUUAUUUAUAUUAUAUUCGUAUUGAUUAAAAUUUUUUAAAGUCAAUUUUUUAGUUAGUACAUUCAAGAGGUAUUAUAGUUAAAGAAAAGAUUUUGGUGCAACUGUUUUAAAAUUUCAGCGUCUAAAUGAUAAUUUUUUUAAAAUUUAAGGAAGUAGGUAUUAUUUUUCCAACAAUUAUUUUACUUUUGAGGGAAAUCCGAUAAGAAAUAUCAUCAAAGAACAUUAAUUUAACAUUCUUUACCUUUAUGAAAAAAGUGAAAACCAAGAACUAUUCAAUUUUGUAUUUUUUGUUUGUAAUUCAAAAAAUGCAUCCACCAAACAUGCUUAUCUUGAUUUUCCCACUUUAUUCAUUUUCGAUGCUUUUCAAAAGAGGUUCCUUUACUGGUCAUUGUCUACACUAUCAAACAAGUUGAUGGAAAUUGAACCCAUUAAGUUAUGUUCAUUACUGGUCAUUGUCUUUCUAUGAGCCACUUAUUUGGAGCAUUAGCGAUCUUAUAAGGAAUCAUGCCUUUUCAGGAUCGUUUUCUUUCAUUUCCCUAUUGUAGUAGUUAAUUAAAUAAAGAACGAACAGCUGAACUUGGUCUAUUUCGAGGAAGACCAAGGCUUCCAAUACUAGAGGAACUUUGAAGAAAAUUAAUUGGAAACCUUUAUUCAUCUUUGAAGAAAAUUACGUGCCAAUGUAACGAAGGCUUUUAUUCAUCUUCGGACUAUGAAUUUGUACAAAAACAUUAACAGAAAAUAAUAAAGACACAGCUAAAUGAUAGCAGCAAGUGCUGAUUUAGUGAACCACUUCUACAAGUAAAUAAAAACUAAAUAUUUAUUUUGACUAUAACAACAACUACCCUCUUGAAUAGGACUCUACAGCAGCCACAUGACAACUAAUUUCUCCAUAAUAUUAUUAUUAGUAGAAGUAGAUUUUCAAAAUUGUCUUGAUAUAUUUCAAAGUUGUAUUAUCAGCGUAUAUGUAUCUAGAUUGUAACUAUAUUUUAAAAAAUAUAAAAAUUUUAAUUAUUGCACAGUAAUGUAGAACAAUAUCUACAAAAUAAUAUUGUUAGGACUAAGAAAAAAUAUUAUUUUAGAUAAGUUAUUUAUUUAUUAUUGAAUGAAAAAUUUAUCAUGAUAAAUGAAUAUUUAUUAAUUUAAAGAGAGAUUUUUUUUGGUUUUAAGAAGAGUUUGUUUGGUACAUGCACACACUAAUAAAGAAACACAAAAAGUGCUUCCUCAAGUCAAUAGUAUUUGCUUUAAUUGCUAAGGUGCAUAAUAACGUAGCUUAGUUAGGAAAUUUGUAAUUAUAUUAUGGCUCCGUUUGGUAUAAUUUUUUAACUAGAACUUAUUUAAGGAGGGCUUUUAUUAGUAGAGUUUUUAUAAAUAGAGAUUUAACAAAAAAAAUUAUAGUUAUUUAGUUGUCAAUGUACAAAUUGAUGAAUUAUUGUUCUUUUUGUUAACAUGUGUUUGUUUUACUUAAUAAUAAAAGUUUAGUUUACAACAUUGAAGUUCAGCAGAGCAUUUUUGCAGCCAGUCACAUUAUACAUUAUACUAAUAGCAUCGGCAAGAGUUUUCGAUUGUUGCAACUUGCAAUGCACACGAUGCGAGAAAAUGAGAAUCUUGUUUAAUUGCAAUAUUGACAAACCUAAUCCUUUCGUAGGGAGUAAUUUAAUAAUCGUUCGUUAGUUGAAGCGUUAAUUUAAUAAGCGUUGAUUUCCCUUCGAUAACUCGAAGUCCACGACGAUUCUUCUUCUUCUCUGCUGCUCAUUACGCUUCUACCCAAACCCUAGGAUUCAAACCUUUGCUUAGGAGAGAAUCAAAGCGAUUGGUGUUGGAGGUGAUUGAGGCUCUUAGAAGCUUAGAGGUGUGUUAAUUCAAAUUCUUUUGUCGAGAUAAGUAAUUUCAUUCCUAAUAUACUGGAUAUGUAUAAGUAUUUUGAUGUUAUUAUAAGAGUUUUUAUACUUCUUAGAAGAUUAAUAGAUUUUCAUACCAAAAUUAGUUUAUGAAAAUGUUUUCAAAUCUGAAUUCUUUUGAUAAAAUAUUUUACAAAUGCGUUUUAAUAUGUAAAUUAUUUUAUGACAUGACUGCCUUUUAUGAUUUUGUCUAUGAAAUAUUUUUGCAAGCCUAAAUUGUUGCUAUAGACUUUCAUGAAUCUAAUAUGAAUGUUUUGUGCCUAUGUAUGAUUUUAAUUAUUUAUGACUGUACGGGGGCCACCUCUUGAGAUUAUAUGGGGGCCACCUCUUGAGGGCCAAAGCGCCGCAAAGUGCCACAUAGAGUGCAAAGUGCCAUGUAUAAGUCAUUAUGUUUUGGCUCAUUGUCCGUAGUUAUUCUGAUUCUAAUUCUGAUCGUAUUAUACGAUAUAUUUGUUCUGGACUAGUACUAGGUUUAUGUUCUAAGUGUGCACACGAUAUUCUGAUUCUGUUUCUGGUCAGGUCACCGAGACUAUAGGUGAUACUAUGUGACAUGAGCUAACUAUCUGCUUUCUGUGUACACUUUAUACGAUUUGCUUUCAUAAUUGAUUAUUCUUUUGAUACUCUGAAUUACCAUGAAUUUAUGUUAUAUAAUUGAAAUAUGUUGUUUUAUGAAGUUUAUGACUUAUAAUAUAUGUUUUUGAAUAAAAGAAGGCUUGCAAUAUUUUUGAUAUCGAUAGGCCUAGUGUAUUAGGAAUGAUUUUACCUACCGAGUUGACAGCCCACCCCUCGUUAUUACUUUUUGCAGAUUAAGUUCCUUUUAAGAGGUAUGCGUAGCUUUGGAGUUAGAGAUUUCGUUUCCGUUUGCUAUUUGAAUAAGAAGAGGAAUAGACUCAUGUUUCUUUUUAGUUUAUUUCUGUUAUGAGCUUGUAAUUUGGAGUUUGAGACUUUUGUUAUUGUUAUGUUUUGGAAGAGAUUAUUUAGUGUUAGACGUAUUAAUUUGCGGAUUUAUUUGAAUAAGAAUUUGAGGUAUUUGAGCUUGGAAUUUAUAAGUAAGGAUUACGAUUUGUAAGUAACCUCAUUCUUCAUGUGCUCCGCACGUGUUAGAUUUGGGGUGUUAUAUGUUUCGUAUAACUUUUCAAGUAGAGCUUAUUUAAAUAGAAUAUUCGUCAAUAAAGCUUCUAUAAAUAUAGAUUUUACUAAAAAAAAUUUAGUUGUUUGGUUGUCAAUGUCCAAAUUGACGAACUUUUGUUCCUUUGCUAACAUGUAUUUGUUUUACUUAAUAAUAGAAGUUUAGCUUACAAUUACACCGGCGUCAAAUCAACAGAGCAUUUUGGCAGCCAGUCACAUUAUACAUUAUACUAAUAGCAUCGGCAAGAGUUUUCGGUUGUUGCAACUUGCAAUGCACGCGAUGAGAGAAAAUGAGAAUCUUUUCUAAUUGCAAUAAUGACAAACCUAAUCCUUUCGUUGGGAGUAAUUUAAUAAUCGUUUGUUAUAAUUGAAUAUGUAUAAAGAAAGGAAAAUUCUAUUCAUAGAUUUCGACUUAUUUUUUGUUUAAAGUAAUUAAUCAUUCAACCAUCUUCAUUUGCCUCUGGCCAGUGCCCUUGUAGAUUAGUUGAAGCGUUAAUUAAUUCAGAUAAUUACAACGUCCUUUUCGCUAAUUAAUUAUGAUUAUAUAUGUUUCAUAUAGCAAGUGGCUUUGUAGAUCUAAACCAAGUUGCUAUUUCAAAACGUUAAUUAAGUGAUUCUCCUCAUUGUCAUCAGCGUUAUACGCUCUAGGAAAAUAGCUCAAUUGUUUCCCUGCAUUGACUUUCAUUGGUAAGUGAUUUCUUAUGAAAUUCUUUUGAGCUUUCCUUAUUAAAAAAGCUUGAGCUUUUAUCACCUAAUGCGGAUAUCAAUUAACUUGUGAAUGAUUUUGCAAUGAAACUAGGAGUUAAAUAAGAUUUUUACAUGAUGAAUUUUUAUUUUUUUAAUUUUUUGAUGUAGUCAAUUUGCUAAUUUUAUGUAUUUCAUAUUCAACGGAAUUUGGGCACGGAAAGUUUGGAUUCUAAUAUUUAUAUGUUUAGCUUUAAUCAGUUUGACUUUCGUAAUCUUUUUCCCCUCAUCAUUAAGGGAUUCAGAAUUAGAGAAACGUUAGGAAGAGGAAGAAAAUAAUUUCGGAAAUAAGUAAGAGGGAAAAAAUUAUUAAAUUAGGAAUGAUUUUUUGUAGAGUAUGUUCCGUUUACUAAACUGAAAUCGAAAUGAGCUGGAAUCAGAAUGGAUAGAAAUGCGAAUGCGCUGGAAUGAGAAUAAGUAAUGAGAAUCAGAAUAAGUUGUUUACUUGAAUUGUAAGAAUCGAAAUCGAAAUGAGCUGGAUUGCAAUUACUUUGUCCUACAAUUAGAAUCGGAAUGAGUUAGAUUGUAACAAAUUACUAAAAGGUACUUAAUGAAUUAUUGUCAUAAUAUUAUUUUAUAUUUUAAUUAUAGUGAUUAUUUAUUCUAAAAUUAUUAUUAUUAAUUAUUUUCAAUAAUAUGUUAAUAUGUUAAUUAAUUUUAAAAAUUAUUAAUUAAUUUAUUAUAAUAAUAUACUAAUUAAUUAUAAUAAUUAUUAUAAAAAUAUAUUAAUUAUUAAUAAUGAAAUUACUUAUUUAAUUAUAAUAAUAUAUUAAUUAUUGUGAUUAUUUAUUCAAAAAUUAUAAUUAUUAAUAAUUAUUGUUAAUAAUGUAUCAAUAUAUUUUAUAUUAUGAAAUUGUGAUGUAUUGUAGACAAAUAAGGAAUUUGGUACAAUAAAUUCUUAAUAUCUUAGUACAAAGUAUGGUAAAAUGGUAUUUUAACUUAUUGUAGACAGAUUAAAUUUCGACACACUUAAUCCAUGAUAAAAUUAAUGGAAAAUAAUGAUAAUUUAUACAAUUAAUCUUUUGAGCAAUAAAAAAAUAAAAGAAAAAGAAGUUACUAAAUUAUGUUUACUGCUAAGAGUGAAUCCACAAUCCUAAAUAAUUAUUUCCAUCGUUUCACUUAAAUUAAAUAGUGUGAAUUUAAAUUCUAAUUUUUUGAUAAAUUAAAAAGAAAUAAAAAAUUAAAAUUUUUCUCUAUGGAUCGACCUCGGAUUGAUCAAUUUAUUUCAUAACAACACACUUUUAUACUUGAGAGUUAUAAAUCACUUUGAAGUUGUGUUAAGUUUUUGACGCUCUUACGGGGAAAAAAUAUUUAUUUUAUUUUAUGUAUGGGUCAAACUUGAAAGUAUAUUUUAAGAUAACUGCUAAUAUGCUCUAUUAGACAAUGAUAACCUAGUUGUUUGUGGUGUUCAUAAUGAGUUUAAUUAUGAUUAAACAAUUUAAAAUAUGAAAAAAUAUGGAAGAUGGCCGUAAUUAAAUUGAUUGCAUGAAAAUAUUUCAAUGAAAUUUUAAAAAUUUGGUACUUAUUAUCUUAUCAAAAGAUUUUUAAAUUAUAUUACUACUUCAACUUAACUCCUCCUGGAUUGAUUGUAUUGAAUUUCCAGCACUGCCAUUGCUUCUACUUGAAAGCCAUUUAAGUUUGUGUAAGCUACCUAUAGUUUGAAUAACAAUUUACUCAUGAAUUGCCGUUCAUGAUAACAAUUUGAUUGAAAGUGCGGCUCCACUAAUUGUCUAGAUGAUUUUUUCCCACAUGUUUGUUCUCGUACGACCCCAGAAUGCUGUUAUAUCAGUUGUAUUGGAAAUUAAUCAACUGGUUACAACUCUACACCCCAUCAAUAUUUAAGCAGUCUACAGAACAUUAAUUGUGUUUUGAAAUUUUAAUGAGUCUCACGUGUUUUUCACGUGAUAUGCAGUAAAAACAAAAUUAAAAAAAUGUGAACAUUCAGCCCCAAAAUCCCCAACUCCUUCCAAAUUGGUUCCGCAGCCCCCAAAUCCCUUAAACCCAAAUCACUCUAAAAAGACUCUCCUCAGCCAAAAAGAAAAAGGUCACCUCACCUCUCCUCUUCUUCUUCCAUGGCGAUCAACGGCGGCACAAGCACGGGCUGAUCUCCUUCGUCGGUAACGAUCAACGGCGGUACAAGCAUGGGCAGAUCUUUUUUUGGCAAUGAUCAACAGCGGCACAAGCACAGUCGUCCUCAGGUACGGAUUUGAUGUUGGUUGUGUUGUCAAGUAGCGAUUCAUGUUUGGAAGAGAAUCCGCUCGCAAGGACCUGGAGCACUUAAUCGAAGAUCUUAAGCGAGGAAUUCGCUUCCUCCUCAUUCCUAAUCGGUGCCUGGUUCAUCAGUAUGAUUAAGGAUGAAAAUUGAGAAAGAAGGACGCAUUAGGUUUGAGACAUUGGUUGAAAAGCGCUACCCCGGUGGCCACGCUGGAAACAUAUGUUCCGUGGCUUCUUGCGUUGUCUGUGAGGAAUAUGUACUGCUGUAGAAGAUAAUUAUGAAUCAAUGGUAAUUGGCGUGUUGGUUUUGGUGCCGAUUUCCUCUUAUUUUCCAGAAAAGGCUUGUAAUUUGUUCACCUCAAGAUUCAAUUUGUUAUUGAAAAUGGAUGGCUGUAAAGACCUACUGGCCUUUCAUUAUAUUAAUGUUUUUGACAGUAAGUUUGUAAUAGUUAGUGCAGGGAACUUAUUGAUUCUUGAUUAUAUAUAACGGUGGCCCUUAUUACUUUAAAAAAAAAAAAAAAAUUGAUGAUGGGUUUCGUUUUGUAUAAGUGUUUGGAGUGUUGGAAAAUGAACAUUGUAUAUUUUAGAUAGUUGAGUUCCAUAGUAGUGAAAAGCUACGGAUUUGUUUUCUUUGUAUUGAAAUGUGUUUUGACCAUUAUAUGUUGUUUGAUUGGUGAUAGUUUUAUGUUUGUCAGUUCCAGUAGUCUCUUAAUCGCCAUCUGGCAUGGAAACUCACUGUGAAUAUGUGAAGAAUGCAGUGAUCAUAAGGAGUAAAUGAACGAUCAAACAUGCUAAAAUUAAAUACCAAAAAAUAAAAUAAAAUAAAAUAAAAUUGGAACUGGAAGAGUAAAUAGCAAAAGAUUGGGCGAAAAUUGAAUACCAUAACAAAAAAAAAAUUAAAAUAAAUUCAAACGACAAGAGCUAAUUAAGAGCAAAAAGAUGCUUGACUUACCAAGAGCAAGGACCAAGCAAAUGGUUUUACAUUCGGGCUUGAUGGUGAACUGGUUGGAGAUGGGUACGAAUGUGAUCUCGUUGAGAUUUGGAGAAGAGAACGGGGGAAUGGCCACAAUAUCUUUGUUACUUUUUUUUUUAAACUUUAUUUUACUGUUGAUCACAUGAAAAUCACGUGCAAGUCAUUAAAAUUUCUAAACACAGUUACUGCUGUCGUUUCGAUGUUCUCGGGCUAUCACAUGCUCGGUACGUCUAUCACUACUCGUCAAAAAAAAUGACACGCGUUCAUUUCCAAGACGCGUGCCUUACUACCAUGACAUGAUUGAUGGCGCUUAAAUCAAUUGGUUUUUUUUUUUAAUUUAAAGAAUUUUUCAUUAAAAAAAUAUUUUAAUAUCAAAUUGCCUUCAAUGGCAUAACUGCCACAAGCCCAGUAACAGGACUAAGGGUACGUUUGAGAUUGAGGUUGGGCAGCUGUACCUUUUAAGCUACAACACUAAAGUGCUUGGUAAACACUAGCUGCUCUAGGUUGGAAGCUAUAUUAAUAUGAUUUUUCACUUGUAUAAUAGAAAAUAUAUUAUAUCUUUAAUAAUUUUGUCAAAUUUAUAUUUACUACAUAUUAUUAAUUUUUGUUUUAUAGUCACAGCUUUUUUUCCACAGCACCUGUAGCUUAAAAGAUACAGCACCUCAAUCCCAAACGCAUCCUAAUUAAAAAUUUUAGAAUUUUUGGGCAUGGAAUUGAAAAGAGUAGUAUUAAACAUCAGAAAGCUAAGGUUGUUCUGUUAAAGAAUUGAUAUUGACAUAAUUUUAUUUUGGUUUUUGGGGAAAAAAAAUUUGUUGACAAGCAAGAAAAUAUUUUUAUAUUUUACAAUUUAUUAUACAUAUUUUAUCGUAUUAAAGUAAUUUUAAUAAUAAAUAGAAGCAUAAUAUUAAAUAAAGUUUAAAUUAUUUUGAAUAUUAUAAAAAAUAAUUUUAAUAUUAUUAAUAGGAAGAUAUUUUGUUAAUUUUAAAAUCUUUUUAACCCAAAGGUUUAUUUAAAAUGUUUAUUAUAAAUAAAAAUAUAAAAUUAAAUAUCAUAAUUUAAAAUUUUUAAUAUUAUUUUAAGUAUUAAAAAUAUUUUAAUGUUAUUAGUCUGCUACAUAGAUCAUAUUACUUAUAUUAUAUUUGUAAUGACUAAAAAUUUUUAAAAUCAAAUUUUUUAGUUACUAUAUUUACGAGAUAUUAUGGUUAAAGAAAAGACCUUGGUGUUACUUUUUACAAAUUUGAGUGUCUGCAUGAUAAUUUUAUCAAAAUUUAAGAAUGUAUGUGUCCUUUUCUCCAAUAAUUUAUUUCACUUUUGAGGGGAAUCCAAUGAGAAAUAUGAUAAGAGAAUGUCAAUUAUUUGUCAUUUUCUAUUUUUUCUGUAAGCUAUUCAUUUUGAGCAUUAGUGAUCUUGUCUGGACUACUCCAAUUAUUGAUGUAACUCCAGUGGCUGCAUCCACAGUUGAAUAUAUGAUAGUGUUAGCUCUUAUUUGAGAAUUCAGAGGGAUCUUCUAUGUUUAUCAAUUGCAAUGUGCUAGUAUAAAUUUCUUUACCUCACAGUUUAUAUAGUCUUGCUGUUAAAGAACUCACUGAGGCAUUAUUGACUCAAUUUCAGUGGAGCAAUCGCGCGUAGUGGAUAAAUAAAGGAUAACAGAACAGAGCUGAAGUGCUAAAUUGGCUAUUAAAGAAGGGUGUCACAUGAUCACAAUCACAUUGGUGCACAACUAGAGUUAGGCAAAUUUUGUCUAUAUGUACUCUAAAUUCAGACAAACCAUACAUGCAUGAACAAAAAUUAAACCGUCGUUCUAAUCACAACAGUAAUUGAAGCUACAAAAGCCAGCAAAUCUGAACAAAGACUUAAAAGAAAGAUCUUAUUCAAGUUGUCCCCAAAAGACAGCUGAAAUGAAUAAUAUUGACUAUUGAUUGGGUCAAUGCUGAAUUACAUUUCAAUAGGAAAGCUUGGCAGCAGUUACAAUGUUUCCCCCUCUGAUUUUCGUCCAAAACAAAUUCAGUUGUAAACAACAAUCGAAGUAGAAAUAAUUUAUUCAUCAAAGAAAAUACCCAAGUUUUCAACAAACAAAUCUUCUUGUCUAAACUAAAAAAACUCAUCUCUAAAAUCUAUCUGCAAAAUAUUGGAAAUGAGGAGUGAUCCGUCAACUCCAUAAAUAAACUCAUGCAUAAUGUUAACAAUAAUGAUAAAUUACAUAAUAAUUAUUAUAAAGAAUCAUAAAUUGGAAACACUAAUCAUUCUACAAUCUAUUAUAUAAGUAAGAUAAAUCUCAUAAUAAGUUAAGUUAUAAUGUAAUAAAUAUUUUCAAUAUAUAAUUAUUUAAGAAGUCAUUUAACAAUAAAAUAUUUUUUUUAUUCAAUUGAUCAUAUAGCGUUAUCUAAACUCAUGACGAAAUUAUUAUUACUCACUUUUCUAAAAAAAACAUGAUUAACUUUUAGAGAAAAGUCAUGCCUUUUAGAAAGAAUAUUACCGUGACAAAAUUGAUGGUGAUUAAUUCUAUUUUUAAAAUAGAUUUAAUGCACAAAUAUGGUGACUUUUGGCAAAAAUUAGUUUCGGAAGAUAUAGUGGUAGAAAAUAGUGAUGAUUAUUGUUUAAAUGUGUAAAUAGCCGAAGCAUAGCCCGUGAUACCAAUAUCCAUUUGCACCUUCAUUUGGAUUAUCACAUUUCAUGAUAUUCUUUCGUUCAUGACCAUUGUUCAAGAUUUGAAUUUGAAUACAAAUUAAGCUGCAAGGGAGCUUACUUCGGUUUCUAAGCUUUUCAAUUGUGAUUCCUGCAUGCCUUGCUCUGAUACUAUUUUGUUACUUGCCAAUGUAACCAACCUUGUAAUUGGUCUGUAUAAGAAAUCAAGCCCUUUCAGGAUUGUUUUCUUUUGUUUCUCUAUUGUAGUAGUCAACUAAAUAAAGAAUGAACAACUGAACUUGAUCUAUUUUGAUGAAGACCAAGACCUCCAAUACUAAAUGAACUUUGAAGAAGAUUAAUCUACUGCUUUUAUUCAUCUUUGGACUAUGAAUUUAUACAAAGACUUUAACAGAAAAUAACAAAGACAUAGCUAAAUGAUAGCAACAAGUGCUGACUUAGUGGACCACUUCUACAAGUAAAAAAAGACUAAAUAUUUAUUUUGACUAUAACAACAACUACCCUGAUGAACAGGACUCCACAUCAGCCACGUGACAACUAAUUUCUCCUUAAUAUUAUUAUUAGUAGAAGUAGAUUUUCAAACUAGUCUUGAUAUAUUUCAAAGUUGUAUUAACAAUGUAUAUGUAUCUAGAUUGUAACUAUAUUUUUAAAAAAUAAAAUAUUUUAAUUAUUGCACAGUAAAUGUAGAAGAAUAUCUGUAAAAUAAUAUUAUUAGGACUAAAAAAAUAUUAUUUUAGAUAAGUUAUUUAUUUAUUAUUGAAUUGAUAAUUUAUUAAUUUAUUUCUAAAUGAUAUUUAUUAAUUUAAAGAGAGACUUUUUUGGUUUUAUGAAGAGUUUGUUUGGUACAUGUUUACACUUAUAAAGAAACACAAAAAGUGCUUCCUCAAGUCAAUGGUAUUUGCUUUAAUGGCUACGGUUCAUAAUAAUAUAGCUUAGUAAGGAAAUUUGUAAUUAUAAUAUGACUCUUUUAGUACAACUUUUCAAGUAGAAUUUAUUUAAGUAGAGAUUUUGUUAGGAGAAGUAUUGUUAAUAGAGAUUUCACAAAAAAAAUUUUAAUUAUUUGAUUAUAAUAUCCAAAUUGAUGAACUUUUGUUCUUUUGUUAACAUCUGUUUGUUUUACUUAAUAAUAAAACUUUAGUGGGUUUGGCUACAAAUAAAAGUUUAGUGGGUUUGGCUACAAUGCCGUUGGCAUUGUUCCCGGCACCAUGCCGGGCUCUAAAAAAGAGAGCCCGGCUGUCUUUGGCUGCCAUUUGGCAGCCAAAGACUUGGUGCAGCCGGUUAACAAACCGGUUGCACCAUAUUUUUUAAAAAAUAUAUAUUAAAAAUAGAAUAUAAAAAUGAAAAAAAUUAAAUAAAAUGUCAAAAAUAAUUUUUAUAAUAUAAUUAAUAGCAAAAGAUAAAGAAAUUAAAUUAUAUAAUACAAACCCUAUAGUACAAUAUGAUAUAAUUAAAUAAAAUGGCAAAAAAUAAAGAAAUUGAAAAUGAAAAAAAUUGUAUUUCAGUUUUAACGUUAGUUAUUGCAUGUCCGACGUCCCGAUUUCAUGUUUGACAUAAGAAGUUGCAUGUUUUGGAUAAAACCAAAAUAAAGAAUAUUCUGGAAUAUUCUCGUCUGUUUCAUGUUUGACGUCAAAGUUGCGAACUUUACGUGGUAAGUUGCAUAUUUCGCGUGAAGUAUUGCGAGUUUCAUAUUUAACAUCAGUUGUUGCAUUUUUUACGGUUGGAUUUCAUGUUUGACGUACGAUGUUGCAUGUUUUGAAUAAAGCCAAAAUAAAGAAUAUUCCGGAAUAUUCUCGUCCGUUUCAUGUUUGACGUUGAAGUUGAGAACUUUACGUGGUAAGUUGCAUAUUUCGCGUGAAGUAUUGCAAGUUUCAUAUUUAACGUCAGUUGUUGCAUGUCGAACGUCACGGUUGCAUGUUUGACGUAAGCUGAUGCAUGUCUUGAAUAAAGCCAAAAUAAAGAAUAUUCUCGAAUAUUCUCGUCUGUUUCAUGUUUGACGUUGAAGUUGCGAACUUUACGUGGUAAGUUGCAUAUUUCGCGUGAAGUUUUGCAAGUUUCAUGUUUAACGUCGGUCGUUGCAUGUCGGACGUCACGGUUGCAUGUUUGACGUAAGCUGAUGCAUGUCUUGAAUAAAGCCAAAAUAAAAAAUAUUCUCGAAUAUUCUCGUCUGUUUCAUGUUUGACGUCGAAGUUGCGAACUUUACGUGGUAAGUUGCAUAUUUCGCGUGAAGUUUUGCAAGUUUCAUAUUUAAUGUCAGUUCUUGCAUGUCCGACGUCCCGAUUUCAUGUUUGACAUAUGAAGUUGCAUGUUUUGGAUAAAACCAAAAUAAAGAAUAUUCCAGAAUAUUCUCGUCCGUUUCAUGUUUGACGUCGAAGUUGCGAACUUUACGUGGUAAGUUGCAUAUUUCGCGUGAAGUUUUGCAAGUUUCAUAUUUAACGUCAGUUGUUGCAUUUUUUACGGUUGGAUUUCAUGUUUGAUGUACGAUGUUGCAUGUUUUGAAUAAAGCCAAAAUAAAGAAUAUUCUCGAAUAUUGACGUUGAAGCUGCGAACUUUACGUGGUAAGUUGCAUAUUUCGCGUGAAGUAUUGCAAGUUUCAUAUUUAACGUCAGUUGUUGCAUUUUUUACGGUUGGAUUUCAUGUUUGACGUACGAUGUUGCAUGUUUUGAAUAAAGCCAAAAUAAAGAAUAUUCCGGAAUAUUCUCGUCCGUUUCAUGUUUGACGUUGAAGUUGCGAACUUUACGUGGUAAGUUGCAUAUUUCGCGUGAAGUAUUGCAAGUUUCAUGUUUAACAUCCGUCGUUGCAUGUCGGACGUCACGGUUGCAUGUUUGACGUAAGCUGAUGCAUGUCUUGAAUAAAGCCAAAAUAAAGAAUAUUCUCGAAUAUUCUCGUCCGUUUCAUGUUUGACGUCGAAGUUGCGAACUUUACGUGGUAAGUUGCAUAUUUCGCGUGAAGUUUUGUAAGUUUCAUGUUUAACGUCCGUCGUUGCAUGUCGGACAUCACGGUUGAAUGUUUGACGUAAGCUGAUGCAUGUCUUGAAUAAAGCCAAAAUAAAGAAUAUUCUCGAAUAUUCUCGUCCGUUUCAUAUUUGACGUUGAAGUUGCAAACUUUACGUGAUAAGUUGCAUAUUUCACAUGUAGUGUUGUAGGUUGCAUGUUUAACGUUCGUUGUUGCAUGUCCGACGUCCCGAUUGCAUGUUUAACGUAAGAUGUUGCAUGUUUUGAAUAAAGCCAAAAUUAAGAAUAUUUCAGAAUAUUCUCGUCUGUUUCAUGUUUGACGUCGAAAUUGCGAACUUUACGUCAUGAGUUUUAUAUUUCGCGUAAAGCGUUGCAGGUUGUAUGUUUAACGUUAGUUAUUGCAUGUCCGACGUCCCGAUUUCAUGUUUGACGUCGAAGUUGCGAACUUUACGUGAUAAGUUGUAUAUUCUACGUGAAGUGUUAAAUGAAUUUUGUUUUAAAAAUACAGUUUAACCUCAAAACUGUAUGAAACUAUGUUAUGAUCCAAAACGUUAUAAAAAUUUUCAAAUUGGUCCAAUUUUAGAAUUUCUAAUUAUUACUUUAUUAAACUCAAAACUUUCUGAAAUUAAGAUAUGAUCCAAAAUAUAAGAAAUUAUAGAAUGACCCAAAACAUUUAAAUAUUUUGAAAUAGGUCCAAAUCCGAAAUUUAAAACAAUAAUUUAUUAAAAUCAAAGAUUAUGAAAAACAACUUAACUCCAUAAAGACAUAUUCUUAUUGUUAAAGCACAAUACAUAAAUCUUUAUUUAAUCAACACAUGUGGUUUGUUAUCGAAAUCUCAAUACAACACAUUAGUCCAAAAUUAUCCAAAGCAUACGGAAAUAACAUAUUAUCCAUGAAAUAUCAAACAAUCAAAACAAAUCCAUGUCAUUCAAAACAAAUACAUAAUCCAAAAUCAUAAUGAAAUGUAGGUGUGUCCAAAUACAAGCAUAAGAGACUACUAAGGUGGUGAGGAUGGUGGUGAUGGAGGUGGAUACGGAUAUGGAAUGCCGAAGUGCUCAAAGAGGAGGCGCUGUCCAUGAAUAAACUGCUGCUGCUGGUGGUGAAACUCAGUCUGCCACACAGAGAGUGUCCUCACCUCAUCCAUAAGCUGCUGAAGAGUAACUUCUUCAAAAGUAGGAUGCUCGGGAUGUGGUAAAGAAGGUGCAGAGGCUGUAGGAGCCGAGGGAGAUACUGAAGGAGCUCGACGUCUACGCUGACCCCGAAAUGAAAGUGCAAAAACAGGUAGCUGAUGGGCUGGAACCACAGCAUUAAGUGGUCGAUCAUCACUUGGAGCAAGAAAGGUGAACUUUUUAUCAGUGACUUUUACCCAAGUGCCAUUACGACACUCAAAACCUAAAGAACUAACAGCCUCAUCCCCAAUGCUCUUAGACGGCCUACAUGAUGGUUCUUGGAUAGUGACGCUAAAGUAUUUGAGGAUUCGGGUGAUGAAAUGACCAUUCAGAAGGGAACGAGUAAUCAACUUAGGUAUACUAAGCAUGUUUCGGACAAUGGUGUAUCCUAAGUCGACUGGACGAUGUCUAAGAAUACAAUCAAUCAAGGCAACAUCCAUAUGAGAAACCUCAUCCAAAUGGCCUGAUCUAUGAAGCACAAUACUCUGAAUAAAACGAAGUAAUAUCCGAGUUUGAAGACAAAGACAUUGGGUGCGAAAAUGGAUAGUACAAUCAUCAUCCGAAAGAUCAAUACGACGACAUAUAUUCUUAACAGCAUCAAUAUGAACAUAAUCAUCAAUAUCAGGAGGUUUCCUAGGUGAAAAAAUUUCUAGGCCAUCAUCGGAAGUUCCUAGAAUAGAGUUCAACUCCGAAUCAUCAAACUCAAUCGAAACUCCUUCAACUGUGGUGAUUACUCGAUUCUCUUUCUCCGCGGAACAAUCCAUAUUCGAGUAAAACACUUUCACCAAGUCGGGAUAUACAUUUUCCUCAAAAACAAUUGAAUUAAGCCAACCAACAUCUUCCAACAAUUGCAAUAAAGUUCUAUUACUAAUACUAAGAUUAUUCAACCAAUCCGGUAAAACAAAAAAGGUUUGGAGUACCUCACGAGUCAUGAACUGUUGGUGAAAUCGUUUGGCUAGAUGUUUGUGGUUCUGAAAGUGUCUGGCCUCAAAGUUGGAUUUAUUGGAUGUGCCCCCUGCUUGUCGUGACCGGUUGGUAUGUUGAACCGGUUCUUUGCCUUUUCUUCGAAUCGGCCGUGAGCUUGACAUGGUGAAUUUUUUUGAUUUGAAGUGAAAUAAAUCAAUGAGAAGGGAGAUAAUAAGGAUGGAAAGAGAUUUUGAGAAGCAAUUUCGAUCAAAAACGGCUUCAGAGGGGGAAAUCUAGAGAGAGAAGUUUCGGCUUAAACCAUAGAAUUGAUUUCGGAUCUAUUGAUUUUGAGGUUCAAAAAAGGUUUGAAGGAUGAUUUUGGAUACAAGAACGGAUGGGAAACAAGUUUCAUGGAUCCAUUUGCAUAAAAAACCUGUGAAAAUGAUGGAUUUUGGAGAGAAAACGAGAGAGGAAUAUUCGGUUUUAGAGAGAGAUAGCUAACCGGUUUACCGAAAGAUAAAGGAGGAGAUGAACAGUUUAUAUACUCGCGAAUCCGGCUAUCCGGAAAUUAUUAACCGGCUAACCCAUUGUAGGCAGUGACCUACCCACGCGAAUUCAGAUUUCCGGUUUGAAUAACCGGCUAUCCGGUUUCGUCUCCAAGAAAAAACAGCAAACUGCCUCACUCGGCUGAGAUAAAAAAAAACCAACUGUGAUAGGGAAUGCAUAAUUUGUUUGAAAGAUGAAGUUUCACUUGAUUUCUUGCCAUGUGCGUACCAAGUUUUGUGUGCCAGUUGCAGUGUCAAAAUUAUCAUAGUUUGUCUUAAGAAGUCUGAAAGAUUAGAAAAAGAGAUUGCUAAGUUCAAGAAAUGAAAGUGAGAUAAAAUUACUUGUGUCGCUUCUUGUGUCUUCCCAUUGUUUAAUUCUGAUAUUGUUGCUUACUAAAUUAACAAAGAAAGACCAGCACAAUGACUGCUGAUGAAUACUUUGAGAAGCAUCCAGAGCUAAGGAAAGAAGUUUGAUGAUGAAAUCCGGAAUGAUUAUUGGGGAUAUUAAUUCAGUCAUGUGCAUUCAGUUAUCGGGAACAUCUUCUUUCAUGCAGACUCUCGAGUUCAUCCCAACCACCAUGCUGUUUUGGUGCAUCAUAACAAGAAUAAGCCAAUUGUUUUACUCCAUUUUGGUUGAUUUGACUAUCACAAAAAAUUCCAUGAUAUUUGGACAUUACUCAGAAUCUAGCUAUAAUAAUUUCUCUUUUCUUAUUUGCCAAAUUUGCAUUAAGAUUUUUUUAGAAGAACUUUUAUGUUUUCACAUUCAGAAAGAGUUAAAGCAAAGCAAUUGCAGUAGCAGUGUGUAUGGAAUUUGUUGAAUGGAUCCAUUUGAAAGUCCAUUUUUUAUUCUUUAAUGUAAUAUCUAAUAUUAAAAAAAUCUUAAAACAAAAAUAUGAAUGAAUUGAAAAAUCAAAGUAGUAUUCCACAUUCCCAUGUAAAAAUAGAUUAACGACACCACUUUAAGAAAAGCUAAAAAUAAAAAUAGAUAUAUAUUAUUAAACAAAAUGAAAGUUGGAACUUACAAAGAGCUAAUAUUAUUACUUUAAUCUUCUAGUAUUUAGAGUUCAUCUUGUGGCUGAUAUUAUUGCUUGGCUACGUGAAACCAUUUUAGUCUUGUCAACACUAUCUUGUGGCUGAUAUUUUUUAUUGAAAUGCUCUUCAUCCACCAACUUGGUUCUUGUCAGUUUGCUUGGUAACUUCUUCUUGUUUGGUUUUGGUGCAUUAUUUAUCUAUUCACUCGUUAGUCAGACACUUUUUUUUUGUAUUUUUUGUUUCUACGCACAAGACUGAUAAAAUUAAAUGGGCUUAAUCUUUUGUCUUCCUAAUAGCAAUAUUCAAUAUUUAUUUAGUAAUAUUUCUAGAACUCUAAGAAAUAACUGGAUUUAAAUUUUAUGAAUUAUAUAUUGUGCUAAAAGCACAAAGACAAUCAUAUGAGUGUAUAUUAUUAUUAAAAUUAAACAAUUGGAUUUAACCUCCUCUUCAUACAAUUCAUAUACAUUGGCUCGCUCUCGCUCUCUUUUCUACAUGCAUGUGUCAUUUACAUUUAGGUAUUUGUAUGCGCGUAUAUUAUUAUAAUGUAAUCCCUCUAAAAAAUGAGACCAAUCACAGUCCAAACAAAAAAAAGAAAGAUAAAGAAAAGUUAAUACUUUAAUGGCAUUGUUAAUACGUCACAGUAAUCAUGUCCCUCGAAUCCGGAUAACUGGAUUUAACAACCGGUUAUCCGGAUGUUGACUGCAAGCAACAUGCUUGCUGUCACGCGAAUCCGGAUGACCGGAAGUCAACAACCGGUUAUCCGGAUGUUGACAGCAAGCAUGUCAAUCGAAACCGGAUAACCGGAUUUCCUAACCGGUUUUCCGGUUAUUGCAUGUCCUGUAUAAAGUUUAAAAAAAAUAAAGGUAAAAUUACCACGUUUGGUUGGUUAGGUUUGCAAUAAAUAUGAUGAAAAAAAAACUCACCUUCCCUCCAUUAAUGAGGGAUUAUCCUAAGGCUCAUGUCCAAGACUUCUUCACAAAAAACACAGUCACUCCAAAACAUAGUCCCAAAUACUAUUACUGCGGUCUCGUUCAACAUCUAUGGUGCCUAGUUUUCAACUUUUCAAAAGUUAAGUUUCUCUCCAACAAAGGUAUGUGUUGUAAUUUAAGUAGUUGAUUUGUGCUCCCAUAGAUGGUUUCAGAAAUAUUAUUAUAUUAAAUUAUUAAGAUAAAGGGUGUGAAUUAUGUUAUUAACAAAGUUUUGGUUGAACAGGGGUUAAAUAUGAGUAGCCCACAUAGUUCCAGCAACCUAGGAAUAUCCAUUGCUCCAAAUGUUGGUUUACAGGUAUCGGACGUACUUGGCAGUCAUUUCGACUCAGUAGAAGAUGCAGAACUGUGGUAUAACAAUUAUGCCCGAAUGCUUGGUUUUGGUGUUAGGAAAGAUGAUAUGCGGCGCGGAAAAAAGUCUAGACGAAUCACAAUUCGACGUUGGGUUUGUCAUUUCGAAGGGGUAAGAGAUGAAAGACAAUCUCAAAACUGCAGUAGGGUGCAGAACCACGACCUAUAACACGAACCGAGUGUCGGGCAUCAUUUCGAGUGAAUUACGAUGAUUCAGUUGGUAAAUACAUCGCCAAAGAAUUCAGGCCUGAGCACAACCAUCAUUUGGCUUCUACUAAUGGAGUUCAUCUCAUUCGUUCACAUCGAAAGGUUACUGAUGCAGAACUUGCGCAAGCAAAGGCAUUAAGGCAUGUUGGUGUGAAGACUUGCCAAUUCAUGGAUUACAUGGCUGAUCAGGUAGAGGGGCCUCAAAACCUAAGGUUCACACGCAAAGACAUGCAAAACACGCUAGAUGCUUCCACUCGUGCCGAGGUUGGAGAUUCUGACUCAGACACAACUAUAGCAUACUUUGCGGCAAAAUCUGAACAUGACCCUGGGCUUUGCUUUGAGUACACACUAGAUGAUGAAAAUAGACUACGAAAUUUGUUUUGGGCUGAUUGUGUAGCUCGUUAUGACUAUCAGUGUUUUGGUGAUGUGUUGGCAUUCGAUGCAACGUAUAAGACUAAUGUAUAUCAUAAACCCCUCGUUACACUUGUCGGAACAAACCAUCACUUCAGAACAACGGUCUUCGGUUUUGCUUUGCUCGCAGAUGAGACAAUUGACUCAUACACGUGGCUGCUACAAACUUUUCUAUCCACUAUGGGCAACCGAAUGCCCGUGUCUGUAAUUACUGAUGGUGACAAGGCAAUGUCGAAGGCAAUAAAGACAGUGUUUACCGGGUGCAUCCAUCGUCUUUGUUGUUGGCAUCUUGAGCGCAAUGCGCAGGCUAAUUUGAAGAACGAAGACUUUACGAGAAAAUUUCGUGAUUUGAUGUUGACACCUAUGACGGUAACUGAAUUUGAAACCCAAUGGUCAGCUGUAGUGGCUGAAUUCGCACUUGAACAUCAUGCAUGGGUACAGAAAAUGUAUUCAAAGCGGUGCAAGUGGGCGGAAGCUUAUCUUAGAGGAACAUUCUUUGCUGGUAUGCGAAGCACUCAACGAUGUGAAAGUAUGAAUGCAUAUCUUAGCCGAUUUGUCCAACAUAAACUAAAAUUGUAUGAGUUUGUGCGACAAAUCGAUCGUGCUCUCCGCAAUAUUCGUACCACAGAAACAUCCGAUGAGUUCAAAACCAAAUACAGUACUCCUGUCUUAAGAACUCACUUACAGAGCCUCGAGAAACAUGCUGCACAAUUGUUCCCGUUAAGAGUUUUUUCGAAGGUUAGAGAUGAGAUGCUGCGAGAAAGAGCGGUCAUCGAAGUAAAAACUGUCAAAGCUGUCGAUGUUGCAUUGUACACAGUGACUGAAUUUAGGACACCUACAACAUGUUGGAAUGUCAUCCACAAUCUACAAGAAAACCACAUACAGUGUUCGUGUCAAAUGAUGGAGUUUGUUGGGCUUCCUUGUAGGCAUAUGUUUCAUGUCUUGAAAGUGGAACAAAUUGAAAAGAUUCAUGACAAUAUGGUUUUUCGUAGAUGGACAAAAAAAGCCAAGGAGCACAAUACUUGCAGGACCACAAAACCAGAAGUUGACACUGAUGUUUCAGAGAUGGCUAGAUUUAGUGCAUUGUCUGCAGCCUGCAAUAAAAUGUGCUACAAUGCAGCAAAAAACGUUGAAGCCUAUGAAAAUGCAUUGGUAGAAAUCAAUCGGCUAACAUUAACUUAUGAACAACAAUCUGAACGAGACGGUCUCCCAAAUAAAAAAUUGCGGAUGGGAACAAAACUUCGUAAUCCUGCAGUUGUAAAAACCAAGGGCGCUAUGUCUAAAACAAAAUGUGUAGCAGAAAGCUCUAGAAAGUGUGGAAAAUGUCGUCAGGUUGGGCAUACAACACGAACUUGUUCUAUUCAAGGGAAUGAUAGCACCCAGCUAAGGUAUGUCCCAAGUUCUUUAUCAUGUGUUUAAUUAUUGCAUUGUUGGAUAUUUCAUUGCAAAUAACUUUCAUGGUAUUGAUUUAGUGUCGAUGGAAACUGUUUUGCCGCAUUCGAUUCAUCAAGCACCCAGAAUCUUGGAGCCUCUACUGGUGUCAAUCCAACAUUGUUAGGUCAUGCAAGCAACCAAUUUUCAAAUGUUUUUUAUUGGUGGCCUCAUUAAACAAUGCCAUUAAAAUGACUCAAUAUGUAUUACCAUUUGAAUUCCACUAUCAUGUACUAACAUGACAACCAGUUUAAUAUCAAAUGAUGAGAUGUGAACACUGUUAACAUGCAUAUGUUCAUUAUAGUUAAAUUAUGUCUCGGCCAAGAAUACAUAACCAUGUCAUAAAUUUAAAGAUAAUUCUCCAUUACAAUUGAUUUUACAACCAUCGUAAGCAAGAAGACAAAAAAAUUCACGGUAUUACCUCCCAACAUGUUUCAAACAUCUUACAACAAAAAAUAGUAUGCAAUCACUUGCAUAAUCAUUCCCUACUAUAGUUCGAUAUCUAAGCGCGUGUUCUCGUGUUAACUUUCUUCUUCUUACGAAUGUUGCCGCUUUGUUGGUGAAAUGACUUUUGCACUUGAGAGGAUACAGGGUUCACCAUUACAGCAUGAAUCGCAAACUGUGCAUUGCUUAGUUCCAGCAAUUUAUCUCGAUUUUGAUUCAAUGCAGAAUUAAUUAGUUGAAUGGCUAGCCUACCUCGUGUAUCCUCAGAUGUGAACUAGUCAAUUUGAAAGGAAACCAAUAUUACUUUCAUAUAAUAAGUAGCUUUUAUAUAAUUAUGAAGUUAACAAAAUUCUGAGUUCAACAAUUAAACAAGUUUGGCAUAGUCGUACCAAAGUGGACGAUUUCUUCGGAAUAAAUUCUGGGCUGUCCAUAUAGUUUAUCACAUAAACCCCACAGUCAUAUCCAUUCCUUUGCUUUGGAACUCCAAUGCCCCGGUUGAUUGGAAAGUCUUGAAACUUCAUGUGUUGCAUAUUGCUUGGCAAUUGGGGCUGCAUAAUCCAAUCCAAGGAAUGUAGCUGUCGGCAAUGUUGAAAACCAGACAAUAUUAUAGAUAUGAAUAUAACACAAUAUACAUAACUGAUAAUGUUAAAUAGAUAACAAAAAUAAAGAACAUGAUUAAGAUACAAUGCGCAUGGCUUGAUCGUGCCGUCUUCUAUUACUGCGGGGAUCUGGAAGAGGAUCCCAUAUUUCUGCACUUGUAUUUCUGACAUUCACGAUCAGUAGGUACCAAUGAGAUGAUUCAUCAUUUAUUGGCACAUAAAUCUAACAUUUCAAUUGUCAAUGUCAUACACCAAGCACACUAGUAGAAACUGAAAUAAGUUAAAGGUUAACAAACUAACCUUUUGACACUUAUGCACCUGUUGCAUAAAAUUCUUUCCACAUCUAGCUGCCCUUGCAAAACAAUCCACCUCAUCUCCGACCAUUAAAACUGCUUGCUACACAUAAUAAAGACAACGUUGAAUAAGGAAGUUGUCAAUAAAGAAACCAAAGCACAAUGCAACAAGUACCGGCGAGACUCACAGAAUAUCUUGUUGGUAAAUACCAGUUCAUUGGCACAUCUUUCUCCACCACCUACUGAAUGAGGGUGAGGUGAUGCGCUUUCAUAGAAAUCACCUAAAAGUGAUCAUAUUUAUUGAGAUAUAUAAUAACAUGUAAUAAACGAUAAACAUAUAUUGUGACAUCACCAAAUGUUGAAACCUAAUACCUCGCCACAUAGAUAAGCCCCCGGCAAAAGAGUCAAUAAAGAAUGCCGAUUAAGAAUUUCGCCGCAACUAGAAACAAUGAUUUCACUAAAGAUAAAACACGGUAAUUUUUUAGUCGUAUAGCAUAACAACUAUAUACAGAAAACUAAUUUCAGUCUUCUGAAUUUAACCUUCCCUCUGCGUCCUUGUUAAAAGCAUAUUGAAUAAGCUUCAAUUCUUCCAGCGUAACUGGAUCAUUGACUUGAAACGGACCAGCUUUAUACUUGGGAUUUGCUCCCCUGGACACUUGAUCGUACGGUGAAAGUUGAUAUCGGCCUGGCCUACGAUUCCUACUUGGUCGCGUUGGCAGGACACUGAGACUAGUAGAUGUUUGAGGUUCUUGCUUAAGUUGAACUGGUUCAUCUAUAUCCUUUAUAAAAAAUAAAUUUAUAUGUAAGUUACUUCAUAAGUGAGUUAUCAUUGAAAUCAUUUUAAGAAAACGACGUUAUAAAACUGUACCUCAUCUCGGAGAUUAGGUGGUGGAAUAGGGACAAAGUGGGUAGGAUCUUUGCGAAAUUCACCGAUUCCUUCUCUUGUCCCCAUCCAGCCCAUUAAUUUAUCGAGGCUCAGGUUCAAUCUGCGAUCCACAGAGUCCUCGUCGCUAUCCAUUACCAUUUUGUUUUUUUCCAUCAGUAGUUGGCUCGGUUUUUCUGACUGGACAUGUUGGUUCUACUAUUUUCAAGCUCGGAGAUUGCGGGCAUGGAUCAGAUGGUUGUUUUGAUAGUGCACCAACCGGAGACUUGGAUCUCAAUUCCUCCAAAGACUUCUCAACCAUUUCCAUUCUCACAUUGAAUGAAUCCAUUUUGUGUUCAAUUCUGUGGACACACUGUGUUAGUACCCUAAAAGCUUCCUCCAUAUUAACAGUGCUCGGCCCAACAUCUUCGGUUUGUUCAAAAUGAGCGAAAUUUCUUUCGAGCUGCAGAAAAUUUGAUUCACGCAUUGGAACCUAAAAUAAAUAUGCACAACAAUCAUACAUAAUGACAAUCAAAAUAUAUUCAAUUAACCGUAAACAAAAUUAAAUACAUGUGUGAACAAGACAAAAAAUAAAACAAACCUCAGUACUGGUCAUGUCCCCAAACUUUUUCCGCCAAUUCAAUAAGCGCCGAAUCUCUUCCUUGGUCCAUACACUAACAGGGCAAACUGUUCUGUCCAUGGAACACCGAUCAUAUAAAACAGCACUAAAGUAGAACAACUGUACAUUCAAAAAACAAUUACUACGUCAUUUUAUUUUUCGUAUUUGGAAAAUUAAUUAUGGCAUCUAAGAUUUCUUAAAUAUACCUCUAAAAACACAACACAACCACUAACUGACUUCACUUGAUUAUCUUUAUACUUCGCUAUGCCCUCCCACAGAAAGUUGAAACACCAUGUAGCCCAAUUCUUUUUCCUAAUUAAUUGCACAUCUUUUAGGGAAUGCAGAUACAUCGGAUUGAUGUAGCUGGCACUUGUGGGACACAAUACAGUUCCUAGAAGAAACAAACAAAACAUGAUCUUAAAGUCAUCAUCACUACUCUCACUAGCUAUUAUUCUUUCACUAACUGCGGCUAUUUCAAUUCCUCUUCCACUUGUUCUAUACUUGGCACGCAGUUCAAUUAUAUCACCCGCUUCUUCUCGGAUGUAUACUGGUUCCCCUCCAUCUUUGAUCCCCAUUACGAUGCUGAAGGUUGUAGGGUUUAAACAAAACUCUCUCUCGUGCAAAACUAUACAGUGCCUCUUUGUAUCACAUUGUUGGACAAGUGUUUCACAGAAGUCUUGUCUCAGGCGACCACAUCGUAAUUCUAGCAUGCUUCCGAAGCUAAUUUCUCUAAUUGCAGCUUGUUGGUCGGCCGAUAGUGUGGAAAUGACCUUAGUGAGUGCACUGACACGACAACGAGAUAAAUUACAUUGGCUAUGCUUAUCCCCAAUUUUUUGUUCUUCAUCUUGUUUUUCAAUACUCCUUUCACCAACAUUUGAACUUGGGUCCUCAUGCAUCGUACCAAAUCGGCACUUCUCCUCAUUCGUUAAUUUCUUCCAUUUUUCAACAAUUGUCGCCCUACAAACUUUUUUGAUCCCUUCUUGCCUGACCUUUUCUGCUUCAUGCUUACUGUACACAACAUUUUAGUUCAACUAAUUACGUCAACAAAAUUGUUAUAAUAAGAACCUUAUUCAAAGCAAUAAUUUUAUACUUACAAAAAGUGUAUCCACGCUCUCUGACCAGGUCCUCCCCUUCUGCCUUAUGUGGACUCCAUUUUAUAACUGUAUGCUAUAUUUUAAAUCCUGAAAUAGACCACACAUAAAUGUAGUAUCAAGGCCGGACCCAUAACAAUGGCUAAGUUCUUGGCAAAUUAUUGAGCGCUCAUCUUUAGUAUUCCUACCAAAGACUGUAGAGCUCAAAACAAGCAAACAACACCUAAAACCAAACAAGAAAAAUUUAGGGUUCCCAUAGAAAAAUAACACUUAAAAACCAAAUCUCAAAAAAUCAACCACAAAAUAGAAAUAAAUUAAAAAAUGCCAUUGAAUUUUUACCAACUAAUGCCAUUGAAACCACGCAAAACCAUGGGAACAUUGCAUCCCCUUCUAAAUAUCUUUCUUCAAUUUAAUGCUUGAAUUACAGUACAUCAAUCAUAUCAGGAUUGAGGAUUUUCUUGCCAAUUUCAUGCUUCCAAGCCAUUAAUCAUCUCUUCAACAUCAAUUUUUCAUCAUCUAAAUAUCUUUUUUCACUCUAAAUUACCAAACUUCUAAUUGUUUCAAAUCUCUAAUUAUUUCACACAAAAUUUAUAGUACAUCACAAAAACCACAAAGGUCAAAAUUACCUCAUCACCUUCUCGUUAACUCACAAAAUGAAAAGGAAAGAGAGGAACUUGUGUUCAUCUUCAACACCUCAGGAUGACAGCGACCGCUUCAUGGAUUCCACUUCUUAUUUGCUUUGAACGAGAUGGUGCCUUUGAUCUUCUAUGAUUACUAAACAAAUAGAAGAGAGAAAUUUGAGAGAAAUUUGUGAUUUCAAAGUGAGAUGUGAGAGAUUGGGAAUGGCCUGGGUGAAACCCUCAAAAAGCAAAAUUUUGUUUUGCAAGCUUUGGGAACCGGUUUAAUAAGUUAACAAUUUUUUCCUCUUUUUUAUUUCUUUUCAAUCUCAGCCGUUGGAUUCAUUUUACUUGAAUCCAACGGCUGCGUUUACAAGCCGGCACAAUGCCGGGCCUCAAUGCCCGGCAUUGUAGCUUUAGCCAAGUUUAGUUUACAAUUACACCGGUGUCAAAUCAGCAGAGCAUCGGCAAGAGUUUUCGAUUGUUGCAAUUUGCAAUGCAUGUGGUACAUGCACGCACUAAUAAAGAAACACAAAAAGUGCAUUCUCAAGCCAAUAGUAUUUGUUUUUAAUCGCUACUUUGCAUAAUAAUGUAGCUUAGUUAGGAAAUUUGUAAUUAUAUUAUGCGUCCGUUUGGUAUAACUUUUUAAUUAGAACUUAUUUAAGGAGAACUAUUGUUUGUAGAGUUUUUAUAAAUAGAAAUUUUAAUUAAAAAAAAUUAUAAUUAUUUAGUUGUCAAUGUCCAAAUUGAUGAACUAUUGUUCUUUUUGUUAACAUGUGUUUGUUUUACUUAAUAAUAAAACUUUAGUUUACAAUUACACCGGUGUCAAUUAUACUAAUAGCAUCGGCAAGAGUUUUCGAUUGUUGCAAUUUGCAAUGCACGCGGUGAGAGAAAAUGAGAAUCUUGUUUAAUCCUUUCAUUAGGAGUAAUUUAAUAAUCGUUUGUUAUAAUAGAAUAUGUAUAAAGAAAGGAAAAUUAUAUUCAUAGAUUUGGCUUAUUUUUUGUUUAAAGUAAUUCAGAUCAUUACAACGUCCUUUUCGCUAAUUAAUUACAACGUCCUUUUCGCUAAUUAAUUAUGAUUAUAUACAUUUUCAUAUGGCAAGUGGCAUUGUAGAUCUAAACGACGUUGCUAUUUCAAUACGUUAAUUAAGUGAUUCUCCUGAUUGUCAUCAGCGCUAUACCCUCUAGGAAAAUAGCUCAAUUGUUUUCCUGCAUUGAUUUUCAUUGGUAUGUGAUUUCUUAUGAAAUUCUUUUGAGCUUUCCUUAGUUAAAAAGCUUGAGCUUUUAUCACCUAAUACUGAUAUCAAUUAACUUGUGAACGAUUUUAUACCCUCUCUUUUUUUUCUUUUUUUUUAAGUACUCUGUUGAAAGCCAAAGUUCCUUUGGCCAGUUAAUUUAGAAGUGAAGGAAAGAAUAAAGUUAGGCCUCGACGUCUUUUGAGAUUAGAAAUACAUUUUGAAUGCUUUAAUAGAUGCAGAGCAAACUGGCUCGAUAUCUAACUAUUUUAAGAGCUAAAAUCAUUUAUUAGAAGUUGUAGCAUUAAAAAAAAUGGGCUUGAUAUCCAAUUUUGUUAUUGAAUAUGUCUCACGUGUUACUGGCAGAUGGCUAUGCUAGGUUUUAUUGCUCCUUGAAUUUGAUUGAAAAAUUAUUGAGGCGGACAAGUUUGGACCAUUGUUGGACACUGAAACUACACAUCAGUCUUAGAAAAUUGUAAUUUUGUUGGCUUAUCAUGAUUUUGAUCGCCUCACAUUGAUUUUCCUAUGACGUCUCUGUAGAGUGGCUAUGCUUACAUUUUUAGGUAUUUAAUUCUAAAAAUUAACUUAUUAGAUGGAAGGACCAAUUCUACCUGUAAAUACAAGUGGCUUCCCUUUACCAACUCAUACAAGACACAACAAUAAUCUUCUUCAGAAAAAACCACCGUCGGAGGGCUAUUUUCGUUCAACAUAAAUGAGUUGUUCCGCCACCAUAUUUUAAGGGUUUGCUUCUAAUACAACUUGGGGGAGCUAGGGCUAAGAUUUCUAAGAAUCAACAUAAAAACCUUGCCUAUUGGAUGGAAGGACCAAUCCCACUUAUGAGUCUAAAUGACUAAUUUUUGAGGACACAACUCAACAGACCAAUAUAAACUUUUGACGUCCCAUUUUAUUACUUUCCUGUGUUUUUACUUUUGAUGCUGUCUAUAGCCCUACUAUUCUAUUAAGCAGAAAAUAUUUCAAGGCACUCUCGGUCCAGUAGAUAACUUUGGUAUUUAUUAUCUAUUUUCUUUCCAUUUUAUGUAAACCCCGAUCUUUACCUCUGAUUGGUUGUAGAUUCUUUUGUUGCUUUGGGGUUAGGGGAUGGUUUUCAUAACUAUUAAGUUGAUCAAUGCAGAAAAUCACCAUCAAGAAAUGAUAAAGGAUUGUUAGUUCUAUCUGACAAACAACAUUAAUAUGAAGGAUGAUGAUUGUUCUGUUCAAGAGUUUAUAAUGACAUAAUUCUACUUUGGUCUUUUAAAAAAAGUAAUUUAGAAACGAGUAUGUGAGUGAUGACUUUUACAAAAUAAAUUACAUGCGCAGUGAUGAUUUUGACACAUGAAAAUGAAAAAAGAAAUAUAACUUGUGAAUAAUAAUUGAAGUACCUGCUAUUGUUAUAUUGGGUAUUGAUAAAUGGAUGGUUUUGGAAGAAUUGAAAAUGAUGGCAUAAGUAAACCGAAGUUAAGAGAAAAGAGAAAGAGCAUUUGAACUUUACUAGUAAGUAAAGGCAAAUUUCUUGGUUCAAGAAAAGAUAAGAGAUAUCAAACUAGCAAUAGGAAAAAGGAGGAAGGUUAAGACAGCAUCUUAACAAAAGCUAAAGAAAAGAAAAACUUAGUUCAAGCAAAGAACAAUGUGCUAAUGUCGUGUAAUCUUGUUUAAUUUCUUUUUCUUCUCACAUUUUCCAGGGCUUAAAUAAUACAAUAUACAUUUUCAAGCAAAGAACAAUAUGCAAUUGCAGUACUUCUGAGCACACAACAACAAAUAAAUAGUACAAUAUACAUACCCACUAAAUUAAAAAAAAAAUAUUAUUCAAGUUUGUGGACAAUACUGUAGCCAUGCCGUCGUCGAAAUCUACUGACAGCUGAAACAAAGAAAGAAUGGAUGAAUGCUGGAUCACAGUUGAAAUUGAAGGUCUGGUAGGUGAUGUUUCCCUCUCUGAUUUUACCUAAACAAAUACAAAAAAAUAAGAAUCACAAAUGAAAAUCUGCUAUUACACUGUUCUUACUUAUUAAAAUACAGAGGUUUCUUUGUUUCUCUGCAGCAAUGUCCAUGGCUAUUAGAAACAAGAACAAUUAGACCAGCAUUUGCAAGAAUCCUUUAAGGUAUUACUGCAGAUAUAAAUCCACUGAGGAAAUGGAAAAAGUGAAUACCAAAUUAGGCAAGUUAAAUGAAGAUUGAGUUAUCAUAGAAGAAUAAAACUCAUCCAAUUCAAUCCAUCAAAUUCCAUAAGGAUACAACUGGAUGUCAUACUGCUGCUCCAUAUCCUCAAGAGCCCGUAGAUUUUGCCUCAACUCUGGCUGAGGCCAAUGUAAGUCCAAUUUGCAAAAGCUCUUUAUGCACCAUAGCUCUUCAGGAAGCUUUCUCAAGUAAGCACAAGGGUUGACAAUUAUGCUCCCAAGUUUUGGCAUUGCUCCAGCCCCUAUCGUCCACUCCUCUAGCCAACAAAUUGAUUUCAGGUGCAAUACUUUGAGCUCCGGGAAACCACAAGAGCAAACACAAGCCAGUUUUCUUCCUGAAUAUGAGUUCUGCUUCAAUUUCAGCACUUGAAGGUGUGGAAGCUUGUCUAGUGUUAGCAUGGUAUCCGCCAAUAACUCAGUAUUUGAUAAGCUUAGUUGGAUCAGACUUGGAGAAGCUGGUAUUUAGACAGGGCCAUCCGAGAGAGCUACCACCUCUUGGUUUCGUUCACCAGCUUCAAGCAUUCAAGUUUGUGUAGUUCGCAUAGGCUUUUGGAAACCCCAGAACGAUAAUAACUCAAACCUCCAGAUACUAAGAGUUUGAAAAUGAGGUAGUCUGCCUGUUAAAGUAGCUCACUAUGCUGAACGAAAGAAGGAGAAAGCUAAGCUGAAGAAAAUACAGGGCAAGAGUAUUAGCUGUGCCAGCUCAACUGACAGCUCAGCAAAAUCAGUUAAAUUUUGUUACAAGCCCCCUGUGCAUUGUGCUGAAGAUUAGUUAGUUUAAUAAUGAUUAGUUUUAGAUUAGUUAAAAUGUAAUCAUGAUUAAGAUAUAUAUAUAUAUAUAUAUAUAUAUAUAUAGAUAUAGAUAUAUAUAUAGCUGCUGUACUGAUAGGGCAUCUCAAAAGUUCUGAAAUAAUACCUCAAUUCUAUGGCAAAAAUAAAUAAUCUCAAACAAGAACCAAUAAUCAUAUUUUGUUACUGUCAAACACAAUGCAUAUGAGCAAAACAUUGGAAGCCAACACCAGAAUACAUAUGAAUAAACAAUUAAAGAUAGAGAAAAAAGGCUUAAACCUUGGGGGAAAAAAGUGAAAAAACAUGAAAGACAAAUUACACAUGUGCAGUAACCAUCGAACUUAUCAGUGACAGCUGCAUCCAUUACAUUGCUCCAACAACACAAUGGCAAACCACCAGUUUCAAAUUGAGGAUAGCUAUCGAGAAUGAGAAAGUGUCCAAAACAUCAUAAAUAGACAUGUUCCUAUUGUGCAUAAUUUACAUUAUAGGCAAAUAUUCUUAUACCAUCAAAGGCAAAACAUGACACUAACAAUUGAUCCCCCCCCCCCCCCCCCCCCCCCCCCCCCCAACAAAAAAAAAGGAAAAAACAAUACAGAAAAGAUUGAAACAGAUAAGGCUACACUGAGCACAGGAUGCCAUGAAACAUAAUCCAGGAACCAAAUUAAUAAAGAAGGAAGGCAAACCAUUAUUUAACAAUCUGUUUUGUAUUUGGGAAAGUCCGAUAAAAUCUACUUAGGGAUAAUUAGAGAACCUCAACUAUUAAUCACACCUCAUAAAUGAACUAACAUUAACCAUGUACCAUCCCCACAUCAGACAAACAUUCUCUAUACUUCUGAACCUAAUACUUCCAUCUUCAAUUGGGGUUUUUUUUUGUGGGGGGGGGGGGGGAUAAGCUAUCGUGUUUCUAAGCUUGCUUACCUUCUGUGUGGGACUGAAAUACUGAUUUCGAAUCAUUAACAGUAAAAUUGGAAGCUCAUGAAAAAACAAUUUUAUCUUUUAACAAAAGUUAAAAUUACAUCUCCAUAUAAAUUCUCUUUUCAUUUCCUUCAAUUUUCUAAUUAAGCUUAAAAAAAUGUACCUUCAACCACAAAGGGGUUUAAAAUUUAAAAUAUAUAAAAAAAUAAAUUCAGAUAACAAUAAUUAAUUUAAUUAAAAAUAUAAAUAGAGAUUACAGAGAAAGAGAAAAUAGAGAAAGACCUAAUGUUGAGUCCUUUGGUUCUCUUCAUAGGUCCGAACCAUUUCUUCGGGCGUGGGUUUCGGGUCUUUAGGAAACUCCAUCGUCAUAAGCCAGUGAUUGUAAUCGCAACCCUCCAACAGAAUCGUGUCGGGUGU
rnacentral:lncRNA from 1 species